rnacentral:lncRNA from 1 species
AACAACAACAACAACAACAACAACAACAACAACAACAACAACAACAACAACAACAACAACAACAACAACAACAACAACAACAACAACAACAACAACAGCAGCAGCAGCAGCAGCAGCAGCAACAACAACAACAACAACAACAACAACAACAACAACAACAACAACAACAACAACAACAACAANNNNNNNNNNNNNNNNNNNNNNNNNNNNNNNNNNNNNNNNNNNNNNNNNNNNNNNNNNNNNNNNNNNNNNNNNNNNNNNNNNNNNNNNNNNNNNNNNNNNNNNNNNNNNNNNNNNNNNNNNNNNNNNNNNNNNNNNNNNNNNNNNNNNNNNNNNNNNNNNNNNNNNNNNNNNNNNNNNNNNNNNNNNNNNNNNNNNNNNNNNNNNNNNNNNNCAACAAUAACAACAACAAAUUUUGCAACAACAACAACAACAAAUUUUGCAACAACAACAACAACAACAAAUUUUGCAACAACAACUGAUUCCAUGCAGGGAUGUUGUAUUGCAACAACACAACAUAGCGCAUGGAAGCUCACAAGUUUUGCAACAAAGUACUUACCAGCUGGUGUAACAAUUGUGUUGUCAGCAGCUGUGGCAGAUUCCCGAGCAGUCGCGGUGCCAAGCCAUCCACAAUGUUGUUCAUGCUAUUAUUCUGCAUCAACAACAACAACAACCGUCGAGCCAGGUCUCCUUCCAACAGCCUCAACAACAAUAUCCAUCAGGCCAAGGCUCCUUCCAGCCAUCUCUGCAAAACCCACAGGCCCAUGGCUCUGUCCAGCCUCAACAACUGCCCCAGUUUGAGGAAAUAAGGAACCUAGCGCUACAGACGCUACCUGCAAUGUGCAAUGUCUACAUCCCUCCAUAUUGCACCAUUGCUCCAUUUGGCAUCUUCGGUACUAACUGAGAAGAGAAGAACUCUAGUACUAGAUAUAUGAAGCAUUGUUUUCUUAGUCCAUGGUUUGGUCGUUGUUGCUGUGAAAAAAUAAAGUGGCAUGCACUAUCAUGUAAGAACCCGAACUAUACUAGUUCAAACUUGGGAAUAAAAGACAAACACAAGUCUUGUCUACAUAUGAUUCUUUGUUUGAUUUCCAUUCAUGUGCGCAUUCACAAGUUCACCCCUAAUUAUAUAUAUAUGCAUUAAGUAGAUAUUUAUGUUGCAUUAAUCUAAAGAUAACAAAAUGACUCUAAAAUUUGAAUUAAAUUGAAGUAUUUCCUUGGAAUUUCAAAUGGAAUAUUAUUAAAGUAGUAAGGACUAUCCACAUCCUUGGCUUGCCCUUGAUCAAUUAUUUGCAGAGAAGCAUUCAAUUUGUCAAUCAACAUGAGUAUAUUCAUCGCGGCUACUCCAAAUCGGCAUGAAUGAGGUACCGGUGCUCUGGAGCACUACUAGCUAACUGCUUCUCAUGUGAAGGGGUGCGGGCGCGGGAGAGGUGUUUCUGGUGGGGCAGGGGAGUAUGAAGCGGCCGUGGCAGCGGUCCAGAUGCCCACAAAGACCCGUAGUUUGUUUUUGGUUUACAGGAAAGUGCACAUCCAGACCGGCCUGCGGGCCGAUAUAGGACCGUAUUGGAUGGCAAAACAUGUCCGGAUGGUUGCGAGUGGUUUGGGGGUUAGCUUUUGUAAUGCCCGGUUAGUUAUGCUAUAGUAAUUCCCUGCUAGUGAUGCCACGUCACCCUGAUUACUGUUGUUAACCUCACAAUUAUUCAAUCCCAUUCAAAUUCAAAUUUAAAAUAAAGGCAAACAUCAAAAGUUUUCAAACAUUAAAACUAAAAUCUUCGAGAGGUGAAAAAUAAUGCGUAAGUAAUUAUGCUGGAGAAACCACACUUUUACAAAAUGUUUAAAUACUAUAAAAUGAAUAAAACAGUGGCUUAAACUAUUAUUAAAAUGCUUUUAAAAUAGUAAAAAUGUUAUAACUAAAUUAAUUGGGUGCCAAACUUUUGGUGGCAGUGGUAUAUUUAGUAGAACUAAUUUAGAUGCUAAUUAUAUAAUUUACAAAAUUAAAGUAAAUUGAAAACAGGAUAAAACAGAAAAGGAGAGACAAAACAAAUAAAAGCAAAAGGGGGCAACUCCUCGCUGGGCCUCGGCCAAGCUGGCCACUGGGCUAGCUAGGCCGACCCAGCCGCCUACAUUAACCCACCACUCCCCAUCGAACCCUAGCCCGAUCUCCCCACUUCCCCCACACCCCCUUGAUGUCUACUACGCAACUUUAUUCUUAUAGACACGUGUUGGGCCUCCAAGCGCAGAGUUUUGUAGGAUAGUAGCAAUUUUCCCUCAAGUGGAUGACCUAAGGUUUAUAAAUCCGUGGGAGGCGUAGGAUGAAGAUGGUCUCUCUCAAACAACCCUGCAAUCAAAUACAAGAAAUCUCUUGUGUCCCUAACACACGCAAUACAAUGGCAAAUUGUAUAGGUGCACUAGUUCAGUGAAGAGAUGGUGAUAAAAGUGUAAUUUUGAUGGUAGAAAUAUAUUUUUAUAAUCUGAAUAAAUAAAAACAGCAAGUUGGGAAAUAGUAAAUGGGCACAAAAACGGUAUUGCAAUGCUUGAAACCAAGGCCUAGGGUCCGUAAUUUUGCUAGUGCAAUUUCUCAACAGUGCUAAUAUAGUUGGAUCAUAUGAUUAUCCCUCAAAGUGCAAUAAAGAAUCACUCCCGAGUUCCUAAUAGCGGAGAACAAAAGAUAGAAAUUGUUUGUAGGGUAUGAAACCACCUCAAAGCUUCGGUUCGAUCUGUUCAAGAUUUCGUACUAAAAUAACACAAAGCUAUUUUUUCCGUUCGAUCUGUCCUAGAGUUCGUACUAAAAUAACACCAAAGCAAAUUCAUAUUCAUAAUACACAAUCCACACAAAGAACUACAAAGAGACCCCAAAGUUUCUAUCGGAGAAAAGAUAAUAAAAACGUGCAUCAUCCCCUAUGCAUAGAUUACCCCAACAUCACCUUGGGAAACCGCAAGUUGAGUGCCAUAACAUAUAUCAAGUGAAUCAAUACGAUACCCCAAUGUCACCUCAAGUAUUCAUACCGCAAGACAUACAUCAUGUGUUCUCAUAUCUGAAUAUUCAAUCCGACAAGACAAAACUUCAAAGGCUAAAGAUUCAGAGUAUAGAGGGGAGAAACAUCAUAUGAUCCAUCUAUAUUAACAAAGCCCAUGAUAUAGAUCACGAGAGAGAGAUUAAACACAUAGCUACUGGUACAAACCCUCAGCCCCGAGGGUGGACUACUCCCUCCUCAUCGUGGUGGCCGCCAGGAUGACGAAGAUGGCCACCAAAGAUGAUUCCCCCCUCCGGCAGGGUGCCAUAAAGGGUCUAGAUUGGUUUUCGGUGGAUACAGAGCCUAGCGGCGGCGGAACUUCUGAUCUAGGUUAACCCCAAAGGGUUUCGGAAUAUUUGGGAAUUUAUAGUGCAAAGAGGGGGUGCGGGAGGCCACCGAGGUGGGCACAACCCACCUGGGCGCGCCAGGGGGCCCUGGCGCGCCCUGGUGGGUUGUGCCCCCCUCAUGCUUCUUCGGCCCACUGUUGGUCUUCUAGUCCAUAAAAAAUCUCCAUGAAGUUUCAUUGCAUUUGGACUCCGUUUAGUAUUGAUUUCCUGCGAUGUAAAAAACAAGCAAAAACGGCAACUGACACUGGGUCAAUAGGUUAGUCCCAAAAAAUGAUAUAAAGAUGCUAUAAAAUGAUUGUAAAACAUCCAAGAAUGAUAAAAUAACAGCAUGAAUACUUCAUAAAUUAUAGAUACGUUCGAGACGUAUCAGCAUCCCCAAGCUUAAUUCCUACUCGUCCUCGAGUAGGUAAAUGAUAAAAGAAAUAAUUUAUGAAGUGUGAAUGCUAGGAAAGUGCACAAGUUUGAUCAAUCACAAUUUCAAUCACUUUUCCUAGCAUCAUAACCGCGAUUCUUUCUUAUAAAACUUCUCAUGAUACAAUGGCAACCAAUUCACAUAUUAAGGUUCAAACAGUGAAUUCUCUUAAAACUCAACAACCUAUGUUCUUAGUCACCAAGCAAUUGCAAUUCAACUUAUUCAACGGAGUUUAAGUAAGAGCUCCACAUACUCAACCAUCUUAUAGUCUUCUAUGAUUGCUAACACUCACCGCAUACACAUGGGCAAAACGUUUCAACCGGACACAUAGAAAGAUAGGGGCUUAUUGUUUUUCCUCCCAACGUAUUCACCUCAAGGGUGAUGUCAACAAUAAUAACUCAUGCUACCCAUAUUCAACUGGACAUAUGUGCCUAGAUCUUUCCUCACCACAUGAUGCUUGCCAAAGGAGAAAAAUAGAAAGGAAUAGAGAGAAAAACUUUGACUCUUUGCAUAAAAGUAAAUACUGGAAAGUAAAAGAUAGGCCCUUCGCAGAGGGAAGCAGAGGUUGCCAUGCGCUUAUUUGUUUGUAUGCUCAACCCAUUAGUGAAAAAGAACGUCACGUUAUAUUGCCCCUUAUGAUAGCAACCUUUAUUAUGCAUUCUGUCGCUUUUAUUCUUUGCCAUCACAUGUUCGUACAAUGCUCAAUUUUCUCUUACACUAAAUGAUCUCACACUUUUAGAAGCAAUUUUUAUUGCCUUAUUGCACUGAUGACAACUUACUUGAAGAAUCUUAUUGAAUCCUUAGGUAGGUAUGGUGGACUCUUGAAAAUAAGAUUUGGGUUUAAGGGUUUUUGGAUGCACAAGUAGUAUCUCUACUUGGUGCGGAAUUUUUGGCUAGCAAAGAUGGGGGGCAAGCACCACAUGUUGAAGGAUCUAUGACAAUAUUACUUCUAUGUGAAUAUGAGCAAACAUAAAUCAUUAUGUUGUCUUCCUUGUCCAACGUCAACAAUUUUGGCAUAUAAUAUUUUGAUGGGGGCUCACAAUCACAAAAUAUUUCCAAGAUAGUGUGUUUGCAUGUGAAAGUUCUCUUCCUUAUACUAAUUAUUCGUGAAUUGAUUGUAUGACCAAAAUUUUGAUUGUCAAGCCUCAGAAGAUUUCACUUUCUAAACCCAAUGUGAAGCUACCACUAGGAAUGAUAUGAUUUCAUCUUCAUGACAUUCAAUUUAUUAAAAAAUUUACUCAUAGGAUAUAAGUGAAGCACAAGAGGAAUUCCAAAGAAAGAGCUUCGUUGACGGGAUGUGAAUGUCGCUUACUUAGCUUCCUUGGCAACUAUUUGAGGACUCUAUUUUUUUUAAAACUUUCAGAUCUAAGUAUUUUAUUAAAACAAUAAGGAAAACAAAAUAAAAUGACAUUCCAAGGAUAGCACAUAUCAUGUGAAGAAGCAAAAACUUAGGCUCAACCGAUACUAACCGAUAAUUGUUGAAGGAAAAAGGUGGGAUGCCUACUGGGGCAUCCCCAAGCUUAGAUGCUUGAGACUUCUUGAAAUAUUAUCUUGGGAUGACUUGGGCAUCCCCCAAGCUUGAGAUUUUGUGUCUCCUUAAUUUUUCUCAUAUCACGGUUUUCCUAAAUCUCAAAAGCUUCAUCCACACAAAACUCAACAAGAACUCAUGAGAUAAGUUAGUAUAGACCAAUGCAAAAGCCUUAUCAAUCUCUACUGUAGCAAAUCACUAAAAUUAUUAUUCAACAUUGCAUACUAAAUGCCUCUUCACAUUUAAUACUCCUAUCCUUAAAUAGAGUCAUUAAACAAGCAAACAUAUGCAAACAAUGCAAACAUAACAGCAAUCUGCCAAAACAGUAUAGUCUGUAAAGAAUGCAAGAGUAUCAAUACUUCCCUAACUCCAAAAAUUAUGAAAUUCUACCAUACUGUAGAGAAUUUAUCAGAUCUUAUUACGCAAAAAGUUUCAACAUUUUAUCACACUCUGACUUUUCUAGGGAAUUUUUGCAACAGCGGUAAACUUUCUGUUUUCAAACAGCAACAUGUAGACUUGUAAAAUAAGCAUAGUAAAGGUUAUCCUUGACAUUUUUAUUGAAAUAAAAGAUGCAAAACAUUAUUAUAAAUAAAAUAAAGCAAUUCCUAACAAAAAAACUUUACACUCCAAGCAAAACUCAUAUCAUGUGAAGAAUAAAAACAUAGCUCCAAGUGAGGUUACCGAUAAUGUUGGAGACGAAAGAGGGGAUGCCUUCCAGGGCAUCCCCAAUCUUAGUUGCUUGGAUAUUCCUUGAGUAUUAUUUUGGGGUGCCUUGGGCAUCCCCAUGCUUAGGGUCUUGACACUCCUUAUUCUCCUCAUAUCGAUAUCUCACCCAAAACUUGAAAACUUCAAUCACACAAAACUUAACAGAACUUCGUGAGAUAGGUUGGUAUAAUAAAGAGCAAACCAUUUCACUUUUGGUACUGUGAAAGACAAGAUUCAUAAUUUUUCUCACACAAUUCCUACUGUAGAAUAUCAUUUCCACAAUUUAUAUUGAGCAAUAUAAGCCAUAGAAACUAGAAAGCAAGCAAACUAUGCAUUGAAAACAGAAUCUGUCAAAAACAGAACAGUCUGUAAUAAUCUGGAUAACUGCCAUACUUCUUGUACUCCAAAAAUUAUGAAAAAAUUAGGACCACGUGAGAAAUUUGUAUAUUAAACUUCUGCAAAAAUAAUCAACUCAAAAUCACUCUUCUGUUAAAAAUGAGACUUAUUUUCAUGAGCGCAAAAGUUUCUGUUUUUCAGCAGGGUCAAAUCAACUAUCACCCAACAUGAUCCCAAAGGCUUUACUUGGCACUUUAUUGAAACAAAAGCUAUAAAAAUGAUCAAUGCAGUAGCAUAAUCAUGUUAACACACAAAAACCGUAAGUAAAAGUGUUGGGUUGUCUCCCAACAAGCGCUUUUCUUUAAUGCCUUUUAGCUAGGCAUGAUGAGUUCAAUGAUGCUCGCAUAAAAUUAAGAUAAGAAUUGAAACACAAAGAGAGCAUCAUGAAGAAUAUGACUAGCACAUUUAAGUCUAACCCACUUCCUAUUUAUUGGGAUUUUGUUAGCAAACAAUUUAUGGGAGCAAGAAUCAACUAGCAUAGGAAGGCAAAACAAGCAUAGCUUCAAAACUUUCAACAUAAAGAGAGGAAACUUGAUAUUAUUGAACCUAAUAGCAUAUGUUCCUCUCUCGUAAUAAUUUUCAGUAGCAUCAUGAAUGAAUUCAACAAUAUAAACAUCACAUAAAGCAUUCUUUUCAUGAUCCACAAGCAUAGAAAUUUUGUUACUCUCCACAUAAGAAAAUUUCUUCUCAUCAAUAGUAGUGCGAGCAAACUCAACAAAAUAACUCUCAUGUGAUUGGAAAUUAAAAUCAUGAUGACAAGUUUCAUGUUUAUAAUUAUUCAAUAUAGCAUAUAUGUCAUCACCAUAAUCAUCAUAUAUAGGAACUUUGUUGUCAUAAUCAAUUGCAACCUCCUCCAAAAUAGUGGAUUCAUCAUUAAAUAAAGUCACGACCUCUCCAAAUCCACUUUCAUCAAUAUAAUCAUCAUAAAUAGGAGGCAUGCAAUCAUCAUAAUAAAUUUUCUCAUUAAAACUUGGGGGACUAAAAAUAUCAUCUUCAGCAAACAUAGCAUCCCCAAGCUUAUGGCUUUGCAUAUCAUUAGCAUCAUGGAUAUUCAAAGAAUUCAUACUAACAACAUUGCAAUCAUGCUCAUCAUUCAAAUAUUUUGUGCCAAACAUUUUAUUGACUUCUUCUUAUAACAAUUGAGAACAAUUUUCCGAUCCAUCAUUUUCAAGAAAGAUAUUAUAAAGAUGAUCAAUAAUAUGAUGCAACCUCAAUUCCAUUUUUUAUGUAGUUUUCUUUUAUAAACCAAACUAGUGAUAAAACAAGAAAGUAAAAUAUUUAAUUGCAAGAUCUAAAGAUAUACCUUCAAGCACCCACCUCCCCGGCAAUGGUGUCAGAAAAGAGCUUGAUGUCUACUACGCAACUUUAUUCUUGUAGACACGUGUUGGGCCUCCAAGCGCAGAGUUUUGUAGGACAGUAGCAAUUUUCCCUCAAGUGUAUGACCUAAGGUUUAUCAAUCUGUGGGUGGCGUAGGAUGAAGAUGGUGUCUCUCAAACAACCCUGCAAUCAAAUACAAGAAAUCUCUUGUGUCCCCAACACACCCAAUAAAAUGGCAAAUUGUAUAGGUGCACUAGUUCGGCGAAGAUAUGGUGAUAAAAGUGUAAUUUUGAUGGUAGAAAUAUAUUUUUAUAAUCUGAAUAAAUAAAAACAGCAAGGUAGCAAAUUUUAAACGGGCACAAAAACGGUAUUGCAAUGCUUGAAAACAAGGCCUAGGGUCCGUAAUUUCGCUAGUGCAAUUUCUCAACAAUGCUAACAUAGUUGGAUCAUAUGAUUAUCCCUCAAAGUGCAAUAAAGAAUCACUCCCGAGUUCCUAAUAGCGGAGAACAAAAGAUAGAAAUUGUUUGUAGGGUACGAGACCACCUCAAAGCUUCCGUUCGAUCUAUUCAAGAGUUCAUACUAAAGUAACACAAAGCUAUUUUUCCGUUCGAUCUAUCCUAGAGUUCGUACUAAAAUAAGACCAAAGCAAAUUCAUAUUCAUAAUACUCAAUCCACACAAAGAACUACAAAGAGACCCCAAAGUUUCUAUCGGAGGAAAGAUGAUAAAAACGUGCAUCAUCCCCUAUGCAUAGAUUACCCCAACGUCACCUCGGGAAUCCGCAAGUUGAGUGCCAUAACAUAUAUCAAGUGAAUCAAUACGAUACCCCAUUGUCACCUCAAGUAUUCAUACCGCAAGACAUACAUCAUGUGUUCUCAUAUCUGAAUAUUCAAUUCGACAAGAAAAAACUUCAAAGGCUAAAGAUUCAAUUCAUCACAACAAGAGUAUAGAGGGGAGAAACAUCAUAUGAUCCAUCUAUAUUAACAAAGCCCAUGAUAUAGAUCACGAGAGAGAGAUUAAACACAUAGCUACUGGUACAAACCCUCAGCCCCGAGGGUGGACUACUCCCUCCUCAUCGUGGUGGCCGCCGAGAUGAUGAAGAUGGCCAUCAGAGAUGAUUCCCCCCCUCCGGCAGGGUGCCAGAAAGGGUCUAGAUUGGUUUUCGGUGGAUAAAGAGCCUUGCGGCGGCGAAACUUCUGAUCUAGGUUAACCCCGAAGGGUUUCGGAAUAUUUGGGAAUUUAUAGUGCAAAGAGGGGGUGCGGGAGGCCACCGAGGUGGGCACAACCCACCUGGGCGCCAGGGGGCCCUGGUGUGCCCUGGUGGGUUGUGCCCCCUCGGGGCACCCCUAGGUGCUUCUUCGGCCCACUGUUGGUCUUUCGGUCCAUAAAAAAUCUCCGUGAAGUUUCAUUGCAUUUGAACUCCGUUUGGUAUUGAUUUCCUGCGAUGUAAAAAACAAGCAAAAAACAGCAACUGGCACUGGGCACUGGGUCAAUAGGUUAGUCCCAAAAAAUGAUAUGAAGUUGCUAUAAAAUGAUUGUUAAACAUCCAAGAAUGAUAAAAUAACAGCAUGAAUACUUCCUAAAUUAUAGAUACGUUGGAGACGUAUCACCACUCGUUAGCCUCCCCACCUCUCGAUCCCAUCUGGAUCGGGGAGGUGAUCGCCCCCAUCAACCCCAUUACCGUCACCGGAUCGCUCGCUCGCCCAUUGCCCACCGGCGUCGCCGGGCCUCCUCCCCGCCCCCCCGUCUCUGGCUCGCCUCCCCCUCGCUCCUCUUCCCCGACCCGAUCUGGAUCCGGAAGGGGCAAUGAGCCUGACGCGCCCCCUUCACCGACGCCGUGUGCCACUACCGCCGCCCAAAGACCUCGCCGUCGCCGGACCUCGCGUCGCCUCCUCGUAUCCUUCCCCGACUCGCCUCCUCAAGCCACGCCGGACCCCUUCUCGGCAAUGUUGUGAGCCGCCCCCCGUUGCCUUCCUCCUCUUUCCACCGCGUUUACCGCGCCGCCAACCGUGCCCCUCGCCGCGCGCACGCCCACCACCACGCCAGCCCCCGCUUCGCACCCUCUCCUGCACGCUUGCGCGCGCAUUACCCUAGCCGUGCCCGUGGCACGAUCCCCUUGUUCGCCCCGCCUUCGUCCCGCGCUCGCCGCGGUCCCCUGCUACCUCUUGAGCACUGCGUUGGUUUUCCCUUGAAGAGGAAAGGGUGAUGCAGUAAAGUAGCGUAAGUAUUUCCCUCAGUUUUUGAGAACCAAGGUAUCAAUCCAGUAGGAGACCACGCACGAGUCCCCCGCACCUACACAAACAAACAAGAACCUCGCAACCAAUGCGAUAAAGGGGUUGUCAAUCCCUCAACGGUCACUUACGAGAGUGAGAUCUAAUAGAUAUGAUAAAAGAUAAUAUUUUUGGUAUUUUUAUGAUAAAGAUGCAAAGUAAAAUAGAAGGCAAUAAAAAUAGCUAAGUGUUGGAAGAUUUAUAUGAUGGAAAAUAGACCCGGGGCCAUAGGUUUCACUAGUGGCUUCUCUCGAGAGCAUAAGUAUUACGGUGGGUGAACAAAUUACUGUUGAGCAAUUGACAGAAUUGAGCAUAGUUAUGAGAAUAUCUAGGUAUGAUCAUGUAUAUAGGCAUGACGUCCGAGACAAGUAGACCGACUCCUGCCUGUAUCUACUACUAUUACUCCACACAUCGACCGCUAUCCAGCAUGCAUCUAGAGUAUUAAGUUCAAAAGAACAGAGUAACGCUUUAAGUAAGAUGACAUGAUGUAAAGGGAUAAACUCAUGCAAUAUGAUAUAAACCCCAUCUUGUUAUCCUCGAUGGCAACAAUACAAUACGUGCCUUGCCGCCCCUACUGUCACUGGGAAAGGACACCGCAAGAUUGAACCCAAAGCUAAGCACUCUCCCAUUGCAAGAAAGAUCAAUCUAGUAGGCCAAACCAAACUGAUAAUUCAAAGAGACUUGCAAAGAUAACCAAUCAUACAUAAAAUAAUUCAGAGAAAAUUCAAAUAUUGUUCAUAGAUAAACUUGAUCAUAAACCCACAAUUCAUCGGUCUCAACAAACAAACCGCAAAAGAAGAUUACAUCGAAUAGAUCUCCACGAGAAUCAUGGAGAACUUUGUAUUGAGAUCCAAAGAGAGAGAAGAAGCCAUCUAGCUAAUAACUAUGGACCCGAAGGUCUGAGGUAAACUACUCACACAUCAUCGGAGAGGCUAUGGUGUUGAUGUAGAAGCCCUCCGUGAUCAAUGCCCCCUCCGGCAGGACGCCGGAAAAGGCCCCAAGAUGGGAUCUCACNNNNNNNNNNNNNNNNNNNNNNNNNNNNNNNNNNNNNNNNNNNNNNNNNNNNNNNNNNNNNNNNNNNNNNNNNNNNNNNNNNNNNNNNNNNNNNNNNNNNNNNNNNNNNNNNNNNNNNNNNNNNNNNNNNNNNNNNNNNNNNNNNNNNNNNNNNNNNNNNNNNNNNNNNNNNNNNNNNNNNNNNNNNNNNNNNNNNNNNNNNNNNNNNNNNNNNNNNNNNNNNNNNNNNNNNNNNNNNNNNNNNNNNNNNNNNNNNNNNNNNNNNNNNNNNNNAAGUCCUUUGGAUCACGUUCGUUCCGAAAAUCACGUUCCCGAAGGUUUCAUUCCGUUUGGACUCCGUUUGAUAUUCUUUUUCUGCGAAACUCUGAAAUAGGCAAAAAACAACAAUUUGGGCCGGGCCUCCGGUUAAUAGGUUAGUCCCAAAAAUGAUAUAAAAGUGUAUAAUAAAGCCUGUUAAACAUCCAAAACAGAAUAUAAUAUAGCAUGAAGCAAUCAAAAAUUAUAGAUACGUUGGAGACGUAUCAAGCAUCCCCAAGCUUAAUUCCUGCUCGUCCUCGAGUAGGUAAAUGAUAAAAACAGAAUUUUUGAUGCGGAAUGCUACUUGGCAUAAUUUUCAAUGUAAUUCUCUUAUUUGUGGUAUGAAUGUUCAGAUCCGAAAGAUUCAAGACAAAAGUUUAAUAUUGACAUAAAAAUAAUAAUUCUUCAAGCAUACUAACUAAGCAAUUAUGUCUUCUCAAAAUAACAUGGCCAAAGAAAGUUAUCCCUACAAAAUAAUAUAGUCUGGCUAUGCUCUAUCUUCACCACACAACGUAUUUAAAUCAUGCACAACCCCGAUGACAAGCCAAGCAAUUGUUUCAUACUUUUGGUGUUCUCAAACUUUUUCAAUCUUCACGCAAUACAUGAGCGUGAGCCAUGGACAUAGCACUAUAUGUGGAAUAGAAUGGUGGUUGUGGAGAAGACAAAAAGAGGGAGAAGAUAGUCUCACAUCAACUAGGCGUAUCAACGGGCUAUGGAGAUGCCCAUUAAUAGAUAUCAAUGUGAGUGAGUAGGGAUUGCCAUGCAAUGGAUGCACUAGAGCUAUAAGUAUAUGAAAGCUCAACAAAAGAAACUAUGUGGGUGUGCAUCCAACUCGCUUGCUCACGCAGACCUAGGGCAUUUUGAGGAAGCUCAUCAUUGGAAUAUACAAGCCAAGUUCUAUAAUGAAAAAUUCCCACUAGUAUAUGAAAGUGAUAUCAUAGGAGACUCUCUAUCAUGAAGAUCAUGGUGCUACUUUGAAGCACAAGUGUGGUAAAAGGAUAGUAACAUUGUCCCUUCUCUCUUUUUCUCUCAUUUUUUAGCUGGGCCUUUUCUCCUUUUUUAUGGCCUCUUUUUUUUAGUCCGAAGUCUCAUCCCGACUUAUGGGGGAAUCAUAGUCUCCAUCAUCCUUUCCUCACUUGGGACAAUGCUCUAAAAAUGAUGAUCAUUACACUUUUAUUUACUUACAACUCAACAAUUACAACUUAAUACUUAGAACAAAAUAUGACUCUAUGUGAAUGCCUCCGGCGGUGUACCGGGAUAUGCAAUGAAUCAAGAGUGACAUGUAUGAAAGAAUUAUGAAUGGUGGCUUUGCCACAAAUACGAUGUCAACUACAUGAUCAUGCGAGGCAAUAUGACAAUGAUGGAGCGUGUCAUAGUAAACGGAACGGUGGUAAGUUGCAUGGCAAUAUAUCUCGGAAUGGCUAUGGAAAUGCCAUGAUAGGUAGCUAUGGUGGCUGUUUUGAGGAAGGUAUAUGGUGGGUGUAUGAUACCGGUGAAAAGUGCGCGGUAUUAGAGAGGCUAGCAAUGGUGGAAGGAAGAAAAAUGUGUAUAAUCCAUGGACUCAACAUUAGUCAUAAAGAACUCAUAUACUUAUUGCAAAAAUCUACAAGUUAUCAAAGAAAAGUAUUACGCGCAUGCUCCUAGGGGGAUAGAUUGGUAGGAAAAUACCAUCGCUCGUCCCCGACCGCCACUCAUAAGGAAGAAAAUCAAUAAAUAAAUCAUUCUCCGACUUCAUCACAUAACGGUUCACCAUACGUGCAUGCAACGGGAAUCACAAACUUUAACACAAUUAUUUCUCAAAUCCACACCUACUCAACUAGCAUGACUCUAAUAUCACUAUCUUCAUAUCUCAAAACAAUUAUCAAGCAUCAAACUUCUCAUAGUAUUCAACACACUCAUAAGAAACUUUUUGUUAAUCUCGAAUGCCUAUCAUAAUUAAAGCAAAUUACCACGCUGUUUUGUAGGACUCUCAAAAUAAUAUAAGUGAAGCAUGAGAGAACAAUAGUUUCUAUAAAACAAAUCCACCACCGUGCUCUAAAAGAUAUAAGUGAAGCACUAGAGCAAAAACUAUAUAGCUCAAAAGAUAUAAGUGAAGCACAUAGAGUAUUCUAACAAAUUCCGAAUCAUGUGUGUCUCUCUCAAAAGGUGUGUGCAGAAAGGAUGAUUGUGGCAAACUAACAAAUAAAGACUCAAAUAAUACGAGACGCUCCAAGCAAAACACAUAUCACGUGGUGAAUAAAAAUAUAGCUCCAAGUAAAGUUACCGAUGGAAGUAGACGAAAGAGGGGAUGCCUUCCGGGGCAUCCCCAUGCUUUGGCUUUUUGGUAUCCUUAGAUUAUCUUGGGGUGCCAUGGGCAUCCCCAAGCUUAGGCUCUUUCCACUCCUUGUUCCAUAAUCCAUCAAAUCUUCCACCCAAAACUUGAAAACUUCACAACACAACACUUAACAAAAAAUCUCGUGAGCUCCGUUAGCGAAAGAAAACAAAACACCACUUCAAGGUACUGUAAUGAACUCAUUAUUUAUUUAUAUUGGUGUUAAACCUACUGUAUUCCAACUUCUCUAUGGUUUAUAAACUAUUUUAUUAGCCAUAGAUUCAUCAAAAUAAGCAAAGAACACACGAAAAACAGAAUCUGUCAAAAACAGAACAGUCUGUAGUAAUCUGUAACUAACGCAAACUUCUGGAACUCAAAAAGUUCAGCCAAAAUAGGACAACCUAUACCAUUUGUUUAUUGAUCAGAAGCACUUGGAAUCAAUAUUUUAUCUCGUUCCGGUGAUUUUUAACAAUUGUUUUCGUGAACAGAAAGUUUCUGGAAUUUUCAGCAAGAUCAAAUAACUAUCAUCCAAGAAGAUCCUAUAGGUUUAACUUGGCACAAACACUAAUUAAAACAUAAAAACAAAUCUAACCAUAGGUUAGAUCAAAGAUUUAUUCCUAAACAGAAGAAAAAAGUAAAAAACUAAAAAUAAAAUUGGGUUGCCUCCCAACAAGCGCUAUCGUUUAACGCCCCUAGCUAGGCAUAAAAGCAAGGAUAGAUCUAGGUAUUGCCAUCUAUGGUAGGAAAUUCUUCAAUAAGACACCUAUCACCCUUAGGAGUUUCUUUCUUUCUAUUAAUUAUCAAACUUCUAGGCACAAAAUCGAAAAAAGCAUUUGCAGCAAAUGGUUCCUUAAUGAUAGCAAGGAGAUUGGGAUGAACACUUAUUGAUUUGAGAUCCGCAGUUUCCUUAUUAGAGGAUUCACCCUUAUUUUUAGGAACAUACAUAAGCUUAGCAAUUUUAGUAGGAGGACUUGGGGUAUUCUUUACGGAAGAAAAGGCGGUUCCCAAGUUGGUAAUGAUACCCUCAAGUUUUUCUUCAUAAGAUUGCAUCAAAGCAUCAACGAUAUGUUUAGUAAAAGCUUUAUUUUGACUAUAAGCAUGUGGAGAAUUUAUCACGGAUUGCAACAAGGAAAUACAAUCUAUCAAAGAGCAAUUAUCAUAAUUAAAUUCCUCGAAAUCCAAAAUAGUGGGUUCAUUAAUAUCUAGAGUUUUGAUCUCUUCAAUCCCACUUUUACCAAUUUUUGCAUCAAGAUCUAUCAACUCCGAAUUUUUGGAACGCCUUCUAGGUAAAGGUGGAUCAUAUUCAGUCCCAUCAUUAUCAAGAUUAAUAUUGAAAAACAAAGAUUUAAUAGGGGACACAUCAAUAACUUUUAGAUCUUCAUCUUUAUUUUCAUAGAAACUAGAAGAACACGCUUUCACAAAGCAAUCUUUCUUAGCACGCAUCCUAGCGGUUCUUUCUUUGCACUCAUCAAUGGAAAUUCUCAUGGAUUUGAGAGACUCAUUGAUAUCAUGCUUAGGAGGAAUAGAUCUAAGUUUCAAGGAAUCAACAUCAAGAGAAAUUCUAUCAACGUUUCUAGCCAAUUCAUCAACUUUAAGCAAUUUUUCUUCAAGCAAAGCAUUGAAAUUCUUUUGCGAAUUCAUAAAUUCUUUAACACUAGUCUCAAAUUAAGAGGGCAUCUUAUUUAAAUUUCCAUAAGAAUUGUUGUAGGAAUUACCAUAAUUAUUAGAGGAAUUACUAUGGUACGGCCUAGGAUUAAAGUUUCCUCUAUACGCGUUGAUACCAAAAUUAUUCCUACCAACAAAAUUCACAUCCAUAGAUUCAUUAUUAUUCUCAAUCAAAGUAGACAAAGGCAUAUCAUUAGGAUCAGAAAGAAACACUUUUAUUAGCAAAUAAUUUCAUAAGUUCAUCCAUCUUUCCACUCAAAACAUUAAUUUCUUCUAUCGCAUGCACUUUCUUAUUAGUAGAUCUUUCAGUGUGCCAUUGAGAAUAAUUAACCAUAAUAUUAUCUAGGAGUUUAGUAGCUUCUCCUAAAGUGAUUUCCAUAAAAGUGCCUCCCGCGGCCGAAUCUAAAAGAUUUCUAGAAGCAAAAUUCAAUCCGGCAUAAUUUUUUUGUAUAAUCAUCCACAGAUUCAAACCAUCGGUAGGGCAAUUACGCAUCAUUAAUGAUUUUAGCCGGAGGAAAAUACUUAGAAUUCAUACAAAACUUAGAGAUAAAAUUCAUAAUAUCGUUUCUAAGAGAGAUGAUUUUAGCCGGAGGAAAAUACUUACAGAUAAAAGCAUCUUUGCACUUAUUCCAAGAAUCAAUACUAUUUUUAGGCAAAGACGAAAACCAAGAUUUAGCACGAUCUCUAAGCGAAAAAGGAAAUAGCUUCAAUUUAACAAUAUCAUUGUCCACAUCUUUCUUCUUUUGCACAUCACACAAAUCAACGAAGCUAUUUAGAUGGGUAGCGGCAUCUUCACUAGGAAGGCCAGCGAAUUGAUCUUUCAUGACAAGAUUCAACAAAGCAGCAUUGAUUCCACAAGACUCAGUAUCGGUAAGAGGAGCAAUCGGAGUGCUAAGAAAAUCAUUGUUGUUGGUAUUGGUAAAGUCACACAAUUUAGUAUUAUCUUGAGCCAUCGUGACAAGCAAGCAAUCCAACAAACGAGCAAACAAGAAGCAAGCGAAAAAGAGGCGAAUGGAAAAGAGAGGGCGAAUAAAACAGCAAGGGUAAAGUGGGGGAGAGGAAAACGAGAGGCAAAUGGCAAAUAAUGUAAUGCGAGGGAGAUGAGUUUGUGAUGGGUACUUGGUAUGUCUUGACUUGACUUGACUUGGCGUAGAUCUCCCCGGCAACGGCGCCAGAAAUCCUUCUUGCUACCUCUUGAGCACUGCGUUGGUUUUGCCUUGAAGAGGAAAGGGUGAUGCAGUAAAGUAGCAUAAGUAUUUCCCUCAGUUUUUGAGAAUCAAGGUAUCAAUCCAGUAAGCGACCACUGUCACGCCCAAGAUGCGACCCUAUCCUAAAGUAACUUGAAGGUCCCACCAAGGAUAGAAGUGCAUCUUGAAGACGCUUUUGCAAGGUGGAUAUCAUUACAUCGACAUUACAUAAUAGAUGGGGAUACAUACAAGGCAAACAAAUGUCGCAAGAAUACAUCAAUAGAUCAUGAUCAACAUCCGACUACGGAUGAAACACAAACAGAAACUCAAACGACAUCCACCCUGCUAGCCCAGGCUGCCGACCAGGAACCUAACCCAAGAUCGGCGAAGAAGAAGAAGAACUCCAACACAAGCAAUCGAGCAUCGCUCUCACGUCAUGAGCAUCACACAACCUGUACCUGCAACUGUUGGUGUAGUAAUCUGUGAGCCACGAGGACUCAGCAAUCCCAUUACCAUGGGUACCAAGACUAGCAAAGCUUAAUGGGUAAGGAAGGGGUAAAGUGGUGAGGUUGCAGCACCGGCUAAGCAAAGUAUGGUGGCUAACUUACAAAACAAGAGCGAGAAGAGGAGCUAAGCAAACGGUCGCCAACUAGUAAUGAUCAAGAAGUGAUCCUGAACUCCUACUUACGUCAAACAUAACACAAACCGUGUGCUCCUCCCGAACUUCCUCGAAAAGAGACAAUCACGGGUACCCACGCGGUUAGUGUAUUUUAGAAGAGUUUACUUCAAGUUUACUACAACCGGAUAUUAACAAAUUCCCAUCUGCCACAUAACCGCGGGCACGGCUCUCGAAAGUUUAUACCCUGCAGGGGUGUCCCAACUUAGCCCAUCACAAGCUCUCACGAUCAACGAAGGAUAUUCCUUCUCCCGGGAAGACCCGAUCAGACUCGGAAUCCCGGUUACAAGACAUUUCGACAAUGGUAAAACAAGACCAGCAAGACCGCCCGAACGUGCCGACAAAUCCCGAUAGGAGCUGCACAUAUCUCGUUCUCAGGGCACAUCCGGAUGAGACAUCCUACGAGUGAAACCAGCCCUCAAGUUUCCCCAAGGUGGCCCCGCAGUCUACUCAGCUCGGACCAGCACUUAGAGGAGCACUGGCCCGAGGGGGGGGGGCUAAAAUAAAGAUGACCCUCAGGCUCCGGAAACCCAAGGGAAAAAUUCUUAGGUGAGGCAAAUGGUAAAACCAAUGUUGGGCCUUGCUGGAGGAGUUUAUUCAAGGCGAACUGUCAAGGGGUUCCCAUAACACCCAACCGCGUUAGGGACGAAAAAUCCGGGAACAUAAUACCGAUAUGACGGAAACUAGGGCGGCAAGAGUGGAACAAAACACCAGGCAUAAGGCCGAGCCUUCCACCUUUUACCAAGUAUAUUGAUGCAUUAAUAAUAUAAGAGAUAUUGUGACAUCCCAACAUAAACAUAUUACCACAUGGAGCAAUCUUCAUCUUCACCUGCAACUAGCAACGCUAUAAGAGAGGCUGAGCAAAUGCGGUAACAUAGCCAAACAACGGUUUGCUAGGAAGGGUGACAAAGGUUAGAGAUUCAAGGCAAUUUGGGAGGCUUGAUAAGCAAGUGGUAGGUAACGCGGCAUAACGCUAGCAUCGAGGCACCUAGCAUAGCAAUGAUAGUAAUGAGAUCCAAGGUGACGGUAAUCUUGCCUGAAAUCCCGCUAGGAAGAAGAACGGCUCCAUGAAGAAGAUGAAGCCACGAAGACGAACCAAGCGUAGACGAACAAAUCCUCACGAUCGCAACAAAACGGGAACUAUCGAGAAGAAGCACACAACAUGGUAAACACACCACACAUGAACAAGGCAUGAUGCUCAAUCAAGUAUGAUGCAUGGCAAGGCUACAUGAGGCUACGCAUGGCAAGAGAUGAUGCAUACAAGAGCAACACAUCAAAGCAAGUUUAAAUGAGGCCGGAAACAACAUAUAACAAUUCCGGUAAGUCCUAUGCAAAUUUUGAAAUUGGUCCAGAUCUGAAUAAACCUUAUGUUCAAGUUGUUAAACAGCAGUCUACUCGGUUCGGACCAGCACUGGCCCCGGUGGGGGGGGGGCUAAAAUAAAGAUGACCCUCGGGCUCCGGAAACCCAAGGGAAAAAGGCUUAGGUGAGGCAAAUGGUAAAACCAAUGUUGGGCCUUGCUGGAGGAGUUUUAUUCAAGGCGAACUGUCAAGGGGUUCCCAUAAAACCCAACCGCGUUAGGGACGCAAAAUCCGGGAACAUAAUACCGAUAUGACGGAAACUAGGGCGGCAAGAGUGGAACAAAACACCAGGCAUAAGGCCGAGCCUUCCAACUUUUGCCAAGUAUAUAGAUGCAUUAAUAAUAUAAGAGAUAUUGUGAUAUCCCAACAUAAACAUAUUACCACAUGGAGCAAUCUUCAUCUUCACCUGCAACUAGCAACGCUAUAAGAGAGGCUGAGCAAAUGCGGUAACAUAACAACGGUUUGCUAGGAAGGGUGACAAAGGUUAGAGGUUCAUGGCAAUUUGGGAGGCUUGAUAAGCAAGUGGUAGGUAAAGCGGCAUAGCGAUAGCAUCGAGGCAACUAGCAUAGCAAUGAUAGUAAUGAGAUCCAAGGUGACGGUAAUAUUGCCUUAAAUCCCGCUAGGAAGAAGAACGGGUCCAUGAAGAAGAUGAAGCCACGACGACGAAUAAACGGAAGACACCUGGCGCAUCCCAUUCCGAGAACAUUCAAAUGCCACUCACGAAACGAGGUCUGAGAGGGGCAACGGGUGCGUGUGGGAGUGUCGGAACGCGAAACGGACAACGGGGAAAAAGACUGGAUGCAAGCUUUGAAAACAUGAGGAUGCAAUGCAGAUGAUGACAUGACAAAAUGCAACACGCAAGCAAAUGACAUGGAAACGACGAUGAAUAAACGGAAGACACCUGGCGCAUCGGAUUCGGGGCGUUACAACCACGCAUGAGUCCCUCGCACCUACACAAACAAACAAGAACCUCGCAACCAACGUGAUAAAGGGGUUGUCAAUCCCUCAACGGUCACUUACGAGAGUGAGAUCUGAUAGAUAUGAUAAGAUAAUAUUUUUGGUAUUUUUAUGAUAAUGAUGCAAAGUAAAAUAAAAGGCAAUAAAAAUAGCGAAGUGUUGGAAGAUUUAUAUGAUGGAAAAUAGACCCGGGGGCCAUAGGUUUCACUAGUGGCUUCUCUCGAGAGCAUAAGUAUUAUGGUGGGUGAACAAAUUACUGUUGAGCAAUUGACAGAAUUGAGCAUAGUUAUGAGAAUAUCUAGGUAUGAUCAUGUAUAUAGGCAUCACGUCCGAGACAAGUAGACCGACUCCUGCCUGCAUCUACUACUAUUACUCCACACAUCGACCGCUAUCCAGCAUGCAUCUACAGUAUUAAGUUCAAAAGAACAGAGUAACGCUUUAAGUAAGAUGACAUGAUGUAGAGGGAUAAACUCAUGCAAUGUGAUAUAAACCCCAUCUUGUUAUCCUUGAUGGCAACAAUACAAUACGUGCCUUGCUGCCCCUACUGUCACUUGGAAAGGACACCGCAAGAUUGAACCCAAAGCUAAGCACUUCUCCCAUUGCAAGAAAGAUCAAUCUAGUAGGCCAAACCAAACUGAUAAUUCGAAGAGACUUGCAAAGAUAACCAAUCAUACAUAAAAGAAUUCAGAGAAGAUUCAAAUAUUGUUCAUAGAUAAACUUGAUCAUAAACCCACAAUUCAUCGGUCUCAACAAACAGACCGCAAAAGAGGAUUACAUCGAAUAGAUCUCCACGAGAAUCGCGGAGAACAUUGUAUUGAGAUCCAAAGAGAGAGAAGAAGCCAUCUAGCUAAUAACUAUGGACUCGAAGGUCUGAGGUAAACUACUCACACAUCAUCGGAGAGGCUAUGGUGUUGAUGUAGAAUCCCUCCGUGAUCAAUGCCCCCUCCGGCAGGACGCCGGAAAAGGCCCCAAGAUGGGAUCUCACGGGUACAGAAGGUUCCGGCGGUGGAAUUAGGUUUUCGUGGAUGCUUCUGUUGGUUUGGGGGUACGUGGGAUAUAUAGGAGUAAGAAGUACGUCGGUGGAGCAACAUGGCCCCCACGAGGGUNNNNNNNNNNNNNNNNNNNNNNNNNNNNNNNNNNNNNNNNNNNNNNNNNNNNNNNNNNNNNNNNNNNNNNNNNNNNNNNNNNNNNNNNNNNNNNNNNNNNNNNNNNNNNNNNNNNNNNNNNNNNNNNNNNNNNNNNNNNNNNNNNNNNNNNNNNNNNNNNNNNNNNNNNNNNNNNNNNNNNNNNNNNNNNNNNNNNNNNNCCCCUACCUCGUGCCCUCCUCGUAGCUUUCUUGACAUAGGGUCCAAGUCCUCUGGAUCACGUUCGUUCCGAAAAUCACGUUCCCGAAGGUUUCAUUCCGUUUGGACUCCGUUUGAUAUUCUUUUUCUGCGAAACUCUGAAAUAGGCAAAAAACAUCAAUUUGGGCUGGGCCUCCGGUUAAUAGGUUAGUUCCAAAAAUGAUAUAAAAGUGUAUAAUAAAGCCAGUUAAACAUCCAAAAUAGAAUAUAAUAUAGCAUGAAGCAAUAAAAAAUUAUAGAUACGUUGGAGACGUAUCAUCCCCAUGCCCCCCGCGCACUCUUUCGGGGGCGCCGGCUGCCCCUGUCCCGCUGCUCACCGUCGCGCUGAAGGAAAUAUGCCCUAGAGGCAAUAAUAAAUUUAUUUUUUAUUUCCUUAUUUCAUGAUAAAUGUUUAUUAUUCAUGCUAGAAUUGUAUUAACCGGAAACUUAGUACAUGUGUGAAUACAUAGACAAACAGAGUGUCACUAGUAUGCCUCUACUUAACUAGCUCGUUGAAUCAAAGAUGGUUAAGUUUCCUAGCCAUAGACAUGAGUUGUCAUUUGAUUAACGGGAUCACAUCAUUAGAGAAUGAUGUGAUUGAAUUGACCCAUUCCGUAAGCUUAGCACUUGAUCAUUUAGUAUGUUGCUAUUGCUUUCUUCAUGACUUAUACAUGUUCCUAUGACUAUGAGAUUAUGCAACUCCCAAGUAACGGAGGAACACUUAGUGUGCUACCAAACAUCACAACGUAACUGGGUGAUUAUAAAGAUGCUCUACACGUGUCUCCGAUGGUACUUGUUGAGUUGGCAUAGAUCGAGAUUAGGAUUUGUCACUCCAAUUAUCGGAGAGGUAUCUCUGGGCCCUCUCGGUAAUGCACAUCACUAUAAGCCUUGCAAGCAAUGUGACUGAUGAGUUAGUUGCGGAAUGAUGCAUUACAGAACGAGUAAAGAGACUUGCCGGUAAUGAGAUUGAACUAGGUAUUGAGAUACCGACGAUCGAAUCUCGGGCAAGUAACAUACCGAUGACAAAGGGAACAACGUAUGUUGUUAUGCGGUUUGACCGAUAAAGAUCUUAGUUGAAUAUGUAGGAACAAAUAUGAGCAUCCAGGUUCCGCUAUUGGUUAUUGACCGGAGAUGAGUCUCGGUCAUGUCUACAUAGUUCUCGAACCCGUAGGGUCUGCACGCUUAACGUUCUGUGAUUAUCGGUAUUAUGAGUUUAUGUGUUUUGAUGUACCGAAGGUUGUUCGGAGUCCCGGAUGUGAUCAAGGACAUGACGAGGAGUCUCGAAAUGGUCGAGACAUAAAGAUCGAUAUAUUGGAUGGCUAUGUUUGGACAUCGGAAUGGUUCCGGUGAGUUCGGGCAUUUACCGGAGUACCGGGCGGUAACCAGAACCCCCCGGGGAGUGUAUGGGCCUUAUUGGGCCUUAGUGGGAGAGAGGAGGAGGCGGCCUAGGAGGGGGCGCACCCCCCAAGCCCAAUCUGAAUUGGGAGGGGGGCCGGCCCCCCUUUCCUUCCUCCCUCUCUCCUCCUUCCUUCCUCUCCUACUCCUACUUGGAAGGGGGGAAUCCUACUCCCGGUGGGAGUAGGACUCCCCUAGGGCGCGCCAUAGAGAGGGCCGGCCCUCCCCCUCCACUCCUUUAUAUACGGGGGAGGGGGGCACCCCAUAGGCACACAAGUUGAUCAUUGUCUUAGCCGUCUGCGGUGCCCCCCUCCACCAUAAUCCACCUCGGUCAUAUCAUCGUAGUGCUUAGGCGAAGCCCUGCACCUGUAGCUUCAUCAUCACCGUCAUCACGUUGUCGUGCUGAUGAAGCUCUCCCUCGACACUCAGCUGGAUCGAGAGUUCGUGGGACGUCACUGAGAUGAACGUGUGCAGAUCGUGGAGGUGUCGUACUUUCGGUACUAGGAUCGGUCGGAUCGUGAAGACGUACGAUUACAUCAACUGCUUUGUCACAACGCUUCCGCUUACGGUCUACGAGGGUACGUGGACUACACUCUCCCCUCUCGUUGCUAUGCAUCACCAUGAUAGAUCUUGUGUGUGCGUAGGAUUUUUUUGAAAUUACUGCGUUCCCCAACACGCGCCUCCCCUGCCCGUGCCUCGCCACCGCUCUGCUGCUACGCUACUACUGCGUUGUGGCUGCCGCCGCUUCCCGCUGCUCCGCCAGCGCCGUAGUUCCCGGUUGGCUCCGCCNNNNNNNNNNNNNNNNNNNNNNNNNNNNNNNNNNNNNNNNNNNNNNNNNNNNNNNNNNNNNNNNNNNNNNNNNNNNNNNNNNNNNNNNNNNNNNNNNNNNNNNNNNNNNNNNNNNNNNNNNNNNNNNNNNNNNNNNNNNNNNNNNNNNNNNNNNNNNNNNNNNNNNNNNNNNNNNNNNNNNNNNNNNNNNNNNNNNNNNNNNNNNNNNNNNNNNNNNNNNNNNNNNNNNNNNNNNNNNNNNNNNNNNNNNNNNNNNNNNNNNNNNNNNNNNNNNNNNNNNNNNNNNUAACCAUUUAAUAAAUUAAAACUCUUAAAUUAACAUUAGUGUAUGACAUGUGGGUCCCCUAUUAAUUAAACUGAUUUAAUUAAUUUCUAUUAACUUUGAGUCUAUGACAUAUUGGCCCCACUGAACAUUUGACUAGUCAACGGUCCAGUCAAAUGCUGACCGGACAGUUGACCAGAGGGCCCCACCAGUCAGCCUCUGUGCUGUUCUGCUGGGUACCUUUCUGAGUACACCUAGCAUUUCGCAUUUACAAUAUAUGUUUUAAAAUAAAUUAGAAUAAUUUAAAAAAAUGAUUAAAACUUUUAAAAUUAAAAUAAAAUAAUCCGUAACUCGGAUGAAAUUACUUUAUACAUGGAAGUUGCUCAAAAAACGAGACGAAUACGAAUACACAGUCCGUUCGUCUGGCACACGUCCCUAGCAUAGCGAAAAUGCAACCACCCCCCUCCGGUUCGACUGUCCGAAAAUGUCAAACACCGGGAAUAAGUUUCCGGAUGUUUCUCCCUUCACCAGUAGCACCUAGUACCAUGUGAGGGCAUACCUAGCACCACUUAUUGUCAUGUCAUGCAUCGUCAAGCAUCUGUUUGCAUUGUAUUCAUUGUUUCUUCCUCCUCUUCUCUCCGGUAGACUACGAGACCGACGCCGCUGCUGCCCCGGUCGACUAUGGUGUUGACGACCCCUCCUUGUCAGCAGAGCUUCCAGGCAAGCAAACCCCCUUGAUCAUCCCAAUAUUGCCUACUCUUUCCCUCUACUGCUUGCAUUAGAGUAUUGUUACUGUUUGUCAGUUUGAUCCUAUACUGCUGCAUGGCCUGUCUUUGAUACUACUUUUGAUACCUUUACCUGCAAUCCUAAAUGCUUAGUGUAGGAUGCUAGUACUUCAUCAAUGGACCUACAUUCUUGUCCGUCUGCCAUGCUAUACUGUCGGGCCGUGAUCACUUCGGGAGGUGAUCAAGAGUAUAUACUAUAUACAUAUUAUACUUGACACAUGAUGUGACUAAAAUCGGGUCGGCACGUAGAGUACCCACGAGUGAUUCAUGACCUAGGGGCUGAAGGGGCAUGUGGUUCCAUCCAGGUUGUGAUGGGCCUGGGUUCCCGACGCCCCCCCCACCCCGAGUGAUUCUUUGUGGCGGAGCGACAGGGCAGGUUGUGACCACCUAGGAGAUAGGUGGGCCUGGUCCUGGUCGGCGUCCGUGGUUACUUCAAAAUAAUACGCUUAACGAGGUUGGGUAUUUGAUCUGAGUUGGUCGUUGGCCUUAUUCGCACUAACCGCCACGUGGGACAAGAUAUGGGCAACCAGUGUCGUAGUAUCAGCCAAAGCUCUUCAGACGUCAGUGACUGAGUGGUGCGCGCCGGGUUGGACCGCGUAAUGCAUCCUCCUUUGUAAUGGAGGUUCCUAGCUCUGCUCACCGACGAUGUUCGCAACAUGCAGGAGUGCAACGGGCGAUGGGCCCAAGACCCCUGCGCGCUUAGGAUUUAGAUCGGCGUACUGACCUCUCUGUUGGGCCUAGGUAGGGUUGCGACGUGUUGAUCUUCCGAGGCCGUACGUGACCCAGGAAAGUGUGCCCAGCCAGAGCGAUCGAGCAUUUUCGGGUAAUGUGGUGCACCCCUGGAGGGAAGAUUGAUCUAUUCGGAUAGCCGUGUCCACGGUAACAGGAAGACUUGGAGUUGCAUUUCGACCUCAUGACAACUAGAGCCGGAUACUUAAUAAAACUCACCCAGAUAUGUUCCAGAUACAACCCGGUGAUCGCUCUCUCACAGGGUGACGAGGAGAGGAUCGUCGGGUAGGUUUAUGCUAUACGAUGUUACUUGGUUAACUUACUAGCUACUCUCUUCUAUAUGCUUCAAGAUGGAGGCUGCAGAAGCGUAGUGUUUGAUAGGACUAGCUUCUCCCCCUCUUAUUCUGAAAUUCUGCAGCUCAGUCCACAUAUACUACCCAUUUCAUUGAUACCGAUGCAUAUGUAGUGUAGAUCCUUGCUUGCGAGUAUUUUGGAUGCGUACUCACGGUUGCUUUGCUCCCACUUUUCCCCAUUUUCCAUUCUUCUCGGACGUCACAACCAGAUGCUAGUGCCUCAGAGCCAUACGCCACCUUCGACGACUCCUACUACACCGAGGGUGCCUACUACUACGUGCAGGCCACUGACGACCAGGAGUAGUUUAGGAGGAUCCCAGGCAGGAGGCGUGCGCCUCUUCGAUCUUUAUCCAUGUUUGUGCUAGCCAUCUUAUGGCAACUUGGUUAACUUAUGUCUGUACUUAGAUAUUUUUGCUUUGGCUGACUUGUCUGUGACAAGCUUAUGUAUUCGAGCACUCGAGGCCCCUGGCUUGUAAUAUAAAGCUUGUAUUAUUUUAUUCAUGUCUAGAGUUGUGUUGUGAUAUCUUCCCGUGACUCCUUGAUCUUGAUCGUACACAUUUGCGUGUAUGAUUAGUGCAUGAUUGAAUCGAGGGUGCCACAGCUUUGGAGAUACCCCUUACUUGGCCCCUCGCUCCGAAAACACGUUUGACGAUAGUUUUCUCUCGGAUCAAAUAUAUGUCAAGUUUAACAAAGUUUAUAUGAAUUAUUUUAUCAUAUCUAUAGUACCAUACAAAUAUACCAUAGAAAAAAAACAUAUUUCAUGCUGCACCAUGAAUUGGUCCGGUAAAUGUCGGGUAUGGAGACUCUAUUCUCUUUUGGCAUAAGUUGCCUCGGUCUCAAAAGUUUCAUGAACCGUUCUCUUUUGCCAUUAAGAAAAAGCUCUAUUUGGCUGAUUUUAUUCAUAGUGACCAUCUGGCUCUCCAUUUUCAUAGGCAUACCACCCUGCAAGCUCUUGCUCAAUUCAUUGACAUCAUUGACUUAGUUCAUAAAAAAAUCAACAAAUGGAAUAAAAUAAUAUCACGAAGAUACCAAUUACACCCGUCCUCUCUAUCAACAAGAUAUCCAAAGACAUCAAGGGUACACACAGCCAGAAAAAGGAUUAGAAGAAAAAAGACCCCCCCCCCUCCCUGAGGUGAUAAAUCACUAGCAUUAGUAGCACUCUCACCACACCGAAGACAACGCCCGGAUUACAAAAAAAGUUCUCCAAAAUCAACCCCCCAAGAAGGAAGCAAUGCACAAGUGUUGUCAUUGUCCGAUCGAAGAUCGUGGGUUUUCACCCUAGAAAAAUUCCAAGCUCAGCCAAAAGCAUUGCCUUGAAGGCCAUUUCCAGGUACAACCAAUAAAGGCUAGACCUUGGAUUUUCACCCUAGGAAUUCAGACUCAGUACUCGAGAGGUACCACCAAAAAUGUAGUCCUCCAGUGAUGGUGCCCCGCACUUCCCCAGCCCGCUGUUUCAAGUCACCAAACACCCCGCGCACAUUCUUCAUCGCAUUAAUUACAUCAUUCCACCAAAGCUUCAAGACCUCCAAUCACAGCCGCCAUGACUUCAUCCACCUCUAUCAAUGCCUUGAGAAUCCUGACUUAGACAUGUCCCAUGACACCAAUAAGAAAUCAAAGCUUCUUGCCAUGCCCUCUUGAGGUCGUGUUGGCUGAUAAUAUGAGCGUGCGCGACCGAAGCCUUUCCAAUCUAGAUAUCCAGGGGCGACAUACACCAAUUCAUAUAGAUAUCCGAUGGGAAAGACCGAAACUCGUCAGCGGCUAGAUCUAAGAGGUCGACGUAUGGCAGAAAGACGACUUGGCGGAAGAAUAGUACUAGGGCCAAACCACCAUUAUUAGGCCGAAGCUAACAUCCCCACACGCCGUCCUCCCCUCAAUCUAGACCUACAGACAAAGAUCAGCGACGCCGCAUCGUGCCACCCACAUGCGUGGAGGCCCGAACAUGGCAAGACGCCAACCAUGGCAGGAGACUAGGACCAGCCACUCCUGGGCUGAUCCGGCGACUCCCAGGCCCACCCCUGCCACUAUGGUGGCACCACCCCUGCCUACAAGCCCAUCCACGAUGAUGCCUGAUUAGAAGGAUACAUGGAUAUACAGAUGGAAAGGCCCUUUUUUUGCGAAUGAAUUCUUUCAUUACUCAGGUAUCAAAGAAUACAAUUCGUCCCACAAGUGCCAAAACAUCUUCCGGACCAGAUCCUAGCCAAACCAAAGUUCAGCGUUGCAACCUACCAAAAUUUGCCAAGGCAUGACUAACCCUAUUACAGCUCCGGCGAAUAUGAGUAAUGCAAGAAUUCCUUUCUCCCAAACUACUAAUGAUCUCUCUGAUGAUGAAAGCAUAUUUAGAUUUGUUGCUAUUCCCUCUCUUAAUCAUAUUGACAGCCUCUAAACAAUCAGACUCCACGUCUAUUGGUAAGAUGCUCCACUGAAGGGCCAAAGAAAUUCCCUCCCUUAUUGCAAGUAACUCUGCCUCCAGUACAUCAUCACAUGCAUAGAGAAAUCUGCAAGCAGUGAAAACAAUUUCUCCUUCCUGAUUCCUUAGGAUCAUUCCGGCUCCCGCAGUAGAGCCCAGGACCGAAGCAUCCGUGUUGAGUUUGACUCUGCCCACCGCUGGAGCGGACCAAGAGCCCUGCACUUCAUCAACUUUGUAUAUGUCCUGAUCGGGAAUCUGAAAACAUGCAGCUGGCAUUUUUCCUUUCACUAAAGCAUCACUUCAGCAUAUGUGAAUGGAGUUUAAGGAUGACAGAUAGCUGGACAGGAAGCACACCGAAACAUCCACGGGCGGUGGUUGUUUUGCAUGCACAAUUUCGUUACGCACAUACCAGAUUUGCCAGAAUAGCAUCAUGAUCCUAGCUCUCUCCUCUUCAUGCAUUUUCGAUAGGAGAUGAAGGAACCCAUCACGACCAACAUGUACAAUGCUUAGUCGGUCCGGCAAUGUCCAUUCCUUCACCAUGGCCUUCCAUAGGAUCGCAGCAUGAUUACAAGUGCAAAAAACAUGGAACGAGUCCUCCUCCUCCGUACCACACACAGGGCAUGUACCUGAGACUUCCAAGUUCCUUUUCACUUUAUUUGUCCAAUUUGCUAGCGAAUCUGUAGCUAAUCUCCAAGCAAAAGACUGAACCUUUGGUGGUACAGUACUUUGCCAUAUAAAGUUCCAUGCUUCUCUUGUUCCAUCCGGCCGGGAACUUGUAGAAACCUCACUAGGAUUUGAGCAUUCAUCACUAGCCAGUUUGUACGCACUACGUACCAUAAAACCUCCACCUUUUUCAGGCGCCCAAGGAACAAAGUCUUCAUCAAGCCGAGCAGAUGGUUUUAUUUUCUAGAUUUCAACAAUGCCGCCCGGGAGAAAAAACUGAUUUAUCUUGUCAAAGUCCCAAUUACCAUGGAUAUUCAGUAGCUCCGAGACCCACCUCAGGCGGCACCUACCACGCUGUGUAAUCAAGCCUCCAGUUGGCUCGCGUGCUAUCCAUCGGUCUCUCCAUAUACGUACAUUUUGACCAUUUCCGAUUCUCCAGACCACGUCUUUUUUUCAGAACUUCGAGACCAUAGGCAAUGGCCUGCCAUGUAGGUGAUGGGUUACUAGUGAACACCGUAUCCAGUAAGCGCCAAUUUGGUAAAUACUUCACUUUUAAAAGCCUUGAGCAUAAACUGUUAGGGAACUCUAGUAUUCGCCACGCCUGACGAGCAAGGAGCGCUUGGUUAAAUAGACAAAAGUCUUUAAAACCAAGGCCGCCUUGCUUCCUUGGCCUAGUCAUUUUCUCCCAUGCAUACCAAUGUGUUUUCCUCUUCCCUUUCUCUGCACCCCAAAAAUAGUUCCUAACCAUGCGGUUUAGAUCAUCACAUACCUCCAGCGGGAGCUUGAACACACUCAUAAUAUAUGUAGGGAUACAUUGACCAACAACACGGAUUAACACUUCCUUUUCCGCUUGAGUAGGGUUCUAAGACUGACAGUAGAAUGGGGGUUAGGUAUGAAGAGGCAAGAUCCCAGCUGUGGUGAAGUUGUACACACGAGAUUUACGAGUUCAGGCCCUUCACGGUGGAAGUAAUAGCCCUACGUCUCGGUGUCCGGAGGCGGUCGACUGGAUUAUAUGUGUGUGGAGUUACAGGGGGUGCGAACCCUUAUCCCUGAGGAGGGGGGUGGCUUAUAUAGAGUUCGCCAGACCCCUCCCGCCCUCAGUUACACAGGGUUUAAGGUACAUAAAGAUGGGGCGUUUCUGGUAACGCCAGUAAUAAAGUGACAUAAAUGUCCAUUAAGUCUACAGACUAAACGUCCGACCUUUGCUAUUCAGAGUGACUUUAGGUCUCCUGCCUGUCGAGGCAUUCCUGUUACGAUCGAGUGAGCUUGAAUCUUCCGAGUGGAAUGCCUCUAGUCGAGUGGAUGAUGAUAUCCCUUGAAUGCUUCUGACUUUAGGGUAAUGACCUAGGGGAGGGUGUCCAGGUCAGGUCUAUGACCCUACCCUAGGUACAUGUCUUCAUCAUUAGCCCCCGAAUGGUUCAGGGUUUGAGUGGAGAAGGAGUUGAUAAUAUUUUCGACUCAAUUUUUGCGCUUCGGAGGCGUCUUGUUGGGAUCAAUGAACAACAUGAUGACUUCAUCUUCUUUUCCAGCCGCCUUGACCCAUUCUUAAUUAGUCAAGUGAACUUUUACUGCUAAGCUUCGAGUGUUGGUAUGGAAAAAAAUCUUCAGUCUGACAGGUUGUUCUGCUGCUCGCGGAUCUUCCGGGAUUCGAAUUUCGGGAAGCGCGCGGGGUGGAGGAGGCCGCGGUAAUCAGAGAAGAUUAGGCAGGGAUGCCUCGAUAUCCGCGCCACCUUUUUCGCCACGUGCUGCGCGCGCAACUGUUGCGGGUUUGACAGGAUCGCCUGGGCCCACAGGUCAGCCACUCGGAAAUGGUUCCAUAUAAGGCGUCGCGGCUGGGGUUUUCUGCACAGUACACCUCAUCUCCUCUCUUCCUCCUCUGUUUUCCAUCGCAUCCACCUCCUCCCUCGGCGCCGCCGCUCUGCCCGAAAUCGACCCUCCGCAAUGGGAAAGGAGAAGACGGUGGCUCUGGAGCGCACGAAGAAGGCGACAGCGAAGGCGAAAGGGAGAAAGACGAGCCGGGGAGGGUCCUCGUCGAGAUCCGGUUUACUGCCCGGCUCAUCCAGGGUGAUUGGAUUCCGUGGACGAUCCGGCAAGUCGACGUCGAUGAUUUGGUCGAGGGGGGACUGAUUCCCCACGGAUCUGGGUGGCUCCCGGAGGACGAGACUGAGCCGCGGCCGCAGGAGGGUGAGUGUGUUCUCCUCGCCACCCAUGUUGACCGUGGUUUUUCUUUGCCUCCCCAUCCUUUCUUCCGAGGCUUCUUGAACUUCUUUGGAGCACAACUUCAUCACUUUUCCCCCAACACAAUCACGUACCUCGCUGCAUUCAUUUCUAUGUGUGAGAAUUUUCUGGGUUGUCGACCACACUGGGGUCUCUUCAAACACAUUUUCACCUGUCGUUCUCAGUCGGUCAAAAAGGCCAAUCCGAGUGACGAGAGGAUGCAUGUGAUCCAGACGUGUGGGGGUCUUGGGAUCCAAAUGAGAGGCAAGAGUACUUUCCCAGCCAUGAUUCUUCCCGAGUCAGUCAGAGGGUGGUAGUCGACCUGGUUCUACUGCAAAGACCAGCCGACUCCAGGCCAGUCGACUGGACUUCCCCCCUUUUCCAUGGCUCGAGUUGAGAAGCCCUCUGCCUUGAAAGUGACUCCAGCAGAAAAAGCGGAGGUGAAGGUGUUGGUCGAGCGAGUGGUCCAGCUCGUUCGUGACGGCGUGACUGGCAGGGAUCUGUUGGAGGUCUUCCUUAGACGACGCAUUCAGCCACUUCAAGCUCGUGACCAUCCGAUGUGGAUGUACUCCGGCAUUGAUGAUACCACUCGGAUCCACCCGGAGGAGGUCGACAAGGAUACAGUGGCACAAUGGCUGAGGGGCAUCACUGGUAACAAGGAUAACCCAGGGGGUCCAGGAGGAUCCCUCCACUCGACAACUCGUAUGAACCAGAUAAGGUCCAACUCUAAAUUUCCGAGUGUUUUCUUGAUCUACCGUGUAAUUACUUUUUGCCAACCGACUGACAUUUGUUCCACCUAUUGUCUUUUAGGCCCUCACUGAGAUGUACUCGAUGCCCAACAGAGAGCAGGAGCAGGAUCCGGAAGGGGAGGCGAGAGCGGCGAGUGGCACUCUGAUGGGGGAGAAGAUGACGAAAGUGACGACUCUGGUGACGGCGAAGAAGUCGACUCACCCCCUCGCACCGAAAGGCGAUCCAAAGAAAUCCACGACCCGGCAAGUAUCUGAGGCAAAGCGACCGCGCAGACUGGGCGGCAGACCUCAAAGUGCCCUCGGACGUCUUCUCCAGCGCCGACUGAGAGGGCCCCGAAACAAUCAAAAGCUACGCCGUCAAAACCGCGGAAGCCUUUGCCCAAGAUCAAAGUGGUCGUGCCCCUUGAUUCCAGGUAAUAAUUGGACUUGAUUUCUUGGUUUAGCAUGAAUUGAAUUUUGGUCGACUCAUUUCGGCAGACAUAACCGACUGAAUCUUGAGAUUUGCAGUGCUGCUACCUUUGAGACUUCUGUUUAUAGGAAUGAAGACGAGUAAAUGGAAGAUGCAGUCACCUCUAAUCCGGGUACGACUCUCGUAAUCCUAUUUUUACUUUCUCGGCCGUUUUAUUGGUCGACUGAAUUCCGGCGAUUGAUUCUUUUUGCAGCUCCUCCCAAUGUCAUUGAUCUUCCAGACGACGACGAGGAUGUGCCGCUGAGGCCUCUGGGAAGAAGAAACAGGAAGACGUCAACUGGCAGAGCGCCUUAGUCGACGCCGGUGACGGAACCGGUAAUCCAGGAGGGCGGUGAUGCCAAUCGGACUUCCCUGAUUUUCGCCGUACCAUUGACGAGUGCCCAGCCCUCAGCGUCGACUGCGCAGACUCCAGCCGAUCCAUCUUCACUCUUUACUGCACAUCACGUCCCAGAGGACCAAGUGGGCGCUGCCAAGGAGGCUAUACACCAGGCGGGCAUCAUGAUGGAGCAGAUGAAGGUGGUACGGGAGACCAGCCAAGCUGCUUAUGACGCCAGCUCAGCUCUCCAGAACAAUGUCCAGGUUAGUUGAUCACCGACUGACUCUUUAGCUUGUUGCUUGUUCUGUUAGGAUAUGCUACCUGAAAACUUUCCUUGAAGGAUCUUUCCAUCAGUCUGCGUUUUGCAUUUGUACACCCACUGGGUGUUUUGAUAUGUCACUGAGUAGUCUUGUAUCUUGAAUCGACUAAGUUGUCUCGAUUGAGUCUUUGAACUAGUGGGGGCACGCUGAGUGCACCCACUGGGUGUAGUCCCCAAGACCAUAGUUGACUACGAGCAGUCAACUAUGGUGUGAGAAUUGGAAUUUUCUCACUCGGCCUGCACAGACCAUGUCGAGUGGAACUUGAGCCAGUGGCGGCACGCUAAGUGCACCCACUGGGUGUAGUCCUCGAGACCAUAGUUGACUACGGGCAGUCGACUAUGGUCUGAGAACAACUUUUUUUUACACUCAGCCUGGACAGACCAUGUCGGGUGGAAACUGGACCAGUGGUGGCACGCUAAGUGCACCCACUGGGUGUAGUCCCCGAGACUACUGUUGGAUGUUCGAUUCGGCAGUAGUCUUAGAACUUGUUGAAUUUAUCACUCUAUUGCUCUGAAGUAACCAAUAUUUCCAUCCGUCGACUGACCGUCUUUUGAUUACAGAAAUCCUGUGAACUUGGAGCCCGUUUUGCUGACCUGGAGCAGAAGCAGAUUCAGCUCAACCUCGACCUAGAGCUGGCCAAGACAAACUUGCAGAAGGCCAAGGAUGAAGUCACUGGUACAAAAAACUUGCCGACUGAUUUGUUUCCGACCCGGGUGUUAUUUGUUUUUUCUGAACCAAGCAUCAUUUCUUUCAGAAGCAAUGAACCAAGCUCUGGCGAAGAAGGAUCUGGACCUUGCAGCCGCGCAGAAAGCAGCCGAAGAGAAAACUGCACUCGCCGACCAGAAGCUGGCUUCAGUCGGCAAACUGGAGGAAGAGAACACCAAGCUGAAGACUGCCUUGGAUGAAGCCAACAAGGAGGCGACUCGUCUGAAGAAGGACAGGAACAACCUGACCGAAAAGGUGGAAGCUAUUGCCCGCAAGAGAGAUGACUUGGAAAAUUAUCUGGGAGGUCUUGCCAAGAAGCUGUUCGUCAUGCUUGAAGGUGCUUUCCUUUGUCCGACUGACUUGUUGCUGUCGACUCGAUAUAUAACCAUUGACUCAUCCUUGUAUUGUGUGCGCAGAAUUUUGCCAGAACUUCGAGGAAGAGACUGGGCGAGUUGAGACAAGCUUGGACCCCAUCUCUCUCCUGUGAAGGAUGAAGCUGCCAUGAACGUGCUCUGACUGGAAUCCCGUGUCGCUGGCAUUAUCGAUUAUCUUGCCCGAUUGAAAGUCGCGGUGUCGCGAAUCGACACAGCACUCUGGCCAAGGGCGACGCUCCAAAAUGACCUCGAGUCUCUGAUGGCUCGACUUAAUGAAGUUCACGGUCGAGUGCAGGAAUGGAAGAAGUCUUCUGCUCCAUGCGGUGCUGAUGUGGCUCUGUCCCUGGUUCGUGUCCACUACAAGGAAGCGCGAGAAGAGAAGCUAGCAGCAAUCAAGGUUGCCAAUACCAAAAGGCACGACUUCCAAUCCUUCAUGGAAUCCUUUAUUGCUGCCGCCACUCGGAUUGCUGACGGAAUCGACCUGGACGAGUUCGUCGAGCCCGCUAGCCCACCUCCUGCGGAGUGAACAAACUUUAUGCCUCACCUUAAAUUUGCCUCGGAAUGCCGAGUGAUUUUGUAACCGUUAAACUCCUUCGGGCCUGACGCCCGAGUACUUUAAUCCGUGGUCUGGUACUUUAGGAUUCAUCUGAACUUGGUUUAUCUAAGAAUAUGCUUGUGUUUGUCUUCGGGUGGAACUUGUUGUUCACUCGGAAUAGUCUUUGUACUUGUGAUGCACCUCCGAGGAGAAGGUCGCAAUCGACCUGCACCUCGUUGUCCUUGCGGAUCGGGAUGGAGCGCGCAUUGUACUUAUGGCGCAGCUCUGAGGAGAAGGUCGCAGUCGACCUGCACCCCAUCGUCCUUGCGGAUCGGAAUGGAGCGCACAUUGUACUUAUGGCACAACUCUGAGGAGAAGGUCGUAGUCGACCUGCACCUCGUCGUCUUUGCGGAUCGGGAUGUGUUUUUAAAGUUAGGCGAGUACUGGACUGCAGCUAAGCCCCCGAGUGAGAGGUUUUCUCUCCACUCGGUAAGAUUUUUCAGACUUAGGCGAGUACUGGACUGCAGCUAAGCCCCCGAGUGAGAGGAUUGCUCUUCACUCGGUGGGAUUUUUCAAACUUAGGCGAGUACUGGACUGCAGCUAAGCCUCCGAGUGAGAGGAUUGCUCUUCACUNNNNNNNNNNNNNNNNNNNNNNNNNNNNNNNNNNNNNNNNNNNNNNNNNNNNNNNNNNNNNNNNNNNNNNNNNNNNNNNNNNNNNNNNNNNNNNNNNNNNNNNNNNNNNNNNNNNNNNNNNNNNNNNNNNNNNNNNNNNNNNNNNNNNNNNNNNNNNNNNNNNNGAGUGAGAGGCUUGAUCACCACUCGGUAGGAUUUUUCAAACUUAGGCGAGUACUGGACUACAGCUAAGCCCUCGAGUGAGAGGCUUGCUCACCACUCGGUAGGAUUUUUCAAACUUAGGCGAGUACUGGACUGCAGCUAAGCCCCCGAGUGAGAGGCUUGCUCACCACUCAGUAGGAUUUUUCAAAGUUAGGCGAAACGGAUUCGCAGCUAAGCCUCCGAGUGAGAGGCUUGCUCACCACUCAGUAGGAUGUUUUAGACUUAGGCGAAACGGAUUCGCAGCUGAGCCACCCACCGGGGGAUUUUAAACAUAUGAAUAAGCAACGACAAUCAUUUUAGAAGACUGUAAAACUCUGUCUUUGAUAAACAAACUAAAAGUUAUUUCUUAUUACAUCUCAACAGACUGAGUACUUAAGUAUAAAAACGACGGAGCAACUCUCCAUUCCAAGCAUGUGGUUCGCCCUUCUUAUGCUCGUUGUUGUAGAGGUGAUACGCUCCGUUGUGGAGCACUUUGGUGAUGAUGAAGGGGCCUUCCCAAGCAGGAGUGAGCUUGUGUGGUUUCUGCUGAUCCACUCAAAGAACCAGGUCUCCCUCUUGAAAUGCCCGACCUUUCAUGUUUCUAGCGUGGAAUCGACGGAGAUCUUGCUGAUAGAUGGUCGACCUGAUCAAGGCCAUCUCUCUUUCUUCUUCCAGAAGAUCAACGGCAUCUUGCCGUGCCAGCUCUGCUUUGGCUUCUGAGAAAAGUUCUACUCGGGGUGCAUUGUGAAGCAAAUCACUCGGAAGCACAGCCUCAGCUCCGUAAACAAGAAAGAACGGGGUUCGACCAUUCGACCGAUUUGGAGUUGUUCUCAAUCCCCAGAGUAGUGACGACAGUUCAUCAACCCAAGCUCCUGCAACAUGCUUGAGAUCACGCAUCAGUCGGGGUUUUAGCCCCUUGAGGAUCAAACCGUUUGCUCUUUCUGCUUGUCCAUUCGACUGUGGGUGGGCGACUGAAGCACAGUCGACCUGAGUGCCUUGGGAAGCACACAAAGCUCUGAAUUCAUCUGAUUCAAAGUUUGAUCCAUUAUCCGUGAUAAUGUUGUGUGGGACUCCAUAUCUGAAAGUUAACUCUUUGAUGAAGCUGACAGCGGUACUCGCUUCGAGGUUCUUGAUGGGCUUGGCCUCAAUCCAUUUGGUGAACUUGUCGACUGCUACGAGCACGUGAGUGAAACCACUUCUGCCAGUCCUCAAGGGUCCAACCAUAUCUAAACCCCAGACAGCAAAUGGCCAGACGAGUAGAAUGGUCUUCAAGGCUGAUGCGGGUUUGUGUGACAUGUUGGAGUAGAACUGACAGCCUUCACAUUUGUCUACUAUUUCUUUCACCAUCUCAUUGGCAUGUGGCCAGUAAAAUCCGGCUCGGUAUGCUUUGGCCAUGAAGGUCCGAGAGGACGCAUGGUGACCACAGGUCCUCGAGUGAAUAUCAUUGAGGAUCAUUCGGCCUUCUUCUGUCGUGAUGCAUUUCUGGCUGACUCCAGUUAAACUUUCUCUGAACUGCUGUCCUCUUAUCACAGUAAAGGCCUUGGAUCGACAGACGAUCUGUCGAGCCUCUUCUUCAUCCUUUGGGAGUUCCUUCCUAAGAAUGUUUGCAAUGUAUGGCACUGUCCAGUCGGGAGUGACGACCAAAACCUCCAUGAUCAAGUCGACCACGGCUGGGACUUCGACUUCAGUCGGAUCAGUGGCACUCUUAGGCUGUGGGGGCUCUUCAGUGAAAGGAUGUUCCUGAACUGAAGGUGCGUGAAUAUGCUCCAAAAACACAUUGCUGGGAACGGUCUCUCUCUUGGAACCUAUCUUUGCCAAGUCAUCAGCAACUUGAUUUUUUAGUCGGGGUAUAUGGUGGAGCUCUAACCCCUCAAACUUCUUUUCCAGUUUUCUCACUUCAUUAUAAUAACCAGUCAUAGCCGGGCUUCUGACGUAUUACUUGAUUAACCACCAAAUCUGAGUCGCUGUAGACCAUUAGGCGACGGACGCCGAGUGAAAUGGCCAUACGCAACCCGUAUAGAGGUGCUUCAUAUUCAGCUUCGUUGUUGGAGGAAUCAAAAUGAAUCUGAAGAACAUAGCUGAGUCUGUCUCCUCGGGGGGAUACCAAUACCACCCCAGCACCAGAACCAUUCAGCAUCUUGGAUCCAUCAAAGAACAUGGUCCAAUGCUCCGAGUGAAUCUGAGUCGGUUGUUGCUGCUCAACCCACUAGAAGAGGAAAUCUGCUAUUGCUUGGGACUUGAUAGCUUUCUUUGCCUCAAACUUGAUAUCCAAGGAACGGAGUUCAGUCGCCCACUUUGCCCCUCAACCAGUUGCAUCUCUGUUGUUCAGAAUUUAUGACAAUGGUGCGUCGCUAACGACUGUAAUGGAGUGAUCAGAGAAAUAAUGCGCAACCUUCUUCGUGGUGAUGUAAAUUCCAUAGACAAGCUUCUGAUAAUGUGGAUAUCUUUGCUUGGAUGGAGUCAAGACUUCAGAAAUAUAGUACACUCGGAGUUGAACUUUAUAGGCUUUUCCUUCUUCUUCCCGCUUGACCGUGAGCACUGUAUUGACAACUUGUCCAGUGGCUGCAAUAUAAACCAGUAAAGGCUGUUUGCUGAUUGGGGCAGCAAGCAUCGGCUGUGUGGAAAGCAGAGUUUUGAGUUCUGCAAACGCUCCGUCAGCUUCAGGAGUCCACUCGAACUUAUCAGAUUUCUUCAUCAGUCGGUAAAGAGGCAAUGCAUUUUCACCGAGGCGAGAGAUGAAUCGACUCAAGGCGGCCAAGAAACCAGUAAGCUUCUAAAUGUCAUGCACAUGCACAUGGCGUUUCAUCCGGAGUAUGGCCCCAACUUUCUCUGGGUUCACGUCGAUCCCACGUUCGGAAAUGAGAAAACCGAGUAACUUUCCUCCUGGAAUUCCGAAUGUGCAUUUCGUCGGAUUAAGCUUGAUAUCAUAUCUUCUCAGGUUGGCAAAGGUUUUAGUGAGGUCAGUCAGCAGGUCGGAACCUUUACGCGACUUGACCACAAUGUCAUCCAUAUAUGCUUCCACAUUUCGACUGAUUUGAGUGAGUAGACACUUCUGAAUCAUCCUCAUAAAUGUGGCGCCAGCGUUCUUGAGACCGAAUGGCAUGGUGACAUAACAAAAGCACCCGAAUGGAGUGAUGAAAGUUGUUUUUAUCUCAUCGGGUCCAUACAGUCGGAUCUGAUGAUACUCGGAAUAGGCGUCCAGAAAAGACAAACACUCACACCCCGCAGUCGAGUCGACGAUUUGGUCGAUACGGGGGAGAGGGAAAUGAUCUUUCGGACAGGCCCAAUUGAUAUGCUUGAAGUCAAUGCACAUACGAAGUGAGUCGUCCUUCUUGGGAACCAUGAAAACAUUGGCGAGCCACUCGGAAUGGUAAAUCUCUCGAAUGAACUCAGCCGCUAGGAGCCGAGCCACUUCUUCACCAAUUGCAUUUCUCUUCUGUACGGCGGACCGUCGAAGAUGUUCCUUGACUGGUUUCACUUUCGGGUCGACUCGCAAACGGUGCUCAGCCAGUCCCCUGGGUACACCCGGCAUGUCAGAAGGUUUCCAUGCCAAGAUGUCCCAGUUCUCACGGAGGAACUGGAUGAGCGCUUCUUCCUAUUUGCUAUCGAGUGAUGUUGAAAUAUGAGUAGGAGCAGCAUUAGGAUCGGUUGGGUGAAUAUGAAUUGGCUUUGUUUCAUCGGACGACUAAAACGCAGAAUCUGUGGCAGGCUUCUUGGCUCGCAAUAAAUCACUCGGAUCCGCAUUUUUCUGAUACUCUUGCAUUUCAACUGCUGCAAUUUGUGCAUCGGCAAUUUUAGAACCCUUCUUGAAGCAUUCUUCUGCCUUCUGCCGAUUGCCAGUGACUGUGAUCACUCCUCUGGGACCAGGCAUUUUCAACUUGAGAUAUACAUAACAUGGCCGAGCCAUGAAUCGUGCAUACGCCGACCUCCCCAUAAUAGCAUGAUAAGCACUCUGGAAAUCCACUACUUCAAAUGUCAACUUUUCCUUACGGUAAUUCUUUGAAUCACCGAAAACCACGUCAAGGUUUAUUUGGCCGAGUGAUUCAGCCUUCUUGCCAGGGAUGACGCCGUGAAAGGUCAUGUUGCUCUCACUAAGUUUGGACAUCGGGAUGCCCAUCCCCUUCAAGGUUUCAGCAUAAGGGAUAUUCAGGCCGCUACCACCAUCCAUUAGCACUUUCGUCAGUCGAGUGCCUCCAACCACUGGGUCGACCACCAACGCUUGCCUCCCAGGGCUGGCUAUGCGAUCAGGGUGAUCAGACUGGUGGAAUGUGAUAGCUGUUUGUGACCACUUCAGGUAUGUUGUCGUUGCCGGAGCAACCAUAUUCACUUGUCUAUUGAUCACUUUCAGUCGACUUUUGCUGUCAACAUCAGCAAAAAUCACUAGGAUGGAAUUGACAUUGGGAAAACCAUCAUCUUCCUCUUUGUCCUCAUCCUUGUCUGAUUCCUUUUCCUUCUCAUUAGGCUGUUUCUCUCGGAAUUGCUGGAUCAGAACCUGACAUUGUCGAGUGGUAUGCUUAGGAUAAAUCAGAUUGCCUUCUUCAUCCUUCUUGGUGUGAAUGUGACAUGGCAAAUCCAACACAUCAUUUCCGGCUUGAUCUUUCACUUUCUUGGGGGUCCAGGGCCCCUUAGGUUUCCCUUUAAAUUUUCCUUGAAUCACUCCGCAGUUUCACCAGGUCCCGCAGGUUCAGCUUUACGCUUCUGUUUCCGAUUGGAAUUGCCUCCACCUGUGUCCUGAUCGACUGGUUUGCUCUUUCCACUGCGGAGUCGAUCCUCUUCUUCUCCAUUAGCGUACCGAGUGGCUAUUUCCAUCAUCCAAGUCAGAGACAUAUCUCCCAUCCGAUAGAACUUCAGAACCAGUUCUCGAUACUUAACGCCUUCCUUGAAGGCACAAACUGCUUGAUGCUCGGGUACAUUUUCCACUGUGUGAUGCAAAGUGGUCCACCGCUGAAUGUAAUCUCUCAGAGUUUCAUUCGGUUUUUGCACGCAAUGCUACAAUUCUGUUAACCCCGCUGGCCGCUUGCAUGUACCCUCAAAUGUUCUAACAAACACUCGGGCGAGUUCCUCCCAACUGAAUAUACUGCUCGGUGCUAACUGAGUCAACCAUGCCCUGGCCGAGCCUUCCAACAUCAUAGGUAGAUGCUUCAUGGCCACUUCAUCAUUGCCGCUACCAAUCUGCACAGCCACUCGGUAAUCCUCAAGCCAAGUAUCAGGCUUGGACUCACCAGUGAACUUGCUGACUCUAGUCGCCAACCUGAAGUUGGGAGGAAUCACCGCAGCUCUGAUGGCUCUGCUAAAACACUCUGGACCUGAAACAUGAACUCUGCUGCGAGUCGGGUCAUCUCUAUCAAGGCCCUAUCUGUGUGCCCUGUUCCUGUUGACUAGACCUUGAACGAGAAUAGAUCUCGCAUCAAAUCCUGGCUCUCUUGGGUCGACUGGUAUUCUUCGCUCACCACUGUGAGGGCGUCUGUCUUCAUAUUGCCGAGGCACAUAUGACCCACUCCUCGGAGGAGGUGUGGUCACUCGACGACGGUCAUCAUGGCCGAGUCAGUGAUCAUAUUGCUCGUGGUUUCUGUACUGAUCUUGCUGGUGCCCACGUCCCUCACGCCGAGGGGGCGGUCUUGGGCUGUGGGCGGACUGGACUAUAUCUGCCAUCACAGAUCUGCUAUGAAUCUUAUUCGGCGACUGAGACACUGCUAUGUUCUGCUCUCCUGCUGCCCGUAGUAAGGCCCGGAUCUGCAUCAAACCUCUGCCAGCUUCCGACUGGGAAGGCUGAAUUCACACUGCGACAUGGGCUGUAGCUGUGAGAUUUUGAAUCGGAGUGCUGUAUACCUGAGGUUGUGGUGGAAAAAGCUGUCGUCGACUAGACUCAGGGAUCCGCUGCCGAGCACGCUCGUCGAUGCAUGGUGAAGGUUCUCCAGUCGAGUGCGCUCAGCCAAGUUGGCCAGGCGCGCCUCCUCCAAGGCCCGAGCCUCGAGGGUUUCCCCAACGAUGGGCGUGUGGAGUGCAUCCACGUUGCGGCGGCGAAGCUCUUCCCUCUGCUGCGAAGAAAGGGGUUCCGGGCGAUACUCCUCGUGAACGCGUGACGGAUCGACGCCACCAUCACCGCCGUCAUCGCGGCAGAAGCCAGGCGGACUACAUGGUCCGUCGACCAUCAAGACUUCAGCUGCGGGGUCGCUGCUAUCGCACUCGGAUGCGGUCUUGAUGUCUACUACGCAACCUUCUUCUUGUAGACGUUGUUGGGCCUCCAAGUGCAGAGGUUUGUAGGACAGUAGCAAAUUUCCCUCAAGUGGAUGACCUAAGGUUUAUCAAUCUGUGGGAGGCGUAGGAUGAAGAUGGUCUCUCUCAAACAAGCCUACAACCAAAUAACAAAGAGUCUCUUGUGUCCCCAACACACCCAAUACAAUGGUAAAUUGUAUAGGUGCACUAGUUUGGUGAAGAGAUGGUGAUACAAGUGCAAUAUGGAUGGUAGAUAUAGGUUUUGUAAUCUGAAAAUAUAAAAACAGCAAGGUAACUAAUGAUAAAAGUGAGCGUAAACGGUAUUACAAUGCUAGGAAACAAGGCCUAGAGUUCAUACUUUCACUAGUGCAAGUUCUCUCAACAAUAAUAACAUAAUUGGAUCAUAUAACUAUCCCUCAACAUGCAACAAAGAGUCACUCCAAAUUCACUAAUAGCGGAGAACAAACGAAGAGAUUAUGGCAGGGUACGAAACCACCUCAAAGUUAUUCUUUCGGAUCGAUCUAUUCAAGAGUUCGUACUAGAAUAACACCUUAAGACACAAAUCAACCAAAACCCUAAUGUCACCUAGAUACUCCAAUGUCACCUCAAGUAUCCGUGGGUAUGAUUAUAUGAUAUGCAUCACACAAUCUCAGAUUCAUUUAUUCAACCAACACAUAGAACCUCAAAGAGUGCCCCAAAGUUUCUACGGGAGAGUCAAGACGAAAACGUGUGCCAACCCCUAUGCAUGGGUUCAUGGGCGGAACCCGCAAGUUGAUCACCAAAACAUACAUCAAGUGAAUCAAUAGAAUAACCCAUUGUCACCACGGUUAUCCCACGCAAGACAUACAUCAAGUGUUCUCAAAUCAUUAAAGACUCAAUCCGAUAAGAUAACUUCAAAGGGAAAACUCAAUCCAUUACAAGAGAGUAGAGGGGGAAGAAACAUCUUAAGAUCCAACUACAAUAGCAAAGCUCGCGAUACAUCAAGAUCGUAUCACCUCAAGAACACGAGAGAGAGAGAUCAAACACAUAGCUACUGGUACAUACCCUCAGCCCCGAGGGUGAACUACUCCCUCCUCGUCAUGGAGAGCGCCGGGAUGAUGAAGAUGGCCACGGUGACGGAUCCCCCGUCCGGCAGGGUGCCGGAACAGGGCCCCGAUUGGUUUUUGGUGGCUACAGAAGCUUGCGGCGGCGGAACUCCCGAUCUAUUCUGUUCCCUGAAGGUUUUAGGGUAUAUUGGUAUAUAUAGGUGAAAGAAGUACAUCAGGGGAGCCACGAGGGUGGAGGGCGCGCCCAGGGGGGUGGGCGCGCCCCCCUGCCUCGUGCCUUCCUCGUUGCAUUCUUGAUGUGGACUCCAAGUCUCCCGGGUUGCUUUCCUUCCAAAAAUAACUUCUCCAGAAGGUUUCAUUCCGUUUCGAAUCCGUUUGAUAUUCCUUUUCUUCAAAACACUGAAACAAGGGAAAAAACAGGAACUAGCGCUGGGCUCUGGGUCAGUAGGUUAGUCCCAAAAGUAAUAUAAAAGUGCAUAGUAAAGCCCAUAAAACAUCCAAGAUGGAUAAUAUAAUAGCAUGAAUACUUCAUAAAUUAUAGAUACGUUGGAGACGUAUUUGCAUCCCCAAGCUUAAUUCCUGCUCGUCCUCGAGUAGGUAAAUGAUAAAAGAAAGAAUUUAUGAAGUGUGAAUGCUAGCAGGUGCAUAGGUUUGAUCAAUGAUAAUUUCAAUCACCUUUCCUAGCAUCAUUAUAUGUCAUAACAGUAGCUCAUACCAUAAAACUUUGCAUGAUCAAGUAACAAACUAUUCACAUGUUAAAGCAUAGACCAUAAACUUUCUUGAAAACUAACAAACCGUGUUAUUAGUCAUCAAACAAUUACAAUUCAUCUUAUUUUCAGGAAGAGUCUAUGUCAGAGCUUUGAUUUAGCAAAUCCCACAUACUCAACUAUCAUAUAGUCUUCCAUGAUUGCUACCACUCAAAGCAUAUUUUUAGAACAAAUAGCAUCCAUCGAACACAUAGAAAGAUAGGGGCUUAAUGUUUCGCCUCCCAACUUAUUCAUCAUAUAGAUAAUUGUCAACAAUAUAAUUCAUGAUCAAAUAUAUUUGAAUGGCCAUAUAUGCUCAGAUCUUUCCAUCACAUGAUGCUUGCCAACUAAAGAGUAGGUUGGAAUGAGAAGGAAUACUACUGACUCUUGCAUAAAAGUAAAAGAUAGGCCCUUCGCAGAGGGAAGCAGGGAUUUGUAGAGGUGCCAGAGCUCGAAGCAAAAACAGAGAUGAAAAUAAUUUUGAGAGGUAUGCUUUCAUUGUCAACAUAACGACCAAGAGUUCCCAAUAUCUUCCAUACUACAUACAUUAUAGGCGGUUCCCAAACAAAAAGGUAAAGAUUUUUACUCCCCCUCCACCAACAAUCAUCAAUCCAUGGCUUGCCCGAAACAACGGGUGCCUCCAACUAACAUCAAUACUGGGGGAGUUUUGUUUGCAAUUAUUUUUGAUUUGAUUUCGAUCUUUUGAUCAUGGGACUGGGCAUCCCAGUUACCAGCCAUUUUCUCGUGAAUGAUGAGCGGAGUCCACUCAUCGUGAGAAUAACCCACCUAGCAUGGAAGAUACUCCUAGCCCCUAGUCACUACAUGAGAGAUUCGGGCAUACAAAACAGAUUAUUAUUUGAAGGUUUAGAGUUUGGCACAUGCAAAUUUACUUGGAACGGCAGGUAAAUACCGCAUAUAGGUAGAUAUGGUGGACACUCAUGGAAUAAACUUGGUUCAAGGAAUUUGGAUGCACAAGCAGUAUUCCCGCUUAGUACAGAUAUUUUGGCUAGCAAAGGAUUCUAAAUAGCAAGCGCCACAUGUUAGAGGAUCCAUAACAAUAUAACUUCUAUACAAAUAUACCCAAGCAUAACUCAUUAUGUUGUCUUCCUUGUCCAACUUCAACUAAUUUGCUCAGGUUUGAAAAUAAUUAAUGGGGAUCACAAUCAUAGAAGAUGUCCAAGAUAGUAUAUUUAUAUGUGAAAUCUCUCUUCCUUCAAUAUUCUUUCAUGAAUUGUUCAAGUGACCAAUACAAUGUUUGCUAACCUUCAAUAAAUUUACCACCUCUACUUCUUAUAUCUGAAGUCAUUACUCCAUGGGAAAGGCAUACGAAACAUAUAUAAUUUCAGAUUUAUGACAUUCAAAUCAUUCAACCAUUUACUCAUAGGAUAUAAGUGAAGCACACGAGUAAAUGACAAACUACUCCAAAAAGAUAUAAGUGAAGAUCAGUGAGUAGUUAAAUAAUUAUGUAUCUAUGUGAAGACUCUCUCUCUCAUUUAAUAAUUUCAGAUCUUGGUAUUUUAUUUAAACAGCAAGCAAAGCUAAAGAAAAUAAAAUGACGCUCAAAGCAAAACACAUAUCAUGUGGCGAAUAAAAAUAUAGCUCCAAGUAAAGUUACCGAUGAAUGAGGGGAUGCCUUCCGGGGCAUCCCCAAGCUUAGGCUCUUGGUUGUCCUUGAAUAUUACUCCCUCCGUUCCAAAAUAGAUGACCCAACUUUGUACUAAAGUUAGUACAAAGUUGGGUCAUCUAUUUUGGAACGGAGGGAGUACCUUGGGGUGCCUUGGGCAUCCCCAAGCUUAGGCUCUUGCCACUCCUUAUUCCAUAGUCCAUCGAAUCUUUACCCAAAACUUGAAAACUUCACAACACAACACUCAACGGAAAACUCGUAAGCUCCGUUAGCGAAACAAAACAAAACACCACUUCAAGGUACUGUAAUGAACUCACUCUUUAUUUAUAUUGGUGUUAAAUUUACUGUGUUGAAACUUCUCUAUGGUUUGUAAACUAUUUUACUAGCCAUAGAGUCAUCAAAAUAAGCAAACAACACACGAAAAACAGAAUCUGUCAAAAACAGGACAGUCUGUAGUAAUCUGUAACUAACGCAAACUUCUGGAACUCAGAAAAAUCUACCAAAAUAGUAAAACCUAGAUAAUUUGAUUAUUGAUCUGCUGCAAUUGGAAUCAGUAUUUUAUCACGUUCUGGUAAUUUUUAACAAUUGUUUUCGUGAGCAGAAAGUUUCUGUCGUUUUCAGAAAGAUCAAAUAAUUAUCAUACAAGGAGAUCCUAUAGGUCUUACUUGGCACAAACACUAAUUAAAACAUAAAACCACAUCUAAGCAGAAGCUAGAUGGAUUAUUUAUUUGUAAACAGAACCAAAAAGCAAUAAACUAAAAUAAAAUUGGGUUGCCUCCCAACGAGCGCUAACGUUUAACUCCCCUAGCUAGGCAUGAUGAUUUCAAUGAUGCUCACGUAAAAGAUAAGAAUUAAAACAUAAAGAGAGCAUCAUGAAGAAUAUGACUAGCACAUUUAAGUCUAUCCCACUUUCUAUGCAUAGGGAUUUUGUGAGCAAACAACUUAUGGGAACAAUAAUCAACUAGCAUAGGAAGGCAAAACAAGCAUAACUUCAAAACUUUAAGCACAUAGAGAGGAAACUUGAUAUUAUUGCAAUUCCUACAAGCAUAUAUUCCUCCCUCAUAAUAAUUUUCAGUAGCAUCAUGAAUGAAUUCAACAAUAUAACCAUCACAUAAAGUAUUUUUUUCAUGAUCUACUAGCAUAGAAAUUUUAUUACUCUCCACAUAAGCAAAAUUCUUCUCUUUCGAAAUAGUGGGAGCAAACUCAACAAAAUAACUAUCAUGUGAAGGAUAAUCCAAUUGAAAAUUAAAAUCAUGAUGACAAGUUUCAUGGUUAUAUUUAUUCUUUAUAGCAUACAUGUCAUCACAAUAAUCAUCAUAGAUAGGAGGCAUGCUUUCAUCAUAAUAAAUUUGCUCAUCAAAACUUGGGGGACAAAAAAUAUCAUCUUCAUCAAACAUAGCUUCCCCAAGCUUGUGGCUUUGCAUAUUAUUAGCAUCACGGGUAUUCAAGGAAUUCAUACUAACAACAUUGCAAUCAUGCUCAUUCACAUAUUUAAUGCCAAGCAUUCUAUGUAAUUCUUCUUCUAGUACUUGAGCACAAUUUUCCUUCCCAUCAUACUCACGAAAGAUAUUAAAAAGAUGAAGCGUAUGAGGUAAACUCAAUUCCAUUUUUUUGUAGUUUUCUUUUAUAAACUAAACUAGUGCUAAAACAAGAAAAAAAAGAUUCGAUUGCAAGAUCUAAAGAUAUACCUUCAAGCACUCUCCUCCCCGGCAACAGCGCCAGAAACUGCUUGAUGUCUACUACGCAACCUUCUUCUUGUAGACGUUGUUGGGCCUCCAAGUGCAGAGGUUUGUAGGACAGUAGCAAAUUUCCCUCAAGUGGGUGACCUAAGGUUUAUCAAUCCAUGGGAGGCGUAGGAUGAAGAUGGUCUCUCUCAAACAACCCUGCAACCAAAUAACAAAGAGUCUCUUGUGGCCCCAACACACUCAAUACAAUGGUAAAUUGUAUAGGUGCACUAGUUCGGCGAAGCGAUGGUGAUACAAGUGCAAUAUGGAUAGUAGAUAUAGGUUUUUGUAAUCUGAAAAUAUAAAAACAGCAAGGUAACUAAUGAUAAAAGUGAGCGUAAACAGUAUUGCCAUGCUAGGAAACAAGGCCUAGGGUUCAUACUUUCACUAAUGCAAGUUCUCUCAACAAUAAUAACAUAAUUGGAUCAUAUAACUAUCCCUCAACAUGCAACAAAGAGUCACUCCAAAGUCACUAAUAGCGGAAAACAAACGAAGAGAUUAUGGUAGGGUACGAAACCACCUCAAAGUUAUUCUUUUGGAUCGAUCUAUUCAAGAGUUUGUACUAGAAUAACACCUUAAGACACAAAUCAACCAAAACCCUAAUGUCACCUAGAUACUCCAAUGUCACCUCAAGUAUCCGUGGGUAUGAUUAUACGAUAUGCAUCACACAAUCUCAGAUUCAUCUAUUCAACCAACACAUAGAACCUCAAAGAGUGCCCCAAAGUUUCUACGGGAGAGUCAAGACGAAAACGUGUGCCAACCCCUAUGCAUAGGUUCAUGGGCGGAACCCGCAAGUUGAUCACCAAAACAUACAUCAAGUGAAUCAAUAGAAUAACCCAUUGUCACCACGGUUAUCCCACGCAAGACAUACAUCAAGUGUUCUCAAAUCAUUAAAGACUCAAUCCGAUAACAUAACUUCAAAGGGAAAACUCAAUCCAUUACAAGAGAGUAGAGGGGGGAGAAACAUCAUAAGAUCCAACUACAAUAGCAAAGCUCGCGAUACAUCAAGAUCGUAUCACCUCAAGAACACGAGAGAGAGAGAUCAAACACAUAGCUACUGCUACAUACCCUCAGCCCCGAGGGUGAACUACUCCCUCCUCGUCAUGGAGAGCGCCGGGAUGGUGAAGAUGGCCACCGGUGAGGGAUCCCCCCUCCGGCAGGGUGCCGGAACAGGGCCCCGAUUGGUUUUUGGUGGCUACAGAAGCUUGUGGCGGCGGAACUCCCGAUCUAUUCUGUUCCCCGAAGGUUUUAGGGUAUAUUGGUAUAUAUAGGUGAAAGAAGUACGUCAGGGGAGCCACGAGGGGCCCACGAGAGUGGAGGGCGCGCCCAGGGGGGUGGGCGCGCCCCCUUGCCUCGUGCCUUCCUCGUUGCUUUCUUGACGUGGACUCCAAGUCUCCCGGGUUGCUUUCCUUCCAAAAAUAACUUCUCCAGAAGGUUUCAUUCCGUUUCGACUCCGUUUGAUAUUCCUUUUCUUCGAAACACUGAAACUAGGGAAAAACAGGAACUGGCGCUGGGCUCUAGGUCAAUAGGUUAGUCCCAAAAGUAAUAGAAAAGUGCAUAGUAAAGCCCAUAGAACAUCCAAGAUUGAUAAUAUAAUAGCAUGAAUACUUCAUAAAUUAUAGAUACGUUGGAGACGUAUCAGGUCUCAACGGAGCCAGUCGAACAGGCCGUAGAGAGUUUCGUCGGGCUUGAUUCCCGCGACUUGUGGGGUGGCCGACUGACGAGCCACCACAUAUUUCACCCACCGCUAAAGCCGCGACCGACCGGAUCGCUUGCGUCGGCGAACAGCGGGGAGCGAGGACAUCACGGGAGCCGACCGAUACUGGGUCGACGGCUGCCAGAGAAGGACGCCGCAAACGCACGCGCGAAAGUGCGUCGCCCCGGGGACGGGGAGCGCCUCGACGUCGAGGGGAGCUUCCUGAAACCAGGCGGAGUCGUCGGCAAAGAAGACGAGCGCGCCGAGACGGAUCUCGCGGCCCUCAGCCAAUCCUCCACCAGAAACCAUGAUGAUGGGAAUCGGAAAAAUCGCAACUUCACCAAAAAGUCGCUAAGACACCUUCCCCACGGUGGGCGCCAACUGUCGUGGUUCUAAGACUGACAGUAGACUGGGGGGUAGGUAUGAAGAGGCAAGAUCCCAGCUGUGGUGAAGUUGUACACACGAGAUUUACGAGUUUAGGCCCUUCACGGUGGAAGUAAUAGCCCUACGUCUCGGUGCCCGGAGGCGGUCGCCUGGAUUAUAUGUGUGUGGAGUUAUAAGGGGUGCGAACCCUUGUCCCUGAGGAGGGGGGUGGCUUAUAUAGAGUUCGCCAGACCACUCCCGCCCUCAGUUACACAGGCUUUAAGGUACAUAAAGAUGGGGCGUUUCUAGUAACGCCAGUAAUAAAGUGACAUAAAUGUCCAUUAAGUCUACAGAGUAAACGUCCGACCGUUGCUAUUCAGAGUGACUUUAGGUCUCCUGCCUGUCGAGGCAUUCCUGUUACGGUCGAGUGAGCUUGAAUCUUCCGAGUGGGAUGCCUCUAGUCAAGUGGAUGAUGAUAUCCCUUGAAUGCUUCUGACUUUAGGGUAAUGUCCUAGCGGAGGGUGUCCAGGUGAGGUCUAUGAUCCUACCCUAGCUACAUAUCUUCAUCAGGCAGUCCCAAAUAUUUCUCUUCAAACCCUGUCGUGAUUACUUGCAAAAUAUGUUUUACUCCAUCUCUGGUUACAUCCGGACAUGAACUACCCACCAUCAUGGAGCACUUGGCAGGGUUUAACAACUGCCUCGUGGCAUUUGCAUAAACUUCCAGAGUGCUUUUAAUAUAUUGUGCUUCUUGGUCACACGACUUGAAAAAUAAGAGUGUCAUCCGCGAAUAAUAAGUGUGAGACUCCCGGUACACUUCUAGUAAUUUUCAGUGGAGAUAUAUUACGGGUAGCAAUCCCUAUAUUGAUAAAAGCAGAGAGACCAUCAGCAACAAACAAGAAUAAAUAUGGGCACAGCGGAUCACCUUGCCGAAGACCACGCGACGGUGCAAACGAAUCCAGGAUGGCUCCAUUGAAUUUUACUGAGUAUCUCACCGAGGUCACACAUGACAUAAUCCAGUCAACCCACCGGUGAGCAAAGCCAAGCUUUUGCAUCAUUUGCCUAAGGUAAUUCCAGUCCACUCUAUCAUAGGCUUUUGAGAGAUCAAGCUUAUAAGCACAAUAACUCCUGGUAGGGUCCUUCUCUUGCUUUAUAUGAUGAAUACAUUCAAAGGCAACAUAGGCAUUGUCGGUAAUCAUACGUUCAGGAAUGAAAGCACUUUGCCAAGGCGAAAUAAUCUCAUCUAAAACAGGCCUUAACCGGUUUACUAAGCAUUUUGAGACCACUUUGUAAACCACAUUACAUAAACUUAUGGGGCAGAAAUCCGUGAUUUUCACCGGGUUAUCAAUUUUUGGGAUCAUUACAAUGAUAGUAUCAUUAACAUAUUCAGGCAUUAUCCCACUUUGGAAGAAAAAUUUUACCGCGGCAAUUAUACCUUCCUUCAUUGUCCCCCAGUUACGCUGAAAAAACGCGCGGGGAAACCAUCCGGACCCGACGCUUUUAGAGGUCCAAUCUGGAAAAGAGCGUCUCCAAUCUCCUUAUCUGAAAAUUCCGCACAUAAAACAUCAUUUAUUUGCUGAGUUACAACAGCCUCAAACAAAUCAGUGACUUGGGCGUGAUCAAGACUUGGGUCAGCCGUAAACAGCUCCUCAAAAUAAUCUGUAACGGCCUUCCCCAUCUCCUUAAUCCCCGUAUGCACAACACCCUGAGCAUCUUCCAACUUCUUAACUCUAUUUUUCCUGGCCCGCCAUACUGAUUUUGCAUGGAAAAUUUUUGUGUUCCUGUCUCCUGCUUUUAACCAAUCUAUCCGUGAUCUUUGCAACCACAUCAAUUCUUCUCGGUACAGUAACUCAUUCAUCUUGUCUGUAACUUUACGUAUCUCGCAUCUGUCCGCAUUCAUCAACAUCAAUUCCUCCAGCUGGGAUCUAGAUUUCUCGAGCUCAUUUUUUAUACUUCCAAACUUAACUCUACUCCACUCAAACAGUUUAGACAUGGUUGACCUGAGCGCAGCAUGUACGUCGCCCAAACUUGUUUUCUGCCCAGCUGCCUCCCAUGCUCGUGCAAUGAUUUCCUGAAGGGCCGGGUCCCUCUCCCACAUUACUUCAUAUUGGCGGAUUUUUUUCUUUAUACGUACAUCCUCCAUACGAGCACAAUUAACAUGCAGAGCCACAUGAUCAGACACGGGCGAUACCAGGUGGCGAACAACAGGAGAUUCAAAAUUAUCGCGCCAAGCCGGGGUAGCCACAGCCCUGUCCAAUCGCACUUUCACAUUUGCCAAACCACCUCUCUUGUUGUCUUAUGUGUGAGGAACACCCGAGAAUCCCAAGUCUGACAACUCACAUAUCUCCAGUACAUCAUGAAAAGCUUGCAUCUGACUCAUUGGCCUCGGUGAUAAGGAGAAGUGCUCAAAGUCCCACAUGCAUUCAUUAAAAUCACCCACAACUAACCAGGGUAGAUUAGACUAGGAGCUGAGAUUAUUAAGCAGAGUCCUCAUGUUAUGUCUAUCUUCCGCCCUUGGCUCUCCAUAGGUCAGUCUCCACAUAAUUUCAUCCGGCCCCAAUCUAACGUGGGCAUCGAUGCAUCUCUGUUUUGAGAACACCACCUCCACUUUGAGGGAUUCAUACCAGUAAAGGGCCAAUCCACCACUGUUUCCCAUACAAUCCACUCCCUCAAAACCUUUCAAACCAAACCGAGAUCUGUAUUUUUCAUCUUACUUUUUUGUUGCCUUGGUUCACAUAAAAACACCAACAUGGGGGAAAGCGACUGAAUGAAAGUCGCCACUUCGCGAACUGUCCGGGAGUCCACCCCCCCUGGCGGUCCCUGACGUGGAGGCCGCCACUGCAACACUUGACGCCCUAUUGAUAGCCGUUUCGUUUUCUCCUCUCAGCUUUUUUCUGUUGGCACUUUUCUGUGGUGUACCAUCCACCCCUUCCCUGGUUAUUUCUUCAUCUGCACCUUCAAAUUGCUCAACAAUUUCAGCAGUAUUACCUACAGGAACAAUAUCAGUGCUACUCACCCCCAAGUUGUUUGUAUCCGGCAUGAGAGUCACUAAAUCAGCAGCUAAUCUUUUCCCAAGGGUGUUCAGAUCCUCCUUAUACCCAUUCUCCCUUUCAGCUGGGUCAUUGACACCCUUACUUGGGUCUAUUACCAAGGGAUUAACUGCGUUAUGUGGCCAGCUCCUCACCCGGUGUUGGCCAUCUGCUGCAUCAUCAGUCCUUUUAUCCCCAUCAUAAUUAUAUGUCCCACUGUCCCUCCAUAAUUCUCGCUGCACUCCAGUCCUACCAGCACCCCGCCCCCUUCCAAAGGCUUCAUGCUGGGUAGCAGAUUGAAAGGCAUCACCUCUGCCAUACCCAUGGCCAGCUCCCCGGCCCGUGCCACGUCCACCCCCACCACGGCCUCUCCUUGGUGCUAGAACGAAGGGGCCCCAUUCCAUCUCUUCCUCCUUGUGAUCACCAGUACCACAUUCCUCAUGCCAAUGGCCCAAAAGACCACACAUAUAGCAAAACACUGGCAGCUUUUCGAACUUAACCUGGUACCAUUCAGUUUCCCCAGCCUUUGUGAAGCUAACAAACCUUGUAAGCUUUUUAUUGACAUCUAACUUCACUCUUGCUCUUAUGAACUCUCCCACGAAACCAUUGGGAAGGAUAUCUGAAGCUCUAACACUUCGCCAAUGCGUGCUGCCAUAUUCUUCACAAACUGCUCCCUUUUCAGUACCAUGUCAGGAAGCUUAUGUAUUUGGCACCAGGUCUCGAUUUUAUCGAGCUUUACUGUCUCCGGCUUCUUGAAGCCAUCAUACUCCUCGAUUAUAAGCGCCAUGCCUUUGAAGUCCCAAGGACCUUGGUGGAUAGCUUUGUUCCAAUCCCCCAAACAAUUGAACUGUACUGAGAACAGAUUUGGAUUAAUCCUACGCCAGAUGGAAAGGCCCUUGUUAUCGCUGAAGCAAUAUAUAUAAAGCUUAAUAGGGCCUAAGAAAGCUCACACAAUUUUGCAGUGGCUAUGGAAAUGUGUUGCCAAACUGAGACAUAAGAUUUUCGUUUGGCAUCCAGACCGUUUGUGUCAUCCUUAAUCUAUGGUUACUCUAAUUUUUUCCGGCCAGGCCUUCCCUGUGGUACCGCAUCAAGGCAUGCGUGUGUAUACGUUUCCUUUAACUACCAUGUGCAGGAUGAGGAUUUACUGCACGCAUGUGCGGCGGCACUCAGGUCCUGGUGCCGGCUUUUUAUUUUGGCUUUAGAUUUUCAAACUUCUAUAUCUUCUAUACAAAAAAUUUAAUUUAAGUUAUGUUUUCAUAUUCGUGUUUCUCGCAGCCAGCACUUUCAAAUAAGAUCCAUUUUGAAUACAGUUUGGCGAUUUUUGAAAACAAUGUUAAGUUUCAUUGUUUGAAACUUAGUACGAGCGGCUGAUAGAAUUCAAUUAUUUUGUGUCUACGACCAACACAGAAAAUUUCUUAAAAUUACAUCUUUGAAACUAGUUUGUAAGUCAUGGACAGUUUUUGAAUUUUUAGGAUAUUUUUUCAUUCAUGAACAUUUUUUAAAUUGGUGAAAUUUUGUUUAAUUUCAUUAACAAAUUUUAGUCACAAACCUUUUUAAAAAAUCAUGAACAUUAACUAGUUCGUGAAAUCCCAAAUUACUUAAAGCAGAAAAAACAAAAACAGAAAAGAGAAAGGAAUAAUGGAAAACAAAGUUAAAAAAUAGGCCAACCGAACAUGGGCCAGCCCAAACGGGCGCACUGCGUCUUCUCCCAGCGUGUGGCCCAAGCGAAAGAUUUCUCUGUAUGAAACUUUUUUUAUCACUUAUUGAUGGCGUUGGUGCGUAAUGUUUUGCAUCUUUAGUGACAAUUUUCAUGACGUACUGCCAGAAGUUAUUGCCACUUUAUUAUUAGGUAGAGAUUAGGUAUAGAUAGGAACUACCAGUAAAUUAGGUAGAUGAUAGAGACGAUGACUCCGAAGAAGAUCACAUGUGUCGAGCUUGGAACAUGCUAACAGAUCUUAGGGCAUCUCCGAUGUAAACCCAUAAAACAGACAUCGCAAAUGUCCGCGAACACGCACCGGACUGGUUCGCGGACACGAUAGGGGAGGGAGCCAUCCAACCUUGAUGGAUGCUACCCGUAUUUCUCUCACAUUUCUCCAGCAUUUCAUCGAACAAUUGAUGUGCAGAAGUAGGACACGUCUGGUUCAUGCAGCUGGGGCGUCCUGGGAGUUCUGCCUCAUCGGGCACGAUUGAUGUGUCACAGGACGAUGGGUGCGGUCUCGGGCGCGUCGGUAGCGGCCACGACGACAAGAGGAGGUCGCGCCACGAGCAGAGCUAGCCACGGGAGCCGCCAUUGGUGCAGCACUUGGCGCAGCCAGCCCACGACACGCCGGGCAUGGCGGCAAGAGAGCUUCAUGAGGCCAGAGCCGAGCUCGGCCUUGAGCUACUUGCCGAGCAGCCAUGGAGGGCAUGGGGAGAUGAGAUGCGCAGGGAGAAGGGAGAGAGGACAGGGAGAAGGGAGAGAGGAGUAGAGAGAUAGGAGGAGGCGGCGAUGAGGAUGGAGCGCUCGCCUGCAGCUGCCCUCACCGUUGUCCGUAGCCGGCAUCGGUGCUCUCCGUUUAGUGUUAUUUGUAAGGAGAGGGUGGGAGUGGAGACGUGGUGUUUUUUUGGUUAGCUGGAUGUUCAGACUCUCACAUAGUCCCUCAAAGUUGUUCGUGUGAUAUCGAAAUUUGAACAUGUGGGCUGUUCCGCGGAUAUUUAGAGGACCCCACUUGAAGAAUAAAAGUGGUCCAAACACUACUGUCUGACAUUUUGCCCUUAGUAGUUGGUGGAUGUCGAUGUGCUAUCCCUCCAACCUAUAUCAAGAGAUCCAUUCACCGUCUGAUCCCUUCUACCAAACACGUCAUUGCUUUCCAUGGUUCUCUCUUGUCGAUGUGUGAAAUAUUAGAAUUUGAGUUGUUUGGUGAAAUGUACGAGCUGACCGCCAAAAGAACAAAAAAUUUCUUUCUUUUUCCUUUUUUUAUAGUUUUGGCAGGUGCAUUUUCAUAUGGUACAUGUCUAGACCAUUUGAACAGUUUAUUUUGAAUUUGUUUCUUCCAUUCUAGCUAAAUAUAAGAGUUUACAAUGUUCGUUUUAAUCCUUUGGAAUAAACAUUUAUUACUAGUAUUAAAAAGACUAAAUUAGCUGCCGCAUUUUUUUCCCUAAUCAACUUGAAGGCUAUCUACACUUUGAUUAAAUUGUCAUUUAUACAUUUCGUGAUAUAUUAUUUCCAUUAUGUAUAUUAACUGCAAUAAAAAUGACGAUAAUCUGUUUUUCCUUAAGUUUUAAUGAAUGUACUAAAUAAUUAAAUAAUAAAAAUUUACUUACAAAAUAUUAACAUGAAAACGUGCCCUAUGAAUAAAAGGUAGAUAUCUAACUCAGGCACUUAUCUGCAAAAUAAAUGUUUUUUUAACAAAAUUGAAAGUAUUUAAAUUAUUUAAAAUGAAUAAAAAGUACAUGGUCCAUUCUACUUUACCGCUCGAAACACACUGAUUUGUUGUGGCAAUAGAAACACUGAAUUUCAGUCCCACUUAUUAAUGUUUGCUAAGUGAUAUCUGACAAUAAAACGUAAAAUAAAUAUUUUUUAUAUUAAAAUUUUUAAUUAUUAAAUUAAUCAUUUUGUCUGUGAUCUUAAUGUGUAAUUUUCUAUUACUUACGUAAAAUAGUUAACCAUAUAACAAUGUUGCUAAAUAAGAGUUAUAAUGUUUCUUUGUUAUGUAGUUGCAACAUAUAUCAGUAAAAUAGUUAAUUCAUAUUUAAAAGGUAUGAUAGAACAAAAGUUAUUUUUUCAAUCAAGUCUUGAAAUUAAAUAAAUUUAUAAUGUAUAUACAUAUAUUUCCAUACAUUUGUAUGUGUUCAUCGAGAUUUUAAUGUCAUUAAAUAUCAUGUUAGAGAUUUCAAAAGUGUGCUUUCUAACAUGUAUCUUAGUAGUAGUUUCUAGUGUAAUACUAUGUAAUCAUAUUUACAGAAAUUUCUAGAGCACGAAAUAUAUGUCUUGCAAGUUGGAUUCGGUAAUAAGUUGGCAUCAUGACCAUGCUAUUUGUUACAAUUAUUUUUUAUUUUAAAUAAUAACAAAUAACAAAAAAAUAUAAAAUUUAUGGGUGAAUCAUGCAAGUGAGGAGAACACACCAAUGAUGAAAGACAGUGCAUUUCUACGUGGAAUUCAUAUUGACAAACCUUAAGAAUCACAUUCAUUUCUAUGUUUUUAUAGAUUAUGCCCCAUUUGCGGGACUCAGAUACAAGUCAGUUCAAGGUGUGGAGCACGAGAAAACAUAGGAUUCAAGACCAGAUCAGCGACCGACUUCAAAAACAAAUAAGUAAAAAUUGCACAUUAGGUAUCAAGAUUAGGAGUAGAUGGAAAAUUAAUUGAAAGAAAUGGAGCAAAUAGCUCUGCAAUAAGUGCUCUCGCUAGAAAAUAAAUGUUGCGUUAGACGAUCCACUUGAAAACACACAUAUGAAGUGGUGGAGCCGGAAUUUUCACAAUGGGUAUGCAAAGCUAUAAAAAAUUGAUGGGCAACACUAACAACCAUGAAACUGCAUAUUAUUCUCCCUUUUUUUCACAUAUCGACAAUUUAAAUAAAAAAUGACUAGUUAAGCUUGAUUGAAUACUACAAUAAAUUAAACAACAGAUUGAGGAUCAGCCUCUGCUCCGAGUAAAAAAAUAAAGGGAAACUCUAUACAUCAGUAGUCUGCUGUUUCAUCCAUCGGAAUCCUCCACGGCCUUAGAUUCAUUUUCCAUUUGACAUACAUGAUGCUCAUCUAUCCUUAGCUGCCAGCCUCUGGGCCAGAAUGACUACCCUACCCGUGCCCCCACCUUCACCCGAGAGACACCCACCUUCACAUUCUUCCUGUCCAGGAAAGCGACUAAAUUUAGCUUCUCCUCCCACACCAGCAAAACUCCAUCCACCUCGGCCAUCUCUUACUUCACCGAUUGAUCUCCACCUGGUCGCAUGAUAUAAGCUCAUUAUCCUUCGAUGGAAGCAUAAUUAACUUGUAGUGCUAAAAACAAACUUGAAGAUCGUUGGGAGCAAAAUGUGCUCCUUAAGAUAGCAAACUAGUACAAGUAUAUUGGGAAACUCAUUUUAGAGUCAUUAAUUUCCGUAACACUCAAAAUCAGUUUCCUAGAAUUUUGGGGGCAUGAAUUAAGCGAUCAUGUUAAUAAGGGAUCUCAUGUAAUGUUCGAUUCCUAAAAAGCUAUAACCCACUACCUAUUUUCCCUUUACAUGCAACCAUUCCACAUAAGCAAGUCAUGCAUGCAAGUCAUAAAUUACAUUGUUUUUGCAUUACUCUAUGCAUACAGCGUUGCCACAUCAUCAACUCAUGCAUGUUAGUCAUAAUCUAUUGUUUGCAUUAGAUUUUUAUUUUUGGGAAGCAAGAGCUUUGAUUCAUUAAUUAGUGGGCUUACAAUCGUUUUGUAGACAGACAACUAAAAUGGUAUGCACAUAAUUGAUCCAAAGACAUCUCCUUCUACUAGCUGGCGCUUGUUGUGAGCAAAGAUGUGCCCGUUCAUUGGCCUUAUGUCCAAUGAAGUUCAAUUUGAAAAAAAAUCCAAAUUGCCGCUAAGAUCCUCAAUUUCUUGUAGAAUCGAAGCAAUCACAGACCGACCCUUGGCGCAAUCCAUCCAAAGCUUGACAACUUCACUUGUAUCAAACUUUAGAUAGGCCGAAAAAUGACAGACUAGCUCGAAUCCAUCCCGAAUUGCUAGAGACUACAAGAUCAAAGCGUUAGCUGCUUGGUCGUACCAGAUAGCUUGUCCCCUAAUCAAGCUACCCAGUGGUGUUAUUACGGCCCUGGGGUGCCUCACUUUGUUAGUUGUCGGCCCACUAGGUUAGUUCCACGCUCAGUCAUCAUGCCGACCCACGUGCCCUAUACAAAGAAGACUCCAGAAGCCUUGCCAUUCAAGACAAGGAAGCCGGAGUGUUGGUGUACAAAAAUAGGGGUCUUUCUGUACCCCUUUACUUGUGCGCGGACAGUUGUAGCCACACCUGCGGCCACGCUUGGCGGGGCAAAGGAAACGAAGAUACAGGACUGCCAGGGCAGUGCUCAAGCCAGAGGCGCAAAGAGCAAAGGGACAAGAUGGAUUUCCCCCGGCGAGAGCCUUGCCGGGGUGACCUACAUAGCCCCGGCAAGAGCCAUGCCGAGGCAACUUGCCCAACACCUGCAAGGCCGCCACCUUUGAGCUUGAGAGUUCUGACACCAUCGACAACGUCGAGACCAAGACUCAGGGGCGCCUGUGUGAUGGCAAGCAGAUCUUUGUGAGGAACAAAGGCCUGCGAAUCUGGACAGAAACCAGAAGGCGAAGACCCACGGCAAGAGCCUUGCCAGGGACAGGCGGAGACCACCGGCAAGAGCCUUGCCGGGGACAGGCGGAGACCCCGGCAAGAGUCUUGUCGGGGACAGAUGAAGACCCCCGGCAAGAUUUUUGCCGGGGACGCCCGCGAGACCCCGGCAAGAUCUUUGCCGGGGGCUUCUGCGGGGCUAAGGCCAGGCUCUCACUUACCAACGUUUCGCUGCCCCGCACCCGUGCCGACGCGACAAUCAGCCCGCCAACCAGGCAGGCGCCUGCGUGGCAGCAAGCAACCUCUAGGCCAACUAGACAAGCACCUGCGUGGUGGCAUGCAGAUCUUCGUGAAGACCCUGCCACCGUACUAGCACAGCAGCCAGCCAGCCAGCGUGGCGCUGCAUGCCUCGUCAGCUUGGAUGCGCGUCGAAGCAAGGCGAGGCGGCGAUGGACGGGACAAGCUUCUUUUCCGUCCCUAAUAAAGCAAGAGGACACGUAGGCGCAUUAAAUGAGUUUGUGCCACGAUGUCAGGGAUAGACUUGUACACUAUAGACACUUUCCACCUCCCGUGUGCCACUGUGGAAACCCCUUUGACAUAUAAAAGGAGGCUCGAGGCGUACUGAGGAAGGAUUUCGGACUUUUUGAACUAGGCAUGCACCGCAGCUAGUUCAACAGCUCAAGAACACCAAAUAUAUACACCAAAGUAGGACUAGGGUAUUACACAUCGCUUGCGGCCCGAACCUGGGUAAAAAAUCCCCUAGCGCUGAUCUUUUAGUCCCGCUCUUUGCACAGCUCUGCGCCCCGCCAACCGUAGUAGGGAUUCCCCGUGAUCCCAUAGGUGUCGUUUCCCCCGACAUCUUUGGCACGCCAGGUAGGGGGCGCAAGCUGUGAAAAUCUGGUCUAGGUGUUAGCGCAUCGACUUCAUCGUCGCCAUGGCCCCCAAGAAGAAGGGGAUCACAACGAUCUGGUCGUCCGGAGACGGCCCGUCCGCACCGGUGCGGGCAGCCAACGGGGUGGCCAUGGAUGGUGCCGGAGGCGCGGCCCGCGAGCAUCCACGACACUAUGGCAAUCGGAGCCAGGCGAGCGGCGUCGUUCGGAUCCAAGACAACGAGCCACACGCGGUUGGGUCCGGGGGCGGGGCCGUGCUGCCCAUGGGCUACGCGGCAACCUCUAGGACGCCCCAGCUGGCGCCCGCGCCGCGGCCCAGGCCGCGCGCCACGAGCAACACCGCGACGUCGGUGCCCCCGGGCGCCGCCGCGGGAAAAGCCCAUUGCGUCACUCUCAGGACGCACAGGGCCGUCGUGCGCACCUGGACGCUGGCGGAAGCGGCGCGCGACCGCGAGACCGUGAUAGAGCUCCUUCUAACGUGGUUAGAAGUCGGACCGCGUCACAAUCCAUGCAGAUUUCGCCGCCACCCACGCCGGCAGAAGCAUUGGCGGUCGUGCAACUGCUCCUCGACUUUCCUCCUGCCGCGGAGAAGCUUGACGAGUGGAGAGUCACCAUUCGAAGCCUCAUCAGCUUUGCCAAUAAAUAUGAACCAUGACCGGCGGGACCCUCGUGUCGGCGCUCCGUCGAGCCGGCGCACGCCGGUGGUGGGAGGACCGCGGCUGCUGCGACCACGGUGCACUCUCCUCCCCUUGCCAGCAACAGCAGCCACCGGCUCGUCGGGCCGACGCCUGUGACAAUGUUUCCACAACGUCGUCCGACCCGCGAGCCCGCUGCGACCAACAUCAAGUUCUGAGCGAGCUCAGGAGGACACUCGGACCACCAUCGAGCGGCAGCGGGAAGCGUGCCAUCAGUCUGGGGCCCACUAUGGACCGCCCAACGCAGGGGGGGCUCCGGCGACCUACCUUACGAGGUGGGUUGUCCACCCUUUACCCGUGAGCUGCGGCAGUUCAAGUGGCCCACCCACCGCAUGUUCAAGCCUGAGGUUGAAGAGAAGUACAACGGCAAGACUCACCCGUCGGAGUUCCUCAGCAUCUACACUAUCGCGAUGCAAGCUACCGGGGCUCGCGACAAGGUGCUUGCCAACUACUUUCCGUUGGCGCUUAAGACCAACGUCAUGUCAUGGUUGAUGCACCUGCCAGUGGAUUCCAUCUCUUCCUGGUCGGAUCUGUGCCACGAGUUUGUUGGCGCCUUUACCAGAGGCCACCAAGCUCCUGGCCAGGCAAAUGAUUUGCAUGUCAUCCCCCAGAAGGACGACGAGACCCUGCACAAAUACAUACAAAGGUUCAGCCGUGUGCAGUACAACAUCCCAGAUGUUCACCCCACCGCUGUCAUUAGUGCAUUCCAUCAGAAUGUGCGCAACCGCAAGAUGCGUGAAGAGCUGGCGAUGAACAAGGUUAAGGAUGUAGCCGAGCUUUAUGUUCUAGCUGAUAUAGGUGCGCUCGGGCUGAAGAAGGAAGGAAGUACCCCGGCGAGGACGCGGGCGCGGAAACCGACUCCAUGGAUGAAGAUGCCGUUGCCCCGGCAAAGAAGGGUCGACGCCGCAAUAGGAAGUGUAAGGGCAAGACCGUGCUUGCCAUUGAGGGAUCCGGCAACCCCGGCGCCGCCAAGAAGGCCAAGGCUGACGACCACGGCAAGGAAGUUGCCGGGUGCGCCAUCUGCCGGGCUUUGGCGGCUGCCAACAAGCAGUACUGCAAGAUCCAUCGCACCAAGGGCCAUGACCUCCAGAACUGCCAACAGGUUGAGCUGCUUGCGGAGAAGUAGAAAGCUGAAUAUGAAAUGCGGGACAAGGAGAAGGGUCAGGAUGGUGCCGUGGGGUCCGGCAAGGAGCGUGUCAGCCAGGGAGGUCACUGCGGCAAAGAUAAUCAACAAGAGAGGCCCGCUCGGGGCCGUGAUAAGAAAGAGGGGGACGAUGACCAUGAUGGCGAUGACGAGUCCACCAAGCAUGAGUUCUAGAAGGCCACGGAUUCCAUGUGCGUCAACGGUGGUGCCUCGUUUCACACCUCUCACCACCAGCUGAAGCAGUGGGCGCGUGAAGUCACUGCGGCAGAGCCAUUGUUCGAUGCCCAGACGCCACUGAAGUGGUCCAGCACACCUAUCAUUUUUUACACCGAGGAUCGAUAUCACCCCGAUCGCACAACUGCGGUCGGGUGCUUGCCGUUGUUGGUUUCACCAACGAUAAGCAACCUCAAGGUGACAAAAGUGCUAGUUGAGGGUGGGGCCGGUUUGAACUUGAUCCCGCCCGCCGUGAUCAAGAGACUACAGAUCCCUGAUGGAGAUCUCGAGGAGACUGGCACGUUUCAAGGGGUCAACCCGGGGAGGAGUCAGCCGAAGGGUAAGGUCACGUUGCCCGUUACAUUUGGGGGCGAGCUGAAUUAUAGGAUGGAGAAGAUCGUUUUUGAUGUCGCCAAGAUCCCCUUGCCCUGUAAUGGGAUCCUUGGCCACCCGGCACUGGCCAAGUUCAUGGCGGCGUCACAUUACGCCUACAACACGUUGAAGAUGCCCGGGCCAAUGAGCAUCAUCACCGUCCCUCCGACAAGAAGGACGCUCAUCUGUGCCGACCAACUUUAGCGGGAGGCAGUUGCAGCAACUGCCGCCAAGGCACUUGCUCCUGCCGCUGAAGCCCAGGAAGGGAAGAGAACUGGCAAGACCUCCUGCACCCACUCCGGCAAGCGCGCCUCUUCGGAGUGCUGCACUCCCGUCGAGGGCGUGCCAGAGAGCUCCACCGGCAAGAGCAAGAAAUCCAAGGCAGCACCACCUGAGACCAAGAAGGUGCCCAUCAAGGAGGACGGCACGGGCGGGGAUUUUACUAUAAGAUCCACCCUUGACAGUAAAUAGGAAAGCGCGCUCGUCGCCUUCCUGCGGGCGAAUGUCAAUUUGUUUGUGUGGCAAGCACCGGACAUCCCCGGCGUUCCCAGGGAGUUGAUUGAGCACCAUCUUGAUGUCUGUCCUCAUGCGCGGCCUGUCAAGCAGAAGGUCAGGAAGCAAGCUUUGGAACGAAAAGAAUUCAUCGUCGAGGAGAUCAGGAAGUUGGAGGCAGCAGGCUUGGUCAGAGGAGUGCUCCACCCCACGUGGUUGGCGAAUCCAGUGGUGGUGCGCAAGGCAAAUGGGAAAUGGAGGCUGUGUAUUGACUAUACAUAUAUCAAUAAAGCCUGUCCAAAGGAUCCUUUCCCUCUGCCACGCAUUGACCAGAUAGUGGACUCCACUGCUGGGUGUGACUUGCUGUCAUUCCUCGACGCCUACUCAGGAUACCACCAGAUCUUCAUGAUGAAGGAAGACAAAUAAAUGACUGCGUUCAUCACCCAUGUGGUAUGUACUGUUUUGUACGGAUGCCUUUCGGGUUGAAAAGCAUUGGUUCGAUAUUUUCCCGAGCAGUCCAAAUUGGUUUUGAGCCAUAGCUGCAUAGAAAUAUGGAAGCUUAUAUGGACGAUAUAGUGGUCAAAACCAAGGACAAGGCUACGCUCGUGCAGGAUCUGGAGGAAACAUUUGCAAACCUACGCAAGAUCAACCUCAAGCUCAAUCCAGAGCAGUGCGUGUUCGGCGUUCCGUCCAGCAAGCUUCUUGGUUUCUUUGUGUCUCAACGUGGAAUCGAAGCAAAUCCCGACAACAUCAAGGCGAUUGAGCAAAUUGAGGCACCAAGACGGGUCAAGGAUGUCCGUAGACUUUCCGGCUGCGUUUUUGCUCUAAGUAGGUUCAUCCCCAAAUCUGCUGAGCGCGCCCUCACCUUUUUCAAAGUUUUGAAAAAGGCGGGUCCAAUGAAAUGGACUCCGGAGGCAGAGGCAGCGCUGCAAGAUCUGAAGAGGUAGCUCUCCUCCACGCCAACACUGGUCACGCCUAAGCCACAAGAGCCGUGCUACCGUAUCUAGCGGCAACGAAUCAAGUGGUUAGUGCUGCACUGCUGGCGCAGGGGAACUUGAGGAAGAAACAGCGGUAGCGGCCGAGCCGUCGGAUGAUGUGCCAAGGCAUUCCCCAGCACGGCCUGAUAUCGGCAAGGUGGGACCCCCGGCAAGGCCUGAUCCCGGCAAGAUAGAGUCUGCGCAAGUAGGCGAAGUUGAACAGAAGAAGAAGGUGGUGCAGCACCCGGUUUAUUUUGCCAGUUCCCUCUUGCAGGGGGCUAGAUCAAGAUAUUCUAGUAUGCAGAAGCUACUUUUCGACCUCCUCAUGUCCUCGAGAAAGCGGCGCCACUAUUUCCAAGCACAUGAGAUCACCGUCGUCACCCUCCCUUUAAAGUGAAUCUUGCACAACCCAGAUGCGACUGGGAGGAUUGUGGAGUGGGCGUUGGAGCUGUCAAGCUUUGGCCUCAAGUUUGAAAGUACUUCAACGAUCAAGAGCCGGGCCUUGGCAGAGUUCAUAGCAGAAUGGACCGCAACGCCCGACGAAGAGAUUCAAGAGACCACCCUUCCCGGUAAGGAGAUGUCCGUGAUUGGGUUAUGUACUUUGCUGGAGCUUUCCCACUGCAAGGUGCUGGUGCCGGCAUGCUACUCGUCACACCCACUGGAGAGAGCCUCAAGUACGUAGUCCAGAUGCACUUUCACUUGGAAAAAUCAACGAACAACAUGAUGGAGUAUGAGGGAUUGCUUGCCGGUCUCAGGAUCGCAGCAGACCUCGGAAUCAGGAAGCUCAUCAUCAGAGGUGAUUCGCAGCUAGUCGUCAAGCAAGUUAACAAGGAUUACCAGAGCCCGUUGAUGGAGGCCUAUGUGGAUGAAGUGAGGAAGUUGGAAGAGCGUUUUGACGGUCUACAAGCAGAGCAUGUUCCCCGAGCAGAGAACAGCAUUGCCGACGACCUGUCGAAAUGCGCUGCCCUCAAGUUGCCUGUGGAACCAGGUACCUUUGUGCUUCAAUUAACUCAGCCAUCCGUUGAGCCGUCAGUAGGACAGAACAAGCGAAGGAAGGCAGGCCCCGGCAAGUACUUUCCCACUGAGCUCCCAGGAGCCGCGGGCAAGGAAGUUGCCGGGUAUCCCAAGCUUGCCGAGGAGCAGCAACCUCCGGCAGGGCACCAGGCCCUGACCGUAGAGGCAGCUGCCCCUACGGCCGAGAAUGAGCCUUUAGUCCUUGCCGUCGAGCCCCAGGCUCUGGCAUGGGCGCAGCGCACCGUCCGUUUCCUCCAAACGGGGGAACUCCCUGAGGAAUAGGAAGAAGCAGAGAAAGUAGCCCGUCGGUCCAGCACGUACCAGUUUGUGGAUGAUACCCAAUACAGAAGGAGACCAAACGGUGUGAAAUUGAAGUGCAUUCCUCAGGAGGACGGACUGGAGUUGUUGGCGGAAAUACAUGGAGGCAUAUGUGGCUCUCACAUAGGAUCAAGGGCCCUUGCCGGCAAGGCAUUCUGGCAAGGUUUCUUUUGGCCCACUGCCCGCCAGGAUGCAACUGCACUAGUAACCAAGUGUGAAGCGUGUCAGUUCCAUUCAAAGAAGCUCCAUCAGCCAGCUCAAUCUCUUCAGACAAUCCCUCUCUCCUGGCCAUUUUUGGUCUGGGGGCUCGACAUACUGGGGCCCUUUCCCCGUGCUGUCGGGGGCUUUGAGUACUUGUACGUUGCAAUCGAGAAGUUCACAAAGUGGCCAGAAGUGGAACCGGUGAGAAAGGUGACAGCACAAUCAGCUGUCAAGUUCUUCAAGGGACUAGUAUGCCGUUUUGGUGUGCCAAAUAGAGUCAUCACCGACAACGACACACAGUUCACAAGCCGCACCUUUAUGUAGUAUAUUCGAAACCUCGUCGGCAAGGUUUGUUUUGAUUCUGUUGCUCAUCCCAGAAGUAAUGGCCAGGCUGAGAGGGCGAACGCAAAGGUGUUGUGAGGACUCAAGACCAGGAAUUUUGACAGGCUACACAAGUGCGGAAGGCGCCGGAUUGAUGAGUUGCCAACUAUUCUUUGGUCGAUCAGAACGACGCCAAAUCGAGCCACUGGCCAGACACCCUUUGCCCUGGUAUACGGGGUAGAAGCAGUUCUCCCCACGGAACUCAUAUACGGGUCACUGAGGGAGUCCUGGACAAAGGGGUCCUCGGGCGUCCGGCCUGUUAGCCAUGGGCCGGACUGAUGGUCUAUGAAGAUACGCAGACCGAAGACCCUACCCGUGUCCGGAUGGGACUCUCCUUGGCAUGGAGGGCAAGCUUGGCGAUUAAAUAUGUAGAUUCCUUUCUUUGUACCGACCUUGUGUAACCCUAGAUCCUCCCGGUGUCUAUAUAAACCGGGGGGACUUAGUCCGGAGGGGGGAGAGACUCAUUACCAUAGUCAUACAGGCUAGACUCUUAGGGUUUAGCCAUUAUGAUCUCGUGGUAGAUCAACUCUUGCAAUACUCAUAUUCAUCAAGAUCAAUCAAGCAGGAAGUAUGGUAUUACCUCCAUAGAGAGGGCCCGAACCUGGGUAAACAUUGUGUCCCCUGUCUCCUGUUACAAUCGACCUUAGACGCACAGUUCGGUACCCCCUACCCGAGAUCCGCCGGUUUUGACACCGACAUUGGUGCUUUCAUUGAGGUUCCACUAUGCCGUCCCCAAAAGGUUUGAUGGCCCCUUCAAUCGUCAACAAUGAUGCUGUCCAAGGAGAAACCUUCCUCCCCGGACAGAUCUUCGUGUUCGGCGGCUUUGCACUAUGGGCCAACUCGCUUGGCCAUCUGGAGCAGAUCGAUAGCUACGCCCCUGGCCAUCAGGUCAGAUAUGGAAGCUUGAACUACGUCGCGGACAUCCGUGGAGACUUGAUUUUUGACGGAUUUGAGACCGCGGCGACCGCUCCUUGUCGCCACGAUGAACAUGAGUUAAAUCUGUCAUCGGACCGCAUCCAGGAGAUAGCUUCCGUAACUGCUCUGGCUCUAGAUCCGGAGCAGACCGCGCCAUCCGAGGACGGGAAGCUCAACCCCGCCAUGGAGGUCACAGAUUCUGCAGCGUUGGAGCCGCACAUAGACUUAACCUCACGCAAUAUCUGUGUCACCGGAACUCCGGACUCGUCUCCGGCUAUAAGUUCCGAACCAUGUGCGUCCGCAGAGGCCGAGCUUGAUCAGUUAUCGAUCUUCGAAUUCAGUGCCGCAGACAUCUUCUGACACUCGCCCCUCGGCCUUGUGCUGAACUCGUUAAAGAAUCUUUCCUUGGCGAGGGACUCACAGCCGAAUUAUGUCCGGUUUGAACAGGAGGCUGACGAUGGGGGAGAAUUUCGCUUCCCACCCGCCACCCACUUCAUAGCCACUGUCGAGGACUUAACCGACAUGCUUGAUUAUGGCUCCGAAGACAUCGACGUUAUGGACAACAAUGCUGAGGAGGAGCAAAGGCAAAACCCGCCAUUUACUGGACGCUGGACGACCACCUCUUCGUAUGAUGUGUACAUGGUGGAUACACCCAAAGCAACCAACGACGAUGACAAAGAAAAUACAGUUGAGAGUAAACCUCCUGAGACACAGCACAAACGUCGGCGUCCUCGGCGCCGCUCUAAGUCACGUCGUUCAAAAGACAGCAAUACUAGCACCGGAGAAAAUAAUACUCCGGACGAUGCCGAAAACAAUGAAGACCCUGUUGAGGUAACAUCCGAACAGGAGGAACAAGAAAACAGGCAAGUUAGCCCCGAUGAACAGGCCAUGCCCAACGACUCGUAGGACGGUAGUUAUCGUCCGCUCUCCGAGGAUGAGGAAUGCCUCGGCAACGAGGAUUUCAUUGUGCCCGAGGAACCUCUUGAGCAGGAGCACUUCAAGCGGCAGCUAAUAGCCAUUGCAAGGAGCCUGAAAAAGAAGCAGCAGUAGCUUCAAGCUAACCAAGAUCUGCUCGUCGACAGGUGGACUGAUGUCCUGGCAGCCGAGGAAUACGGCCUCAGACACCCAGCCAAAAGUUACCCGAAGAGCAGAUUGCUACCUCAGUUCGAUGAAGAAGCGCCAGAGCCCAUACCUCCCUUGCAUAAUGCGGCCGAUCGACCACUACGCGGUCGGGAUAGUGCGGCGGACCGACCACCAUGCGGUCGGGAUAGAGCGGCAACUCAGGCCGAACAGCAGCCCGCCCCACCGCCAUGUAAAAAUAGAGACAAAACAGUUCGGGGUCAUACAUACGACCUUCGGCAGGACCUGGAUAGUAGAGCAGGAUAUACCAGAUCGAUUUACGGAUCGCGAGGAUGUUCCUCGACACGCGAUGAUGGCUACUUAUUCGGACGUGACAAACCUAGUCACGCCCGGGCCGACAACCGCAGACGGACUCCAUCAGAGCUACGUCGCGAUGCGGCCAGAUAUAGAGGCGCCGCACACCCUCUUUGCUACACUGAUGCAGUAAUGGAUCAUGAAUUCCCCGAAGGGUUCAAGCCCGUGAAUAUUGAAUCAUACGACGGGCAACUGAUCCCGCGGUAUGGAUCGAGGACUUUAUCCUCCACAUCCACAUGGCCUGCGGAGAUGACCUCCACGCUAUCAAAUACCUCCCACUAAAGCUUAAAGGACCAGCUCGGCACUGGUUAAACAGCCUGCCAGAAAAUUCUAUCGGCAGCUGGGAGGACUUGGAAGAAGCCUUCCUCGACAACUUCCAAGGUACAUAUGUCCGGCCACCAGACGCCGAUGACUUAAGCCACAUAGUUCAACAGCCUGGAGAGUCAGCAAGGAAAUUCUGGACUAGGUUCCUAACUAAAAAGAACCAGAUCGCCGACUGUCCGGAUACCGAGCGGCCUUUAAACAUAGCAUCCACGACGAAUGCCUCGCCCGCCACCUCGGCAAAGAAAAGCCAAAAUCUAUGGCAGCCCUUACGGCACUCAUGACCCGCUUUUGCGCGGGUGAGGAUAGUUGGCUGGCUUGUAGUAAAAACACAGCCAGCGAGGCAGGCCCCUCUGAGGUCAAAAACAACAACGGCAAGCUCCGACGUAACAGACACAAACGCCGAAGCAAUGGUGAUAAUACCGACGACACUACAGUCAACGCCAGAUUGAGCGGCUCCAAGUCCAACCAACAGAAGAAACCGUACGAAAGAAACAAUCAGGGACCAUCCAGCCUAGACCGCAUACUCGAUCGUCCGUGCCAGAUACAUGGCACCCCAGACAAACCAGCCAAUCAUACCAACAGAGAUUGUUGGGUUUUUUAACAGGCCGGCAAAUUAAAAGCCGAGAACGAGGAAAAGGGAUCGCAAAGCGAGGACGAUGACGAGGAGCCCCGGCAACUGAACACAGGGGGGCAAAAGAAGUUUCAUCUCAGGUCAAAACAGUAAACAUGAUAUAUGCUACACACAUCCCCAAAAGGGAACGCAAGCGCGCACUCAGGGACGUCUACGCGAUAGAGCCAGUCGCCCCAAAAUUCAAUCCAUGGUCGUCAUUCCCGAUCACCUUUGAUCGUCGGGAUCAUCCGACUAGUAUCCGUCAUGGCGGUUGAGCCGCGCUAGUCCUCGACCCAAUCAUUGAUGGAUUUCACCUAACGCGCGUCCUUAGGAACGGGGGUAGCAGCCUCAAUUAGCUCUAUCAGGAUACAGUGCGCAAAAUGGGCAUUAAUCCAUGAAACCCACCAAGACUACCUUCAAAGGAGUCAUACCAGGUGUAGAGGCCUGCUGUACGGGCUCAAUCACACUAGAGGUUGUCUUCGGAUCUCCGGACAAUUUCCGAAGCGAGGAGUUAAUCUUUGACACGUCCCCUUUCGCAGCGGCUAUCACGCACUGCUCGGACGGUCCGCAUUCGCUCGAUUCAAUGCAGUGCCACACUAUGCUUAUCUCAAGCUCAAGAUGCCCGGUCCACAUGGCGUCAUAAUGGUCAAUGGAAAUACGAAACGCUCCCUCCGUACAGAAGAGCACACAGCUGCCUUAGCAGUAGAAGUACAGAGCGGCCUUCUCAAGCAGAACCUUAAUUCGGCUGCCGAGCCCACGGACACCGUUAAGAGGGUCCGAACUACCCUGCAGCAGGACAGCUCGGCUCGUUAGGAGCUCGACUAGCAAUUCGGCCUCCGUCUCAGUCCCGGUCAAGUGGUGGCAUUCGUACCACGCGUACAUAACUACGCACUCAAAAUUCCAUGGGCAUCGACGAAGGCAUAGCUAGUUUGUGAUCCACAGUAUGGCUCAACCAGCACCGGAUACACACAAACUUUCACUUUUAUUCGUUUCCUUUUCAGGUUUCAAUCCCGCAGGCCCCAUCUGAUGGCCUGAUCACCGGUCCUCUUGAAGGAUAAACACACCUAGACGGCAAGAAACACAGACGUUUGGGGGACUUUCAAGGUGGUUUCAUUAACGAUCACUCUACCUGUUUUUCAGGACCCACAUGCAGCUCUCCCUUGGUUUUUGGGCAUGUUAAAUAGCCUGUUGCUUAUCGCACUACUUGUAUCAAUGCGCCUUGAUGUAUUAAUCAAAUUACAAUGGAAACAGUUCGCGGCCCGAGCUUUAGGGCCCCAGCUUAUCACCUUUGCACCCUUUCUGUUUUCUUUUCUUUUUUUCUCUCCUAUGGGUAACCUUAUCAGGUAGCACCCGUACACUUUGGUACGUUUCAUAUUUGCCAUGGGCUUCACAGCACCCCGCACUACGGCAACAAAAGUCCAAACACUUUUUAUAAUAUAGUUCGGCACCCCGAAUUUAACAAUAUAUGCAUUGGCUCCGAAUCAUGUCUUUGGUCAAUAGUUGGGUUGCCCGGCUCCUGUGCUUGCUACCUUAUGUUCCGCUAUAUCGGCUAAGGUAGUAAAGGGAGAACUACUGCGAUUCGGCCUUGGUUUAUCGAAAGGAGCACCUCAGUAGAGAAUGCCGAAAACUGACUGCCAUGAUGCGGCGAGAGCCGGUCAGCUCUUCGGAGGUCGCAAAUCGUUGGAGAUUUCUUUCGCAUUACGCGAACGAUCGGUACUUCCAAAUCAGGCACUUAUAGCACUCUAGUUCGGAUACUAGGGUCUAUGCCAACAUUUUUAUUAUCAAACUCCUAUGGCUAAGUGAGGGCGUUAAAGCCGCAUAGUCUGAUUACCUGGUUCGUUGCGCUAAACAACUCCUUGAAGGAACAUAUAAUUGGAUCAAGAGUGUUUAGAUUCCAUCCCGAACACCUCCGUACUACCUACGAGGGGGCAGAAGCCGAUGACUGGCCAACCCUCAGAUUUCAUACAACACUGCCGCACAGGAGGUAAUUUUUUUAACAUAACAAACAUUAUAUUACAAACCGAAUUUGUUUUAUCAUACAAGGUAGAGGCAACUCGAAUACAUUCAUUCCAAGAUAAUGUCCUGCGAACACUGCGUCGCUACAAUACGAGACCCCUCCAGGACGUCUCCAAAAUACCACUCGGGUGUGCGGUGCACCUUGCCCUCGGGUGGCCCCUCGGUCACAAUCUUGAUGGCGUUCAUCUUCGCCCACCAGACCUUGACGCGGGCGAAGGCCAUACGCGCACACUCGAUGCAGACGGACCGCUUGACGGUGUCCAGCCGAGGACAGGCAUCCACCAGCCGCUUCACAAGGCCGAAGUAACUACUGGGUAUAGCUUCGGUUGGCCACAGCCGGACUAUUAAAUCCUUCAUGGCCAGUUCGGCCACCCUGUGCAGCUCGACCAGCUGUUUUAGCUGAUCGCUGAAGGGCACCGGAUGUUCUGGCGCAAGAUAUUGCGACCAGAACAGCUUCUCCAUGGAGCUCCCUUCUUCGGCUCGGAAGAACUCCGGAGCAUCGGCCACACUACGUGGCAGAUCAGCAAAAGCCCCUAGAGAACUCCGAAUCCGGGUUAGUUAAAGAUACUUCCUCUUCACAUACUUGCUUUGCAUACUAAAUGCCUUACCCGCCGCGAUCUUCCUGGCGUCCUGGAUCUCCUGGAGGGCGCCCUAGGCCUCAUUCCGGGCCGUCUCCACGCUCUGACGAGCCUUGGCGAGUUCGGUCUCUUGAGCCGACGCAUCAUGCUCCAAGGUCUCGCACUUCCUCACCGCGUCCUGGAGCUCUUGCUCGACCUCGUUGACCCUGGCCUUGAGCUUCUUACGGGCGGCCUGCUCCUUGACAGCCUUCCCCUCAGCUUCGGUCAGGGCCUUUUUUAGGGCCUCGACCUCGGUCGUCGCUCGUAUACAUAUCAUGACACUUCAGUCAAUAAAUAUCAUUUUACUCUUUUCGAAUAUAUAACGGGUUAUUACAUACCUUGCUUCUCUUAGAGCUGCCUCCUCACCUGGUCGAGCUCCUCCUCGGCCUACUCCAGUCUUUGCUUCAGUCCGGAGACUUCGGCACUAUGCGAGGCCGCGGCCAGCAGCGACGCCUGCGUAUUCAUUUCAGACAUAUUUAGUAGUUUCCUGCAAUAAGGGGAUUAUCAUCUGUCCGUCUUUUCUUUCCGAACACCGGACAAUGUCUCAGGGGCUACUGUCUGUAUUGGGAUCUUCUCUUUUUUCGUCGCUUACCUCAAAACCUGUUAGCAGGCUGCUGCAGGCUUCGGUUAGUCCGCUCUUGGCGGACUGAACCCUUUCAAUUACCGUGCCCAUAAGAACACGGUGCUCAUCCAUAAUGGAAGCGCCUCACAGCGCUUCCAGCAGAUUAUCCGCUGCCCCUGGUUGGACAGGGGUCACCGGCGGAAUAGGCAUACCCCUUCUUUCGAAGGAGGUUGCAUGCCGGAUUCCGGAGCCGUAUCGGUCUCCGGAAUCAAGUUCGGCUGAGGGCCGAACUGAAUAUGGCCCUCAUCACCAGUAUCCAUGGGGAUUGGCUCCCCCUGGUGUCCGGCAACGGAGGCUUCACCUUCUGGCGCCUCCUGAACCUCUCCUCGGCCUGGGAAAGUCCUUCAAGACAGCACCUCGGCGUCGCCCUUGGCCUUGGGGGAGUGAGCGGUCGGCGAUGAAUCGCUGGCCAUCGCCUUUGAAUCCAACGAACCUCUUGACGAGGAUCGCUGGGAGCUGUCGUGGGCCGACUUCAAUAGCAUAAUUAACCAUGUCAAUACAAUGAAGAGGAGAGGCUCGAUUUAUGAGUAUGUAUGAGUCUUAGCACUUACGAUGUAGCCCGAGGCUUAGUGCGGGGGCGUCGCUCCGGACUGCUGUCGACAUCCCACGCGGAGUUAUCCGCAAGGGAGCCCUUCCCCUUCUUGGACGUCUCCGCCUCCAGAUUCGUGGAGGCCGCCCUCUUCUUCUUUUCCUCAUCAGGGGGAGGGUUGUUCUCCUCCUCCUUCUCGUCGUCGUCGUCCUCAGCAGCGGAGGCAAGGGUCACUUCGUCUUCGGACGUCACGUCCGAAGCACCCUUGCGACAGGGGCCACCUUUGGCCCCCUUGGCCUUCUUCUUGGCCUUCUUUUUCGGCGGCUGAUAGGGCGCCGGAACCAGCAUCUUCGCCAGGAGCGGGAUGACUGGCUCUUCGGGCAGCGGAGCCAAACUCUGGAUCCGCUCCGCUCUCUCCGUCCACACCUGAAAAAAUACAGCAAAGAUUAGGCAUCCUCCUUGAAUAGACAAGUAGAAGGUACGCCUUAAGAAAAGGAGAACUUACCGCAUUGGCGGAUGGGUGUGAUCGUGCCCACGGUCCGAAUCUAUGACCAGCGGCUUCUUGUUGCCCUUGAAGAGCAACUUCCAGGCAUCUUCAUGAGUAGUUCUGAAGAGCCCUCCUAGGGUCUGGUGCUUCUCCGGAUUGAAUUCCCAUAAAGGGAAGCUUUGGCUUUGGUAGGCGAGAAUCCGGCGAACCAGCAUCACCUGGAUCACGUCGACGAGCUUGAUGUUUUUAUCCACCAUACUCUGAAUGCGCAUUUGCAGCGCUAUCAGCUCGUCCGACGCAGACCAGUUGGGGCCCUUCUCCGUCGAGGAGGUGAGCCGCAUUGGAGAUCCGGCCUUAAAUUCGGGAGCCACUGCCCAAGUGGCGCCGCGUGGCUCUGUGAUGUAGAACCACUGCUUCUGCCACUCCUUGACAGUCUCCACAAAAGUGCCUCUGGGCCAAGUAACGUUGGGCAUCUUGCUCACCAUGGCGCCUCCGCACUCCGCCUGCUGACCAUCCACCACCUUCGGCUUCACGUUGAAGACCUUGAGCCAUAGGCUGAAGUGGGGCUGGAUGCGGAGGAAGGCCUCGCACAUGACAAUGAAUGCCGAGAUGUUGAGGAAGGAGUUCGGGGCUAGAUUAUGGAAAUCUAGCCCGUAAUACUACAUCAGUCCGCGGACGAAGGGGUGAACUGGAAACCCCAAUCCGCGGAUGAAGUGAGGGAGGAAAACUACCCUCGCUAUAGGCUUCGGGGUGGGGAUGACUUGCCCCUUGGUAGGCAGGCGAUGGACGAUUCCUUUCGCCAGAUACCCGGCCGCACGAAGCUGGGUGAUGUCCUUCUCCUUGACGGAGGAGACCAUCCACUUGCCUUGGCCUCCGGAUCCGGACAUGAUUGAGUGCUUCCUUGAGGAGGAGAAGAUGGGAACUUGAGCUGGAGCUCGAGAAUGGAAGGACAGAGAGGAAGAGAAGGCGUGGGUAAAGAAAGAGAAUCCUUAUCUCCUUAUAAAAGCAGUGAAUAUUGAACGCCUCCCCACUCACCUUAAAACUCACCUCUUUACAAGGGCUGUGUAAACAACACGUUGGGUUACCCACCCCCGUAUUGAUGAGAAUCCCGCAAUAAGGGGACACGAUCUCUGCUUCGACAAGACGUGCCAAUGGCAACCGCGUCUCGAAACAUGGAGGAACAGACGAAAAACGGUUCGAAAUUAUGACCGGGCGAACGUGAUGUCAUGUUGCAAAAAGUUGUCAACAGAUUGGACUCGUGGAGUGUUAUAUUCUUUGCGGUUCUGUGUGGUGUGCGUGUUACAGGUUCAUACACGAUCAGUGCGUCCGAAGACUAUCUUGGAGUUCGGAAGGAGGAACCCGCCUUGCAAUGCCGAAGACAAAUCUGCGUGCUGGAUACCUCAUCAUUGAAGCCAGGUUCAGGGGCUACUGGGGGAGUCCUGGACUAAGGGGUCCUCGGGUGUCCGGCCUGUUAGCCAUGGGCUGGACUGAUGGGCUAUGAAGAUACGAAGACCGAAGACCCUACCCGUGUCCGGAUGGGACUCUCCUUGGCGUGGAGGGCAAGCUUGGCGAUCAAAUAUGUAGAUUCCUUUCUUUGUAACUGACCUCGUGUAACCCUAGAUCCUCCCGAUGUCUAUAUAAACCGGGGGACUUAGUCCGGAGGGGGGAGAGACUCAUUACCAUAGUCAUAUAGGCUAGACUCUUAGGGUUUAGCCAUUACGAUCUCGUGGUAGAUCAACUCUUGUAAUACUCAUAUUCAUCAAGAUCAAUCAAGCAGGAAGUUGGGUAUUACCUCCAUAGUGAGGGCCCGAACCUGGGUAAACAUUGUGUCCCUUGUCUCCUGUUACCAUCGACCUUAGACGCACAGUUCAGGACCCCCUACCCGAGAUCCGCCGGUUUUGACACCGACAGUCACAUCGAGUGCUCGCUUAUGAUGAGCUUGAGAAAGAGCAGUUGCGCCAAGACGAUGCGACGCUCGUCGAGGAAGAUCGUCUUCGGGCUCCUGUGCGAGCCGCUCGCUAACAGCACCUUGCGCCGCUACCAUAGCCGGAAGGUUCAUGCCCGAAGCCUUGAGGAAGGCGACCUUGUUCUUCGGCGAAUCCAAUCCGCCAAGAAUUCCAACAAGUUGACGCCAAAGUGGGAAGGCCCUUAUCGGGUAAUACGAGUCACCAGGCCCGACAUAGUCCGCCUGGAGACUGAAGAUGGUAUCCUAGUGAGUAAUUCCUGGAACAUCGAGCAUCUUCGCAAGUUUUACCCAUAAGGCUCGGUUGCCGCCCCCCGGCAAACCACCUUUUUGUACAAGCCUUGUCGGCGAGGCAUGUAACCCUUUGUACAAAGCCAGGCGCAGACCCUGAGCAACAGAUGAAUAAAUGAAGCGCUGGCGCCCUAAGUUUUAGCAUGCAUGUUAGGUUGAGUCUCCCUCUGGUAGGGUUGAUAGUGCUUAGCGGCUACUAACCCCUAGCAUAGAGGUUGAGUUUGUGUCUUUGCGUCCCUUCCAGUCCUUCUUGAUUCACAGGCUACACGGGCGCUUCAGCGGAACUUUUUGGGGAAAGGAGACGAGUUGGCACCCCGGCCCCGACAAGCCAUUCUUGCCGGGGGCAACACAUUCAGAUAAGUCUUUUUCCCAGCCACGUACUUCCGUAUGAAGCUUGAACGUAUGAACCCUCGCUUGAUCCCAUGCCACCAUGCUCCCUCCUCCCUAAAUCCGAAUCCCUUUCGGGUUGGAACUUGAUUGUAGUUGCGGUGGAAGGGAGACAGACGAAGGGCCCAAUCCUACUUUUCCACUACCCUCGCCAAGGGCUUGAGUGUAGUCGUGGUAUAAGGUGGGAGGACGGCAAGGCCUGUUGCCGGGCGACGUUGUUUACUUAAAGAAAAACAAGGAUUCGUUCCUUGGUGUGGGCCUCGCUCGCGCACAAAAAACCUGGCAAACCCCCUUUUCAUUGAUACGUUGAUUAAACAAGUACAGUUCAUACGGAAUGUGAACAUGAGCAAGGGGUUGCAAAGUCUAAAUUCGACAAGUGCGCGUAGGCUUAAUAUCUAGAAAAAGAUAAGAUGCAGGUAAUCCGUUUCUUGUCCCUCUUCUCAGGAGGCGGAUUAAGAUAGCGGCAGGGCAAAAGGAGUGGCUAGGCGAGAUACGAGCAGCAGAUGGCACCAAGUGAACGUCCCGGCAGCCGGCCAGAAGAGGGCUGGUGAUGACGGUGCCGGGGAAGAAGCCGAAAGAUGAGGCAGCGGGCCGACAAUACGAGACGAGGGCGUCGAUGCCAUCGUACUCCCACUUGACGGCCCGCCACCCGCCUUCUUCGUCUUAUCCAGCCUUCUAGCGCCAGCCGCCAGAGGCAACGACCCCGAGAAGUUCAAGGAGCUGGCUCGAGGAGCCGCGCCAAGAACUACCCCCCGGCAAAUCACUCUGUCGGGGAGAAGGCCAGGUGCAGAUGGUGCUGCUGUCGGCGUCGCCUAUGGACGGGGCGUCCGACGUCUAGUCGGACCCGUCCCCGUCGUCCUCCCCACCACCCCCCUCCUCGUCACCGUCGCACGAGGAGGAGCUCUCGUCAUCGGUCAAGCUCUCCGCGGAACACCCUAACCUGAUUCCCGAGCGCCCGAAGACCUUGACGGAGAGCAGGUCGCUCUUCACUAAUUUGAAGUGGGGAACGUGCCCCUUCAUCAAGCAGUGGGUGCGUGCGAAGGUUUUCCAACGCCGACGAAGGAGCAUUACAUGAGGGACGGGGAACCUUGUGUUCACCCACAUGUCGCCGUUACAACAACCCUUCAUGUGGAGCCUCAACCUCGGCGGUUGGUCGAUCUCCAGCACCCUCGCAAACGCCUCGGGAAGACGAAGGCGGCUAUGCGGCGGCUCGCGCAACUACAAGAUGAACUCCAACGCUGUGUCUCCAACAUGGCCGCUCGACGAAGCAUGAGGAGAUGGUGGCGGAGACGGCGGCGUUGCGGGUGUCCCCCUUCUGCCCCCACCUCUGCCUCGACCACUUCGCCGAUCGCGACUCCGUCCGGCGCCUCCGCCUUGAGCGUCUGACUCUUCCUUAACCGCCGUGGCCCUCUGGCGGGAGGAAGACCUAGUCGGCUCCACAGAAGGACGGCCGCGGCCGUGCCCUCUCGGCAUGGCAGUCGAUGGAGAAUGGAGAAGAAGGGUAGAAACGAGAGGAUGCCUCUCCUCCUUCUCCUGGUCCCCUUCUUAUAGCCAAGCAAAGAAGGCUGAAGACUGGCUCUACAUCUCCGAAGAGCCCUUUCAAGUCCGGCUUAUUAAAGCCAUUUGAUAACAAGCAAGGGCAUCGACCGCCCUCCCAACGCCAAUCAAAGGCGCAUGGGUAUCGGCCAUGGAGCGCCUUCCCAUACCCUACACAUCCUCCACCUACCCCAUGCCAUGCAUGCAGCAUACGUGACGAAAAAGGCGGGCGUGGUGGGAAACAUGGAACAGCGGUUCCAAGAUUAGCAAAGGCACAGAGGGUAAAUGAGCAGCACCCCUGCUUUUCCCUCUUUUUUAUGGGGAAGAUGUGGGCCGCCUCUUUACUAUUCGCCGCAGGGUGACGCAAGCACGCUGCAAGAGUCCCAUGCAUGAUCCCCACGUUACGCACUCAAUGCGGGUCGUGGGGAAGCGCAAGGAGUUACCACAGUUAAAACCCUGCCACGCGUGCCCGCGCACCGUUCUGGGCCUAGCCCAACAACGCUUUACGCUUAUGUGUGGCCCAGGCCCGAAGGCUCCUGUCGGUGUACAAAAGUAGGGGCCUUUCUGUACCCCUUUACUUGUGCGCGGGCAGUUGUAGCCACACCUGCGGCCACGCUUGGCGGGGCAGAGGAAGCGAAGAUACAGGACUGCCAGGGCAGUGCUCAACCCAGAGGCGCAAAGAGCAAAGGGACAAGAUGGAUUUCCCUCGGCGAGAGCCUUGUCGGGGCGACCUACAUAGCCCCGACAAGAGCCUUGCCGAGGCAACUUGCCCAACACCAGCAAGGCCGCCACCCUUGAGCCUGAGAGUUCCGACACCAUCGACAACGUCGAGACCAAGACUCAGGGGCGCCUGUGUGGUGGCAUGCAGAUCUUUGUGAGGAACAAAGGCCUGCGAAUCUGGAGAGAAACUAGAAGGCGAAGACCCCCGGCAAGAGCCUUGCCAGGGACAGGCGGAGACCCCCGGCAAGAGUCUUGUCGAGGACAGAUGAAGAACCCCGGCAAGAUCCUUGCCGGGGACGCCCGCGAGACCCCGGCAAGAUCCUUGCCCGGGGCUUUUGCGGGGCCGAGGCCAGGCCCGCACUUACCAACGUUUUGCUGCCCCGCGCCCGUGCCGACGCGGCAAUCAGCCCGCCAACCAGGCAGGCGCCUGCAUGGCAGCAAGCAACCUCUAGGCCAACUAGACAAGCACCUGCGUGGUGGCAUGCAGAUCUUUGUGAAGACCCUGCCACCGCAGCAACGUAGCUGCCAGCCAGCCAGCGUGGCGCUGCAUGCCUCGUCAGCUUGGACGCGCGUCGAAGCAAGGGGAGGCGGCGAUGGACGGGACAAGCUUCUUUGUCGUCCCCAAUAAAGCAAUAGGACACGUAGGCGGCGCAUUAAAUGCGUUUGUCGCACGAUGUUAGGGAUAGACUUGUACACUGUAGACACUUCCCACCUCCUGUGUGCCACUGUGGCAACCCCUUUGACAUAUAAAAGGAGGCCCGAGGCGUACCGAGGAAGGAUUUCGGACUUUUUGAACUGGGCAUGCACCGCAGCUAGUUCAAUAGCUCAAGAACACCAAAUAUAUACACCAGAGCAGGACUAGGGUAUUACGCAUCGCAUGCGGCCCGAACCUGGGUAAAAAAUCCCCUCACGCUGAUCUUUCAGUCCCGCUCUUUGCACAGCUCUGCGCCCAGCCAACCGUAGUAGGGAUUCCCCGUGAUCCCAUAGGUGUUGUUUCCCCCGAUAGGGAGCCGUGGAGGACUCCCCUCCACCGACGUAGCGGAUUAGGUUGAGUAACCAUAGGGGCUCUGGUAUCUUAUAUAAGCCGAGGUUGAGCUAGUCGAUAGAGCACAUUAGAAUCUCUCGGUUCAGUGAGAUCUGCUCACUGAAACAUGGUAUUGGUAUAUUGGAAAUGCAACGCAUCAUUAUGGUAGAAAGAAAAGAUUUUUACACCAGGUUAUGUUUUAGUUGUUUCGCAAAACAAAAGAAGUUUUAGUAGAAUUGGAAGCAACUUUCAGUAACAUAGGAACCAAUUCUUGCUUGAAAAGGAAGCAAAUUGCAAGGCAGGAAAGAUAACAGCAUCUCUAGCAGAUUCCCUAAAACUCAUACUCCCUCUGUUCCUUUAUACAAGGUGUUUGGGUGUAGGGCUGCUAGCUACUGCCGCAUGUCGAGUGCGUACCUUCUGCUGCAGCUGCCUUCUGCUGUUGUUGGAACUUGUCCGGGUGAGGGAGACUGGCGCGCCAUCUGGCUGUCGGACAAUGACAGGUGGUCGGUUAGGCAUGUAGCUUGGCGGCCGGCGGCGAGUAAAAUUUCACCUGGGGAAAGGUGAAUCAUAGACUGAAGAGCUUUACAUUGGGUCACCUAAGAGUAAGAGUGCUUGCUGGGAUUUUAUUUUUUUGGGGCCAAUCUCUAUUCUCCUAUGGUAUAACGGUCAAACCAAAAUAUCAAGGGCGGGCCACGGCACAUCGGGCUUUUCUCGAAAUCACUAAUUAAGGAGCACUCUUUGCAACGGUCACUCCCACCUUCCCAGGUUGCGACAAGUGGUGUCACAACCUGGGAUUUUUUUUCUGUAGAUCCGUUUAUUCAAAAUGUUUUACCUCAUAAAUCGUGCGCCUAAAUCUUGAACCGUUUUCACCAUUGGAUUCCUUGCGUCGAGAUCUUCAAAACUACACCCUAUGUUGAUAGGUUGUAACGAACUUUUUUUCACGAAAAAAACAGGCGAAAAGACCAAAUCGGGAGCACUUUUUUUUACCUUUCUGAAGGCGGCACGACUGUGCCUCUCGCGGAAGCAAAUCCGUGCCUCCAUGAGAAAUAAACUCGUGCGUCUAGUGGAAGGAAAAAAAUUCCGAGAAGCUUGGCCAUGCGUCCCGCGGAAGGAAAAAAUGACAGAAAUCGCGUUUUUUCGUCUCCAGAGACACGGCCGUGCCUCUCGCGGAAGGAGAAAAAACCGCAUUUUUAUUCGUUUCCAAAAGGCACUCGCGAAAGCAAAACCGUGCCUCUCACGGAUGGAAAAAAAUCUGUUUCCGAGACUACCGUGAAAGCAAGACCGUGCCUCUCGUGAAAGGAAAAACACAUUUUUUCCGUUCCUCUAGCGGAAGCAAAACAAAUGAAAAUGAGUUUUUUCGUGUAAAUGUUUUGUCCAAAAGCUAAAAAACCAGGUGGAAAACCGAAAACCCAGAAAACAUCAUCUAAAAACCAAAAACAUGUGCGAAAAAAAAACAAAAAUCCGAAGGACACACACCCAUUGCGUGACACGUGACGGCGAGUGAACUCUCAGGCCACCCCAAGUGAUCCUUGGGAAGGCUCCCGAAGGAGUGCUCCGUCGUGAGUUGCUCACCUUUUUCCUCAAUUUCAGUAUAGGGGAUCUUGCAAAAAUGUAGGAUCAGCUUGACUUCCCAAAAUCUGGGAUUUGUUUUCACAAACCAUGCGAGCAGUUAUUAGGAAUUGUUUGGCUUCCUAAGAUCUCCCGUCAUGGCGUCCAUGCUCUCGGGGGGCCCCGCGACUUGGCCCGCGCCGCCCACCAAGUUGUGUUGGCUGCUCGCCGGGCAGCGCUGGUGAUCGUGGCUCGCCUAGCCCCCUCAGAUCUGCCGAGCGCGACAUGUGAUGGUGAUGUACGUUCAGUGGGAGGAGACGUUUCCCUCGACUAUGAAAUCGAUUUCGUCGAUCUCAAGAUGAAGUGCCGGCUCAGUACCAAGAAAGUGCUCAUAGGAGUUGGUUGUGCAUGUGUGCGUUUAUAGGGGUGAGUGUAUGUGCGUGUAUGCAUGAACGUCUGCAUAGUGUGUUAAGGAUCUAUUUUGCUUCCUAAAAUCUAUGGUGGAAACUAGUGUGUUAAGGAUCUAUUUUGCUUCCUAAAAUCUAGGGUUUGUUUCCACAAACCAUGCGAGCCGUUAUUAGGAAUUGUGUAACGCUUGCAUAUUAAUAUACUUCCUCUGUUCCUAAAUAUAUGUCUUUGUAGAGAUUACACUAUGAACCACAUACGGAUGUAUAUAGAUGCAUGUUAAGUGUAUAUUUAUUCAUUUUGCUUCGUACGUAGUCCAGCUAGUUGAAUCUUUACAAAGACUACUUAUGUUUAGAAACGGAUCUUGCUUUAUUAGUAGGUAGGUAUAGGUAUAGAUAUAGAUUGUGUAACCAUUUAUUGCAAAAUAACCUAAAAACUUAAGACCCGUCUCUUUCCUAAAAAAACAAAAAACUUUAAGACCCGUCUCUCGUCGCCGCCAUCCACAUCUAUCAGAUCCACACUGUCGAUCGUCUCCCGACAUGGCGUCUAUCCUCUCGCGGGCCUCCCGUGACUUGGCUCGCGCCGCCCGCCAAGUCUCGUCGGCUGCUCGCCGGGCAGCGCCGGUGACCAUAGCUCGCCCAGCCCCCUCAGAUCUGCCGAGCCGCCGCCUGUCCGUCCACAGCGGCGCCACCGACGCCAACAUCCCCGGCUACACCAACCCACCCCCCGACGAGCCAGUGGAAUUCGUGGCUUCAGACAACGACCUGGAAUCUGACGAGGCCCUGUGGGCGCUCUACGAGCGCUGGUGCGAGGCUUACAACGAGGAGCGCGACCACGACGAGAUGGUUCGCCGGUUCGACACAUUCAAGGAGGCUGCUUUCAUGGUGGACCGCGUGAACAAGGCCAAUCUGCCCUACACCCUGAAACUAAGCCAGUUCGCCGACGGGAAGCUGGCAGAGUCCGUGUGCAAUAAGUGGUGUGGUGAUAAACCUCGCCCUGAUCCCGCAGCUUAUCAUCGGGAGGGUGAGUUUUACAUCUAUGAUGAUGGCGGAGAUGAUGUGCCGAAAUAUCCCACGAUGAGGUUCCUCUUCUGUGAACGUGGAGGUCCCAUCAUCCCCUUGGAAUGAAUUGAUCAUCCCAUUAGCAGCAACCCUGAAUAAAGUUCUGCGUGUAUGGUGUUAUACAUGCUUAUUUUUACAAUGAUGGGCGUUUGCACACGCUGCUACCGUAGCGAUUGUAAGGCUUCGUAAACCUUGCUGUUGUAAUCUCGCUGGUUCUUCAUGAUUAGGUUUGAUAACCACCAACUAUCCCCUCUAUCCUAAUUUACCGUGUAUUAAAAUAUUUGGUUUAUUCAUUAAAAAUCAGGUGGAAAUACUUUUGCAGGGGAGGGAUUAUUCUCCGACUCAUGCUUGUGGAUUUUCAUCAAAAUGACUUUCAUGCCAUUCAGUUUAUUUUUGAAGUUAUUUAUUAGUUUAUUUUUUUAAAUCAUUAUUUGUGGAGAUGUCGAAGUAAUGGUUAAAGAAGGAAAUUAUACUGUUUUAGGGACUGCACCGAUGUCAAGUACGUUAAUCAGCAUAUUUAAAUCCCAAUGAGUCAUCGACUAUAUAAAAUUCAUAUGCAAUGAUUAACAAAGAAAUCUCGGCCUUGGAUAUUUUAAUAGUUAAAUAAUCAUUUGCAGAGAUAUUGAAGUAGCGGUUGAAGAAGAAAGUUAUAUUUUAUAGAUAAUGAUGAUAUCGGAUGGUCGGAUUCCUUUUGGUGAAAUCUGGCUAUCCGGGAUGAAGGUUUACACUUAACAUGGCAGUGACGGAGCUACAAAUACAUUGUUGGGCGGGAGAAGCCAAAGAACACGAAAGUUUGGAAUCAAAAGAUCAAGUUAGCAGUUGUAAACAAAAGAAGCCACACCAAAAUAUAGCUUCACAUUUAGAUAUUUUAGUUAUCGAUUACAGAAGUAUGGAGAAUUGAGUGAAAUUUUGAUGCAGGGAAAAUUGUGAAUGAACCAAACCAAAUUGGAUACAUGCCUACAAUCAAUCAAUUUGGAUAAAAAUCAAGCUCUAGGUGAAAUUUAAGGCAAGGACAUUGUCAAUGUGUCGAAGAAAAUGAGUUGUGCAGCUGGCAUUCACAGAAAUUGGAGUGUGCCGGAGAUGAGAGGAUCAAAUUCAAAGAAGAAAGUUAUGCGCCUAUGCCUCACUUGUAGCAAGACCGAAGAAGCUCUCACUAAAGGAAUGCCCUCCCAGACGCAAGUAAUGUGCCCGCCCAACUUUCAGUUUAGUUCCUUUUCUUUACGUUUCUACAUUGUUUCGUUUUGUUUUGUUUUCAAAUAUAUUUUUAAUACAUGCAUUAAAAAUAUAAAUUUACUAUAAAAAUAAAACCAAAAUUUGAUUUUUUUUUUAAAAACAGUGUAAAGUUUUUGCCAGCAUAACUUAAAAUAUGUUGGUAGUUUUCAAACAAAUGCUUGUGACAUUCUAAAAAUGUUCCCGUAUUACAAAAACAUGUACAUGAAAUUUUAUAAAAAUAAAUAUACAAAGUAAAAAUAAUCCAUACAAAAUGCUAAACAUGUAUAAAAAAAAUGUUUUCGAUGACUAAGAAAAAUGUAUGAUGUGUACCAAAAAAGGUAGACGUCAAGCCAUAUAUUUAGGAAAAUGUUAAUCAUGUUUAUUAAAAAUGUUAAACAUGUAUAAAAAAUGUUGUAGAUGUAUACAAAAAAAUAUACAAUGUGUAUGAAAACAUUAGGCAUCAAAACAUAUAUUAAAAAACAGUUAAUCAUGUAUUUGAAUAAUGCUAAACAUUAUUGAAAAUUGUUUUAGAUGUAUACAAUAUGUAUGUAUGAAAACAAUAAACAUCAGACAUAUAUUUGAAAAAUAAUAAUUAAUCAUGUAUAUGAAAAGUGUUAAACCUGUAUAAAAAAUUGUUUUAGAUGUAUACCAAAAGUAAAUUCCGUAAGAAAACAAUAGCCAUCUAAACAUAUAUUUAAAAAUGUAAUCACGUAUUUAAAAAUUGUUUAACAUGUGUUAUAAAAUAUUUGAAGUGUAUACGAAAGAUGUACAAUGUGUAUGAAAAUAAUAGGCAUCAAAACAUAUAUUUGAAAAAAGUUACUAAAGUAUAUGAAAAUGAUAAACCUAUAUAAAACUAUUUUUGAAUUAUACCAAAAAUAUACAAUGUGUAUGAAACUAAUAGAUAUCUAAACAUAUAUUUGAAAAAUUAUCUUGACACAUACGAGAAAUGUACAAUAUGAAAGAAAAUAUGUAGACAUGUGUUAAAAAAGGAACAAAGAAACCCGAAGAGAAAAAAGAAAACAAGAAAAGCAGAGAAAAACAAGUGUAGAAGAGAAAAAGGAAAUAACGAAAACAAGAAAAUCAAAGGAAAACUUGAAAGAAACAAAAAAGAAGAGAAAAGAAAUAAAAGUAAAAUGUCAGUGAAAACCAAGAAAGCAACGAAUAAAACCAGUGAGAAAACAAAGAAAAUGGGAAAAUUGGUGAAGAAACAAAGAAAACAAAAGAAAAAAAAAACUAGCAGACGUCGAGCGAACGAACAUGCAAAAAUAGCCCGGCCUAAAUACUGUGGCACAGAGGAAAAAUCUGUAGGCGAGAGUAUCAUACGACUCGCUGUAUGCGCGAGAUAGUCGCCACACAUAGAUGAGUCCUAGCGUAGCGGUGCUAGUCGGUACAUCUCUAUAGGAACACCUCUUCAUUGGACCGGCCUGCGAACUACACUCACCUACCAAUUGCGCCUGUCGCUUAUCUGUAGUCCUGUCGCACUGCACUGCGAUCUUGUUCCUUUUUCAAAAUCUUGUCCCCUUCGUUUACUACAGUCAUCUUACAAAUUCAAAAUGCUUAACUUACAUGGUUUUUUUUGCAAAUCUGAAAAAUGUUUCACUAAAUAUUAAAACAAAUGUUCACCUUUUAAAAUUGUUCACGCAAUUUAAAGAAAAUGUUCAUCUCAUUCUAAAAAUGGCGACAACAUUUAAAAAAAUGUUCACAUUUUUAAAAACUUAGCUAUAGGAGGUGAAGGCAAGGGGGGCUGGUGCGUGGGGAGGGAGACUCCUGGAGCUAGGGAGCACGCCGACGCCAUUGCUCACGGUGCAAGUUCGUUUCAAUCUUCGAUCCUGCUCGCUCUUGAUUCUGGGUACAGUAAAUUUUAGCUAGCUACGCUGCAAACUAAGUGGUGUGCCUCGUAUUAAUCUAUCUAUCUAUCCUAUCUUUUAUUCGGCGAGAUGGUUGCGCCUGUGGCGGAUGUGGCCGCCGCCAUCGCCGGCACCUAACCUGGUCUAGAUCCCUCCACUAUAGGAAUCAGCUACUUGACCGUCUGCCACGGCAGACGGCAAAGGCAAGGAUGGCGGACGGCAAAGGCCUUCGCCGUCUGCCGCGGACGGCAAAAGGCUCCGGCAAAGUAGGCUACGGUAAAGAGCUUCUUUGCCGUCUGCUUUCUGAAGGAGAUGGCAAAGGGGCCUUUGCCAUCGGCGGCGGACGGCAAAGAAAGCCGACGGCAAUAAAUUCGCUGUUAGUCCGUUAGGCGUCUAACGGCAGUCUUUGCCGUCCGCCGCUGACGUCAAAGAGCAUCAAGCCUUUGCCGUCUGCCACUGUAGGCAAACUGACCAAAUGGGCCAGCAGCCAGGAAGCAUAGGUGGUUGCCGUCGGUGGCAGACGGCAAAGAGCCCGUUGCCGUCGGUGGCAGACGGCAAAGAGCCUGCAUUGCCUCUUUUUUCUUUUUUUUCUUAUACCCAUCCAUUUUCACAGCAAAUAGAUGAUACAUAUAUAUUUUUCACAUGGCAAGUUCACAGCAAACAUAUGAGAUAUCCAACACAUAUAAUUUCAUCAUACAUGCAUCGUUCCAUCAACCAUACAUAGCAAGUUCCACAUACAUGCAUCCAACCAUACAUAUUACGAUAGUGUCAUCCUACCAUACAUGCAUAGUUCAUCGAUACAAAAGAAACAUAGUUCAUCCAAACAAGCACUCCAGUUAUAAAAGCAUAAAUGGAAAAGAAGCACUCCAUCCAUGCAAGCUUCCGUGAAUUAAAUCAAAUAUGCAAAAUGAUAAACAAGAUGUUAGAAAAAGAAGAAGAAAAUGAAGAAGAAGAAGAAGAAGACUAUAAGAAGUAAGCAUACUUAUGUAAAAUGGAGCUAACCUAGUGGAAAAUGAAGAAGAAGAAGAAGAAGAAGAAGACUAGAAGAAUACUAGAAGAAGACUAGAAGAAUACUAGAAGAAGAAGAAGAAGACUAUAAUUAAGCUUAUUAUGUAAACUUGGUCAUUUUGUGCUAACAUAAGUAAUUUUGGAGUUAACCUAUAGGAAACUAAGCAUAUUAGAGAUAACUUAGCAUAUUAGAGCCAACUUAGGUAAAAUGGAGCCAACCUAGCUAAUUAUGCCAUCUUUGAGUGAACUAAGCAUAUUAGAGCUAACUUAUAGCUAACUUAUGUCAUUUUGGAGAAGAAGAAGAAGAAGACUAUAAUUAAGCUUAUUAUGUAAACUUGGUCAUUUUGUGCUAACAUAAGUAAUUUUGGAGCUAACCUAUAGGAAACUAAGCAUAGUAGAGAUAACUUAGCAUAUUAGAGCCAACUUAGGUAAAAUGGAGCCAACCUAGCUAAUUAUGCCAUCUUUGAGUGAACUAAGCAUAUUAGAGCUAACUUAUAACUAACUUAUGUCAUUUUGGAGAAGAAGAAGAAGAAGAAUAUAUGACAUUUAUGAGCUAAUUUAGGUGAAAUUGAUAGUUUGUGAGCUAACCUAGGUGAAAUGGAUCGUUUAUGAGCUAAUCUAGGUAAAAUGGGUCAUUUUAGAGUUAACUUGAGUAAAAUGCAUCAUUUUGGAGCUAACCUAGGUAAGAUGGGUCAUUUUGGAGCUAACCUAGGUAAAAUGGGUCAUUUUUAGAGCUAACAUACGUAAAAUGGAUCAUUUUGGAGCUAGUCUAGGUAAAAUGGGUCAUUUUAGAGCUAACUCGGGUAAAAUUGAUCAUUUAUGAGCUAACUAAGGUAAAAUGGGUCAUUUUAGAGCUGACUUGGGUAAAAUGGAUUGUUUAUGAGCUAACUAAGCUAAUUAUGCCAAGUCUAGGUCAUUGUGGUAAGCAUAUUGGAGGAAAUAAGGCUAAGUCUAGGUCUUUAUGCAUUUGUUAAGCAAAACACUAGAUAAACUUACCAUGAUCAUGGAGGUGUAGGGGCGGGAUGGCUCGUGCCGGUAGCUGGAAAAGGAUCGUGCGAUGCUUGUCUGGAGUUACGCUGCACCAAAGAUCAUUUCCAAUGUCUCGUUAGCAUGAUGACACUCAAAUGUUAAGACUAGCAAGUAAUGUCCAUUCAAAUUAAACCCACCAUGGUCCCAGGAGCAAUCACUGGCAUCGGCGGAGCGGUCUGACCGGUCUUCUCGCACACAGACUGCACAUUUGGUUUUGACGACUCAGUCAUACUAGUUAGUAAUGAGACAAACACUACAUGAAUGUUUUGGCUAAUCUGCAGAAGAAACUUACCACAAGGAGCUCGUACAUGGCCCUUGCCUGCAUGUCAUUCCGUGCCCUCUCCUCCUCCAACAUCUUUGUCGUCCUCUCCUCCAACUCCCGCUGCCUCUCCGCCGCCUCCGCCAGAAGAUUCUUCGUUCUAUCUCUCUCACUCUGUAUAGCAGCCUGCAACGCGACUCCUCAUUACCAUUUGUAAUCAUUGAUGGAAGCACACACAAUGUAAUGGAGAAAGAUAGCUGAGUACGUGUAACUAACCUUGAUGGCGAGUUGGACUGGCCGUUCACGAGGCCUUAUCUUAGGAGCGGAGCUCGACUGGCGCGCCUUGAUCUCCUGGAGAGUGCUAGGACAACGGAUAAGUCCAUCUUCAAUGGCUAUGGAGCCAUGGGACCUCCCGCCACCAGAUAUCAUCACCAGCUCUGGAUCAAUGGGACCCUGGCUCGGGUUAAAGUCCUCCCCUUUCCUCGCCUUCCCCUCAUCUGUAUAUUUCACGAGCUUGUCGUGGGAGGAGAUGUUGGUGAAGUUUUUUGCAUCAUCGAGGUCACACGGAGAGAAUGCCUUGACUUUCUUGAAAGAGGCAGUGUGGGCCAUGGCAUACAGGUCGUACACCUCUGGCACCUUAUCCGCCUUAUUGUAGCGUGCCUGAAAGAGAGAAACAAAGUAAAUUAGUAAUUAAAGGGCUCAAGCUAGCAUGAUGAAUGAAUUGCAUGAAUCAUGAAGCAAACCACAUACCCAGUUCUGCCCGAACUGAUAUAAGUUGGCGCUGCCUUGAUGGUGUGGCACACCUUCCAUUUGGGCACGUUUGUCCUUGGCCGCGUUGUGGACGGCUAGCCAUUCUUUUGAGCACCACUCAUUGACCAACACCUCCCAACAAUCCAUCCGAUCCGCACACCAUCUCGGAGGCGCCUAAGUUAGCAAAUAGAAACUUGAGCGCUACGGCUAUGAAUUACUAAAUGAAGGAAGUAAGUACAAGGCCUUAAGAAUUACCUUCAUGUACUGCUCCUUACUUAGGAACUUAUCGCGGCACGCCGGCUUGGGCUUCUUGAUAUAUACCACGCAAGGCGUAGUAGUCUCGAACAGCCUGCACCCGAGCCUCGUGCCGUAAGUUCUGUAGUAGGCGCUUGCAGACGUUCUCGAUAACAUUUGCCGCCUCCUCCUCGUAUCCCUCCUCACACCUGUAGAAUGUCUGCAAUCAAAUGAGACAAUAUUAAUUAGUACAAUUAAUAACUAGCUAGUUGAAGAUUUUUAAAUGUGUAAAGGAGAAAUUACCCAGAACUUUCUGAUCACCACGUCUGCCCUCGUGUCGCACAAGACACCGUCGAUAAUCUCACCCGGCGGGGCCGGGGCAGCCAAGUAGUGCUCCCAGCUCAAUCCAAGCUCUGGAAGCCGACCCUCACCAGGCAACGUGACAAACCCCGGGACGUUUUGCCGGCAAAGCACUCCAAGGACAGAGUUGGGCCGGCGGACACUAUGAUGGUGGUCCCAACCCCUACAGCAUGACAAGACCAACGCAUUAGAUAUUUGAAGAAACGUCAAUGCAGAAGGUACAAAAAGAUUAAAUGCACUUACCUCUCCCCAUCAGGGUAAAUCAACCACCUCUGCUCGCGGGUCGUCGGCACGGACGGGAGCCGUGUACAACCACGCUGGUAGACGGUGCCCCCUCCUCCUCAAUAUCAGUCGGCUCCCCGCCAUCAUCAGCAUGGCCACUCGGCCCCUCAGGCUCAUCCGGCCAGGUACCCCAUCCAGACGUGUGCUCCUCCGGGGUCUCGUGGGCCGAAGGCCCGUCGACCCGAGGCUCGUGGGCCGAAGGCUCGUGGACUGGAGUCCAUGUAGCCUCCUCCUCGGACGAGUCCACCCUAGCAGUCACGUGCUCGGGUGAAACAGCUGGGGGUGGCGGCGAGGAAGGCGCCCUAGCAGUCACCCUACCUCCUCUCCCGCGACCACGUGCUCCUCUCUUCUUCCCUCCCUUACCUCUUCCCCUGCUGGGCACUGCUCUCGACGAAGAAGGGCCCGGCGGUGUCGCCAUACUGUCCAGCAACGCUCGGCGGAGAGGUGCAUGUGGAAUGGAAGACCUCCCACCACGCGCCGACGAAGAAAGGGCCUCGGAGCGCUCCCGACCAGCGCCCAACAUCUUUCAACACCUGCCAUGACAAAGAGUAAACGAAAUUAGUACAACAUAAAAAAAAUACCGACAUUAAUAAUAAUAUAUGAUGUUUUUCAUAAAAAAAUCAAAAAAAUAUAUAUGAUGUUUAAAUCUACCCGAUCAACACAAUUAUAUAUGAUGUUUCUCAUAACAAAAUCGAAAAAUAUAUGAUGUCAGGGUGUCGGGGGUCGGGGUCGGGGUGUCNNNNNNNNNNNNNNNNNNNNNNNNNNNNNNNNNNNNNNNNNNNNNNNNNNNNNNNNNNNNNNNNNNNNNNNNNNNNNNNNNNNNNNNNNNNNNNNNNNNNNNNNNNNNNNNNNNNNNNNNNNNNNNNNNNNNNNNNNNNNNNNNNNNNNNNNNNNNNNNNNNNNNNNNNNNNNNNNNNNNNNNNNNNNNNNNNNNNNNNNNNNNAGGGGGUCACGGGGUAGGGGUGUUUCCUUCUCUCCUUCUUCUUCUUUCCUUCUCUUCUUCUUCUUCUUCUUCUUCUUCUUCUUCUUCUUCUUCUUUCCUUUCUUCUUUUUCUUUUUUCCUUCUCUUCUUCUUCUUCUUCUUCUUUUAUUUCUUCCUUAUUUUCCUUUUUCCUCUUCUUCUCAUCUCUCCUCUUUUUCUUCUUCUUCUUCUCCUCCUCCUCCUCCUCCUCCUCCUCUUCUUCUUCUUCUUCUUCUUCCCCCUUCUACAUAUUCUUCUUUUCUUAUUCAUCUUUUUUCAUCUUUUUCUACUUCUUAUAAUUAUAUAACUAAUUAACUAAAACCCAUGCACUAGUCUAAUCUAAUAUAAUCUAGCACUAAAUCGAACACUAACACAUAUCUAGUAUAAUCUAACAAUUAAACAGCAAAAAAGAAAAAACAGAAAAAAACUCACCGGAGAUGGCGUUGGCUGGGGCUUCGCAGCGGCAGGGUGGCGGUGGUGACGGGGGCCCCAGGGCUUCGGGGCGGUGGCGCCGGGGCGCUGGGAGGUGGUGGGGGCGGCGGGGCACCGCGGCGGUGGGCUGUUCGGGCGGUGGGGCGGCACGGCGCCGCAACUGUGGGCCNNNNNNNNNNAAAAAACUCACUGGAGAUGGCGUUGGCCGGGGCUUCGCAGCGGCAGGGUGGCGGUGGCGACGGGGGCCGCAGGGCUUCGGGGCGGUGGCGCCGGGGCGCUGGGCAGGUGGUGGGGGCUGCGGGGCGCCGCGGCUGUGGGUUGUUCGGGCGGCGGGUGUUGGGGGCGGCGGCGGGUGGCGGUGGUUGUCGGGGAGGAGACAGAAACAGAGAGAUGGAGGGGCGGGGUGGGGCUCGGCCGUUAGUUAGGUUAGCUCUUUGUCGUCCGCCCCACCUUUGCCGUCCGCUUUUUUUCUCUUUGCCGUCUGCUGGUAGACGGCAAAGAAGGGGCUCGUUAAGUUUUUUAUGAUCAGCUCGUUAGCGGGGGCCACCACUCUCUUUGACGUCCGCUAGCGGACGGCAAAGAAUUGGCUGAUGGCAAAGACCUUCUUUGCCAUCAGCCCAUUCGUUGCCGUCCGUUUUCCUGAAGCGGACGGCAAAGACCUUCUUUGCCGUUAGCCAGCAGACGGCAAAGAACUGGCAGACAGCAAAUAAGCUAAUUCCAGCAGUGCUCUUUUGUAUUUGAGAAAAAAAGAUUUCCCUCUUCUCUUGUGAUGAGACUGGGUGGAGAUGGUGAGAGAUGAGGUCGAUGACUUUGGGGAGAGGAUAAGGGCGGACGCCGGCGGUGAGGCGGCGUGAGGAAGACGAGGUGGUUGGCGUCGGCGAGACGUGAGGGGAGGGGAAGGGAGGGGUAUCAGUGUGCGGUGGGAGAGGGUGUGCGGCGUUCCCAGUUCGCGAGAGAGGAGAGAGGUCGGCAAGGGAGCGAUCCAUGGGAGAUUUUUUCCUUCCGAGCGAGCCUAGUUGGGCUAUCUGCGCCGUCCAAGGCCCAAUGCACCACAUGUCUUCAAAUUGGCGACCAGUAGCAGCCCUUAGAACAGACAGGGCCAGUUUGCAAAUUUAAAAAUAUAAGUUCUUAGCACGCAUGGAAAACAUAACAUGUAUCUUUCCAUACAUAAUGAACUAUAGGUACCAGCCAAAAAAACAUAAUGAACUAUAGGUUGUCACAAGAACUCAUGCCAUCCCACAGCCUCCCUCAGACCCUGCCAACAUUGCUGCAGCUGCACUCACAAGCGUUACCGUAGAUGAUCAUUUGCAUGAUUUCACGCAAAACAAAAUAAGAUCUACAAAUGAAUAGAAGCUACACAUACCUUGGUAUGCACACACAUUGCAAGCCAUACUAAGCUGAUAAGUGUUAAUAACUUGUACAACAUAUACAACACUUAAGACAAGUAAAAGCAAUUUGAUUAUUCAUGGUCUAUCAAAGCAAGCUACAUAACUACUCUAAUCUAUCUUAACAGGUCACACAUGAUGACAAUCUUUUUUGUGUGCAAGUCAAGCUUAUCUAGUUUACACGUAACAACUUGUAGAACAUUACAAAAUUGAUGUUUGUUAAUAACUUGAACACUACAACACUUGGCAUGUAAAAGGAAUUUGAUGAGUCAUGACCUACUAAAGCAAGUUACAUUACUAGUGUCAUCUAUCUUAACAAGCCACACAAGAUUACGACCUAAUUUCUGUGCAAGCAAUGCUUAUCUAGUUUACACGUAACAACUUGCAUAACAUUACAAAUUUAGUUUCAGAAAAUUAGGCAAUCUAGAUUUGUGUUUGCGCUGUAAAGUGAAUAAGAUGAGUCAUGUGUGUUAUCACAUCUUUUUGGUCGUGAAAUGAUAGUGCCACCAAACACAACAUACCAAAUUAUGAUUUCGGGAAGCAUCGAAGCACUUUCCAGACAAGUGCCAAUUGUGAAAAAGAUCAUGUCAUGGCAGCUAUAAAUAGGCCUGUAGCAUGAUGAUCAUCCUUCCUCAUCCAUCAUCUCAUAAGUAGAGCGCAUCAUUUAAGCCAAGCAAGCGGGGGUCAAUAAAAAUCCACCAUGAAGACCUUUCUCAUCCUAGCCCUCCUUGCUAUCGUGGCGACCACCGCCACAAGUGCAGUUAGAGUUCCAGUGCCACAAUUGCAGCCGCAAAAUCCAUCUCAACAACAACCACAAGAGCAAGUUCCAUUGAUGCAACAACAACAACAAUUUCCAGGGCAGCAAGAACAAUUUCCACCACAACAGCCAUAUCCGCAUCAGCAACCAUUUCCAUCACAACAACCAUAUCCGCAGCCGCAACCAUUUCCGCCACAACUACCAUAUCCGCAGACGCAACCAUUUCCACCACAACAACCAUAUCCACAACCGCAACCACAGUAUCCGCAACCACAACAACCAAUUUCGCAGCAACAAGCACAACAACAACAACAACAACAACAAAUCCUUCAACAAAUUCUGCAACAACAACUGAUUCCAUGCAGGGAUGUUGUCUUGCAACAACACAACAUAGCGCAUGCAAGCUCACAAGUAUUGCAACAAAGUAGUUACCAACAGUUGCAACAAUUAUGUUGUCAGCAACUGUUUCAGAUCCCCGAGCAGUCGCGGUGCCAAGCCAUCCACAAUGUCGUUCAUGCUAUUAUUCUGCAUCAUCAUCAACAACAACAACAACAACCGUCGAGCCAGGUCUCCUACCAGCAGCCUCAGGAACAAUAUCCAUCAGGCCAGGGCUCCUUCCAGUCAUCUCAGCAAAACCCACAGGCCCAGGGCUCUGUCCAGCCUCAACAACUGCCCCAGUUCCAGGAAAUAAGGAACUUAGCGCUGCAGACGCUGCCAGCAAUGUGCAAUGUCUACAUCCCUCCAUAUUGCUCGACCACCAUUGCGCCAUUUGGCAUCUUCGGUACUAACUGAGAAGAGAAGAACUCUAGUACUAGAUAUAUGAAACACCGUUUUCUUAAUCGACAGUUUGAUCGUUGUAGCGGUGAAAAAAUAAAGUGUCAUGCACUAUCAUGUAAGAACCCGAACUAUACUAGUUCAAACUUGGGAAUAAAAGACAUACACAUGUCUUGUCUGCAUAUGAUUAUUUGUUUGAGUUCCAUUCAUGUGCCCGUUCAGAAGUUCACCCCUAAUUAAAUAUAUUAUGCAUUAACUAGAUAUUUAUGUGGCAUUAAUCUAAAGAUAACAAAAUAGGUUUGAAACUUGAAUUACAUUGAAGUAUUUUCUUGGGCUUUCAAAUUGAGUAUUAUUAAAGUAGUAAGGACUAUCCACAUCCUUGGCUUGCCCUUGAUCGAUUAUUUACAGAGAAGCAUUCAAUUCAUCAAUCAAUUACAUUGAUUUUUGUGGCUGGUACUUCUCCGCAUCAUGAGUAUAUUCCUUGCGGCUACUCCAAAUCGACCACAUAACCGAAGCAUUAAUAACGCCCUU